rnacentral:lncRNA from 1 species
AUCUAUCUACUAAAAUUUUUCCACAAUUUUUGGUCGGUCCAAUUAGUACAGUUUAUUAGUUAAAGUUUCCCCUAUUUCAGGGUUUGACUACUCUGACCUCUGUGUAUUACGAACCAGAUAUAUCCCUGUACAGAGAUUUAAUGACUAUGCCAUUUGUCCCUAAUAAAAUUAGACUCAAUAAGGAAUCUGUACAUAUAAAGUAUGACUUAUAAUUAUCUUUGUAGAAUUUAUGGUGAAUUUCUAAAGUCGGAAUAGGGGAUCCAGAAAUCGUUCUGGUCCUGUUUCACAAGAUUUUAAAUAUAUCAUACAAUAUAGCUCAUAUACUUGUUUUACUUCUUCCAUGUGAAAAUAGACUCAUCAAGCUUCGAUUACAUAAUUUAUCCAUUAUUUAAUUCCAUUUCUACUAUUUUUAGUGAUUUUUCAAUUUCACAUCACUACUGCUGUCUGCCUCUAUUAUUAGAGUAAAUUUUUCCUAUUAGAGUAAUUUAACAUGCAUAUCACCAAGUAUGAUCAUGACUAGCCAUACCCAAGGCUAAUCAUUACCAAGCAUUUCCUUACUACUCAAUAACCAUAUCAUGAGUGUAACACUGGAAAUGAUUAGCCAUGACAAACGGCAUAAUAAUCAAAUAGACUUUAACUGUUACUUAUAACAAGUAUCAUAAGACCAAAUCCAACUUAACAUUUAUGCCAUUUUCGCAUGGCUAAAAGUAUACAUACCAAGGUUCAAACAAAACAUAAUAGCCUAUACAUGCCGAAAUGUUCUCUUAGGCCAACUAAGAAGAAGAUACCAAAAAGUUGCAAGCUGGUGUGAUGACUUCGACGGUGGUCCCGAGCACACAAAAAUGGAUCAAAGGAACCUAAAUAAGUGACAAAUAAACACACCAAAUGAGUAUAUAACUCAGUAAGUCAUAAGCAUUACAUACCGUAUAAUUAUAAGAGAUCAUAAGAGAAAGCAAAUAAUGCAAAAUCAGUUACUCCAACUAUACCGAACUAUGCUAUCAUUUCUUAGAAUUUCGAUUCAAUCUCAUGCCAAGUCCUACAAUCAAAUCAAACACCAAAACAACCCAAUUGAUUUAGACCCGAUCCCUCAAAGCAUGGAAUUAUGAUGCACUAGAUAAAUUUGUACCUACUCAGUACAUGCCUCAAGUUCGAUACUUUAGUUACAAGUUCUACCACUUCGUUCUUUCAUGCACAUUUUAUAUUAUCAAUCGAAUUUGCACACAUAGUGCUCGUCACACUCGCACACAUAGUGCCAUAGCACACCGCACACUCAGUGCAUUGGAUUUUCUCUCAUACUUCAACACCCAAAUCGGCACACAUAGUGCUACUUAAUUCCGCACACAUAGUGCCAUAUGUUAACUCAUUUUGAUAAGGCAAUUUACUUAAUUCAAAUAGCACAUAUGGUCAUAUUAAUAAAUAGGAAAAUUAUUCCAAGAGAACACCUAACGAAACGAAUCCUUUUAUGAUUCACUAAUAUUAUUUAUAUACAAGCUAAUCAACCUUACAGGAGUGCUUAAGGACUUACCUUAUAUUGGAUGAAAUGAUUCCCAAUCGACUACUCGAUUAUCUUUGCUUUGCCUUUGUUUGAUUCUCCCCCUUUGAUUUCUUGAUCUAGAAUAAAUACAUUUAGUAGUUUAAUUAUCUUGCUGGAUACUUAUGUGUAUAAUUUAAUGGUUUUCACUCCAUUUCACAACUAUCCUUGUUCAAAAUAUUAAAACCUUAACCAAUAUUCGAUUAAUGCUUCAAGGCCGAAUGCAUUAUCACUAUUAAGAUAACCUAGUCUCAAGUAUUUUUAAUUCUAAUAUACAACAUCAUGAAUCAACUCAACAUUAUAAGCCAAUAUUACUCCUUCAAUCGAUUAUAGAGAGUUAAAAAUAUUAUCACAAACAUAUACACCUAUAUGGCCGAAUAUACCAAAUUAAAUUUAACCUUACUUAUGUAAUUACCUAUAAGUUAUUAUACAUCAAAUUUCAUACAUUUAACCUUUUAAUGCCUAUUAACCAUUCUUUUGAUCUUAACCUAAAAUGACAACUCCCAUACUCAACAUUUCAACCAAAUUAUCCCUAUACCCGAACUAAAAUUCACACCUUAACUUCAUACAUUUUUAUUAUGACUUUCAUAAUUCAUUCGGCCCCAUCAAAGGACCAUUUAACAUACAAGGAAAAUAAUCAUAGAGAAAGAAAUUAACAUUCUAAUUAGACUCAAUAUAACCGAAUGUACCAAGUGCUACUAACUUACUUAUUCAAAAAUCUUCAUUCCAUACUAUCAUCCCCCUUUUAUCCCAUACAACAUGAAAAUGACCUCCAAUGCUAACACUUAGAUUCACGGCAUGAUGCCCAAACCACCAUAAAAGCUCCAACUUUCUUGACAUUACCAAGAGUGCAUCCAAUUAUUAACUUAACCUAUCAUAAAACUAAAUCAACAAUUCAAAACUUACCUCUUACUAGCUAAAGAAGAAUGCCGAAUUGCUUUCGGUAAGUUCCCCUUAUUUCUUCAUCUUUGUUUCGGCUUUUAGAGAAGGAGAAGAUGAGCACCGUUUCUCUCUUUUUUUUUAAUUCCUUUUAUUAGAAUUAUUUAUAUCAUUUGUUAACUAAAAAAAUUAUAUUAAGUUAGAAUUGGUGGAGCAUCAUCAUGUCUUGGCCGGCCACUAUAUAUAUUAUGGGUAAAUUGACAUGCAAAACUAAUCUUUUUAAUGCAUGCACUAAUAGACCAUUAUAAAAUUAACCUAUCACAUUUCUAAAGUGUUUCAUAUAAGUCCAUUUUAAUAAAUUCACUUAAAAAUGACCAAAUUAAUGCAUGAAACUUUCACACAUGCAUUUACUCACAUCAUGAACACAGAAUAUAACUUUUAAUUAUUUAUAAAACUCGGUUUUUUGUGGUCCCGAAACCACUUUCCGACUAGGGUCUAAUUAGGACUGUCACAUCGACAGUGGUGUUUUUCGGCUUCCACCAAAUCUCAUUUUUCUGCGUUUCGGGUAAACACUUGGUACUUUUUUUACAGCGGAAACACUCUUGAUUCUCUCUAAACCUAAAACAAGAAUAUCCAUCAUCGAUAAGAAAUUAAUUACGGAUUCCAACAAUAAUGAACUAACAGGAACCCGACUUACCACCGAUGAAGACCCUUCGUUAACACUUGUUAAACCAAAGAAACGAAUUUUAGUAGAAAAAUAGAAAACUUACCGACCCCUCACCAAUGUAAUUCAUGUUGAUAAAAGAAAAGAUGUCUAAGGGAAACAAAACGAAAAGGAAAAAUGGGAAGUUUCAAAGGAAUUUCGGCAGAGUGCUAAGGAAAACAAAACAUUAGGAAGAGAGAGAUUUUCAAAAAAAGAAAAGAAAAAAAAGAAUGAGGAUAAUUCUUUUAACUCCCCAUCCCUCAAAUCUUUCUACUAAUCCCACUAACAACCACUACUCAGACUUUUCAUUCAACCAAAACUCUACAAGCCAUCAGAGCAAAAAUAUUAGCAAUCACACUUACGCAAAGAUUCGAACACAAAACCUCUAGCAAACCCAUACUCCACCUAACCACCAAACUAGCAAGUCCAUUCUAACAUCCAAUAGCAACAAUUAAAAAUAAACCCACUCAGCAAGGUUAAGGCCUAAUUCCAAAAAGAAUAACAAAAAUUGUUAAACGUAAGGCUUGAAAUUAAAACCUCACACACACACCCCAAACACUUAACCAUUGAAACAGAUAUACAGUUAUGUCAAUUUUUUACAGAAACAGACAAAAGGAAUUUGUGGCGUUACAAAGUUGGAAAAAUGGAAAAUUAAAUAGUAGAAAAAAAUAUAUAUAUAUAAGUUUUUUUUUUCAUAAUUGUGUUUAGGAGGAAAGAUGGAAAAAUUAAAAGACGAAAUAAAUUUCUUUUCAUCCAUUGCUUGGUAAACUUGAAAGAAUAAAAUAAAAUGAAACUUUUAAAAAAUAGAUAAUUUUGAACUAAAAUAAUCCUCUCGCCCCUCCCCUUUCUCUCAUUUUGGACGUGCUUGGUUGAGUAAAAAAGUGAGAAGAUUGAAAGAGAGAGCAAAAAAGUGAAAAAAAAAUUAAGUGUGUUUUGUAGGGAAAAAAGGUGAAAGGAAAGAAAAGAAGAAAGAUGAUUAUUUUUUAUGUUAAUGUAUAAAAAUCAAUCAUUUCAAAUUGGAAGGGUAAGAGGAGAGAGAAUGAGAGAGGAGUGAAAGUUUGUUCAAAAUGAUUCAUUUUUUAAAGUUUCAUUUUCUUUCCUAUUAUUUUUCAACUCUACCAAGUAAUAGAGAGAAAGAAAAUUUAUUUUUCUUUCAAAUUUUUAAUGUAUCCUAUCAAUCACACUUAUGGAAAAAAAGUUAUAUUUUCUUUUUUUUUUUCUACUCUUUCAAUUUUUUAUCUCUCUAGUUUUCUUUCCAUUCUACCAAGCAAAGGCUUUCUCUCAUAUUAUUACUCCAAUUUUAAAGGAUUGAAUUUUGUAUAUUAGAAUAGAAAUGAUCAUCUUUCCUAUUUCAUUUCCUCUCACUUUUUUACCUUACCAAACAAACUCAAAAAAGCUUUUUUUCUUCCCAUUUUUCUACCCCAAUCCCAUCCUUCUACUUUUCACUUAAGCCCACCUUUAAUCUUUCAAACAACUUUAAUCAAAACAACCGAAAAGAUUCAAUGAAACACAUCUACAACAAUUUCAAACCCGAUGUAUUAAAAAACAAAAGGAAACUAUAGGUUCAUUUCAAUAUCGGAAUCAAAUCAUGUCUAAAGAUGUAACAAAAGCUUUGCUCAUAAUGCCACUUCAUAGAAAGCUUAAUUUAUAGAAAAUUUCAACAAUAUUUAUCCAACAAACAAUAAACUCAAGAUCUAUAGUAAAUCAAUAGACAGCGAAAGACAACAUAGAUUCGUUAUUGAAGUGAUAAGAUUUUCUAAAUUUAGAUACAAUGUUUCUAUCUAAAUUCUAAAGAUACGAACAAAUUCUUUUUACGUUCCGACUUAAAGUCCAUGACCCUUAUAUUCAAUUAAGUUUAGUUAUGAGCCCAUCAGUCUGAGAUUUCGCACAUACAAGAUUUAUACCCAAUCAAAUAACUAAACUCUUUAUAUUAAAUAAAAAAAUCCUAAUAACCUUAUACUUGGCUAUUGGUAAUUACACAGCUUUUUCACUUUGUACUCGACGCUAAUUACCACACAAGCGACCUUGCUUCUUAAUGUAACUAACACCAAAGCUUAAAAGACAAAACAACAGUUUUCUAUUAGUUUUUUUUUUUUUAAUCUUAGCAUAAAACAAAAAACGCUUAGUUUUUGGCUAAACAAAGCGAUUCAUCGGUGACAGCUGAGAGCUACAACAACAGCAAAUACCAAUCUCUCCUUGCGCAAAGAGGAAAAGAAAAUGGCUGCUUUCAGGCUCUUCUUAUUCUUCUUUUUCCUCCUCUUUUAUCUUCAACCAUCAAGAAGCCAUGAAAGUUGCCAUCCUGGCUGCGACUUACUGGUGCCAAUUCACUUCCCUUUCCAGAUGAUGAGGAACCCACCCGAGAACCGAUGUGGCUAUGACGGCUUCACUGUUACAUGUAAAAACGAAACCCGAAACAUCAUAACGUUCCCAUUCUCCGGCGAUUUCGUAAUCGAUUCCAUCUCCUAUUUCUCGCAACGUAUUUCGAUAACCGAUCCCGGUAAUUGCAUUGCGAGACGUCUUCUUCAAGGAUUUAAUUACUCGGACACUCCUUUUCAGCCACUUGACACCCGAAAUUUCACGUUCCUCAACUGUACAUCCGAUGCGCCGGUUUUCCAAAGUCCCGGCGGAGUAUCGCCGAUUCCUUGUCUCAGCAGUGAAAGCCAUUCCUUUGUGGCCUUACCUACUAAACGUGUGGGUGCCUCCAAUACGUCGAGCUGCACGGAGGUAGUCACGUUUAUGCACCCGAGUUUGGAUGACUCCAUUAAGGAUUCUAUUUUGUUAACAUGGAAAGAACCAGAUUGUGGAAGGUGUGAAAGUGAUGGAGGGUUUUGCCAGUACAGGUAUGAUACAAGUUCGGAGGUGAGCUGCUUCACACCUUUCGACUAUGGUAAGCUCCUAAUUCCAUGCAACUAUAUAUAUGUUUUUAACGAUUCAAUGAUUAUAUUUUAUUUUCGUUCUUAUAUAUUAUGAAUAUCUAAGUUUGGAGUAAAGGUUAUUUAUUUUAUAUAAAAAAAUUUUAACUAUUAGAUAUACCAAUAGAGAUAUUUUUUAAAUUUACAUGAUAAAAAUAUUAAAUUUAUUUAAAAAUUUACAUGAUAAGUAUAAUUAUAUUGAUAAAUUUAAUAGUUAAAUUGUAAAAUAUUAAUUGUAAAAAAAAUGAUAAUGGAAUAAGUAAAACCUUAUUAGGAUAAAUAGAUCCAAGUUUAAGUUGAAUUAUUUGUUCAAUCAUUAGAUCUAAAUUUAAAUUUUAAUAAUAAAAAGAAUGUUUUCAUUUAUUUAAUUAAAAAGUAUACCAAUAUAAAUUAUAUCUUUAAAUAUUUUAUCAUAAUGUUAAUUAUUUAAAUCAACUCAAACUUAAUUUAAAUAGGUUUAGAUAAAAAUUUGAAAAUUCGUAACACAAAAAUCAUAAACCCUUUAUUCAAAGGAGAAUGGUGAAUUCAUAUUGAUGAUAUAAUAUUAAUUAAUUUCACACAUUUUUACUAAUAUUCGUAUUUAUGUACAUAUAAAAUUUUAAAUUAGUUCUGUAUUUUUAUAAUAUUCAUUGGAAAUUUUUUAUAUUUAGUAGAAAUCUUUUAGGUAAAAAUAAAUAUGUAAGUUUUUUAAAAUUAUCAUUUUAAACAACCAAGGAGAAAUAAUUGUGGAUUUUUUCUCUAAGUAUUUAGAUUGAGUUUGAAUUUUAAAAUUUUUAUUAUUGAAAGGUUUUUUUUCUUAAUAUAAAAUGAAACACACGUGGUUAUAGCUAUUUUUUUAUCAUUUUAAACAAAUAUAAAUUGAAUAAAUAUGUAAAUUAAUUAAUUUACAGAAAAAUAUAAACAAAUUCUUGCCCCCUCUCUUUCUCUCUCUCUAUAUAUUCUAGGUUAUGUAGAUGAAAAAAAUUAUGUAAUAAAUCUGUUAGAAAUUAAUAUAAAAAAUGGUCUUAACUUAAAUGGUAAAUUUGAGAGAGUAAACUUUAAAGCGUUUUAAAUUUAAAUCUCGUUGCAUAUAUAUAAUUUUUUAGAUUUAUUAAAAUAUAAAAAAUAUAAAAAUCUUUAAAAUAAUAUGAAGUUGGAGAUUAAUGAGUAAUACCAACUCAACUCAUGUACAUAUUGUUUCCAUUACAUUCAAUAUGAGGUUACUUCAUGAGAUAUUCAUCACUUUAAUUUACCAUACUUGUCUUUUUUUUUUUUUUCAGGAUUACCAAAAUAUGAAAGAUACACAGUGUUUGUAAUCGUGAGCACUGGUUUAUGCAUCGUUUUGUUCAUAAUCAUCAUUCGUCGUAAGAUCCAAUCUCAAGGCGAAGAAUCCGAAACUGAAAUCUCAAGGUCUACUAAUACCUCCCAAUUAGAAAAUGUUGCCGCUAAAGGUCUUGACAGUCCGACAAUCAAGAUGUAUCCAACGACGGUGGUCGAUGAAAGUCUGCAAUUACCUAAACCUACUGAUAACGUUUGCCCAAUAUGCCUGUUGGAGUACAAAGCCAAUGACAUAUUAAGAACCAUACCGAGUUGCGCGCAUUACUUUCAUGUGCAUUGUAUCGACGAGUGGCUUAAACGAAAUGCAACAUGCCCUCUAUGUCGCAAUUAAUAUUGAACUACAUCAAUAUUUAUGAUAUAUCGUAUUGUUUAAGAAAUGCAAUGUUGGAUAGCCGCAACAGCAUUGAAUUUUCUUGAGAUUAAUAUUUUCUAACGUAUAUUAAACAUAUCGAUCACAUCUAAUUGUAACUGGAAUUAUAAUAUGAUAUUUGAGGAAUUUUGCUUGAUUUUGAAAAUUGAAAUUACGUUGAUUUUGUUUUUCCUUUUAGGGUCUAAUUGUUAAAAUUUAAUACUUGCAAUGUAAAGAAUUCAUCAAUUUCUUAUUGAUUAUUGAAUUAAAUUACAAUGUAUCUAUUUAUACUACUUAUCUACCUACCUAACUAAGUAACUAAUCCUUAACUACUCAACAACUAACUACACUGAUUUCCACACUCCUCCUCAAGUUGGUAGUUGAAAAACAUUUUUAACUCCCAACUUGGAUAUUAUAAAAUCAUGAUAUUGAGUUCUCAAAGCUUUGGUCAUAAUAUCAUCCAAUUGAUUUGUUGACACUACAUGCUCUUUUUUGGUGACUCCUUCCUAUAUUUUCUCUAUUAUGAAAUGACAAUCAAUUUCAAUAUGUUUGGUCCUUUCAUGAAAUAAUGGGUUUGCUGCAAAUUGUAAUGCCACCUUACUAUCACAAUAAAGUUUAGCUGGCUUCAAGUCUUCAACUCCAAGUUCCACAAGCAAUCCUUUUAGCUAAAUAAUUUUGCUACUGUUAUUACCAUACUCUCGUAUUCUGCUUCAGCAGAUGAUCUGGCUAUGGUGUUUUGUUUCUUUGAUCUCCAUGAUAUCAAAGGAUUCCCAAGUUUAAUAUAGAAGCCUGUAAAUGAUCUUCUAGUCAUUGGACAAGAUGGUCAAUCAGAAUCAUAUUAAGCAUUCAACUAAUAAGAACUUAAAGAUGCCAACAAUAUUUCCUGUCUUGGAUCCUUUUUAAUGUAUCUAACCACUCUGAGUGCAGCUUCUAGAUUAGAUCUCUUUGGCUACUGCAUAAAGUGACUAAGGUGAUGAACUGCAUAUGUGAUGCCGGGCCUUGUAUGUGUUAGAUAAAUCAACCUUCCUAUCAAUCUUUGGAAGAUCCCUUUCUCCUCUGUUAACACUUCAUCAUUAUCAUAUUGUUGUAACUCAGUAUCAUAUUCUAGUGUAGUCAGCUUUAUGUUUUGUUCCAUGGGUGUGAUAACAGGUUUGGCCCCCCCAAACUUGUAUCCUCAAUGAGUUCUAGUGCAUACUUCCUCUGACUCAGCAAAAUUCCUUCAUUGGAUCUUAGUAUCUCAAAUCUAAGAAAAUAAUUAAGUUCUCCUAAAUCCUUCAUCUUGAAAUCAAAAUUCAAGAUGUGUUUUAGUUCAUCAACAUUAAAGCAUCAUUUCCAGUCAACAACAAAUCAGCAAUAUAAAUAAGCAUGAUUACCAUCUUUUUUCUUUUUUUUCUUUUUUUUUUGUAAAUAGAGAGUAAUCAUACUUACUUUGAAUAUAUCAAGCAUAUAACAAGGCUUCAGUAAGCUUCAUGUUCUACUACCUAGAUGCUUGCUUUAGCCCAUAUAUGGACUUUUGUAGUCUACAAACCUUAUUUUCCCCCUGACGGAAAAAACCCUCUGGCAGUUGCAUAUAAAACCUCUUCAUUCAAAUUACCUUGAAGAAAGGCAUUGUAAACAUCCAUCUGAAAAAGAGGCCAAUUAUGUAAAGAAGCAAUAACUAGGACAUUUCUGACAGUAACAAGUUUUGUAACAGUAGAAAAGGUAUCAACAUAAUCCGCCAAUUCUUUUUGGUUAUACCCUUUAGCAACCAGACGUGCCUUAAACCUCUCAAUCUCACUAGUAGACUUGUAAUUGAUUUUGUACACCUAUUUGCAGCUAAUGGGCACUUUACUUGGUGACAAAGACACAACAGUCGAUGUACUAUUUGAUUCCAAAGCUUGAAUAUCCUUUUUCGUGGCUUGAAUCCAUUUGGGAUUCUAAAUAGCUUUAAAAUAUUUACAAGGUUCAAACAUAGUGGACAUAUAAGAAAGAAACAACUUAGUAUGUGUAACACCCUUAACCUGUCUUCAUCGUCAGAUUAGGGUUACGAAGCAUUAUCAUACAAAACAUAACCUUUAACUUCAAAACAUAACAAUAGUUCAAUAUAAGUUUUACUUCCUAAUAACUCAUUCCAAUCAUAACAAAUAUACAUAUUUGGGCCAUAAAUCGAGCCUUCGAGGCCCUAAAAAUAAUUUGGGAACAACCAAGGAUCAAUUUAAAAUAAUUAAAAAAGUUAUGAAAAAUAUGAAAAAUUUGGAAAAAAAGGGUCACACGGCUGUGUGGCAAGGUCGUGUGACAUAGCCCAGACCUUGUGGACAUUAGAAGUAGGGUCACACGACCGUGUCCCAGCCUAUGUGUCCACUCGUGUGUCCGCCCGUGUGUAUAUUUGAAAUAGGGCCACACGACCGUGUCGCAGGUCAUGUGCUAGACCGUGUGUAUAUUCAGUGUUGGGUCACACAGCCGUGUGUAGAUCGUGCUUGAAACUAUUUUGGGAGACAAAAUCUUGUGGUAGAUCGUGUCUCAGACCGUGUGUAACCUGUACCUAUAAUAUUUAAGACAUAUAGCCAUGAAGGUUGGCCAUGUGUGGCACACGACCGUGUGACAGCCCGUGUCCCAGGUCGUGUGCUCCAUAAUUAGCCUCUAAAAGAAGCCAUUUCAAACCAAACAUGCCCAACAAGCAACUCUAUUUGUAAAUAUAUUCAAUGGACCUGAAAACACUUCAAACAUUCGUGAACAUACCAAUGCAAUCAACUUAAGUCUUCUAACCAAUAUGUCAUUCAAAGGCACCUCAUUUCAAACCAAAACACAAUCAAUUAAGAAAAAAGCUAUAAUACAUCUCAAUCACAAAAAAUAGGUAAAAUAGCUACCUAACAUCAACAAUUAUCAACCCAUUUCACCAUUCAAAAUAAGCAUACCAAAAUGACCAUUUUCAUAUAGCUUUUAACAUGUACAAGCCAACUAUACCAUAUAUGUAUAUAACCAUUUACAAAAGUAACCAAAACACAACAAAAGUAUAAAUGACAUUAAACCCUAUACAUGCCAUUUAUAACCAUAGAUCAAAAUAACCAAAACUACCAAAGCGAUCUCGGGAUAGUGUAAUAGCACUCUGACGAAGUCUGUAACAGCCCGUUUUAGGUCAAAUCAGAAUAAUAAUUUUGGGACCACAAAUUUGAAUUAGAAACAUUCAUUUUACUAUUUAUUUAAGGUCUACAACAUGAUAGAAUAAUUCUGUGAAAAUUUCGUUAAGAAAUUUUGUUGAUUGAGUGCUCAAUUUAGCUAAAAGGACUAAAUUGCAAUAGGUGCCAAACUUGAGUUCCCUUAGCUAAAGGUGUUUAAGUUAUUAUGAAUUUUUAAUUGGAGGUCCUAAAAUGGUAAUUAGACCAUUAUAAUUUUGGGUAGACAAAAAUGGACAUGGUUAGGUGAAAUUUUAAAAGUUAUGCAUUAAGGGUAUUUUAGUAACUUGGUAAAUAAAGACAAAAUUAACUAAAAUAAAAGUGCCCAUCUUCUUAAAUUUCAUCCCCCAUAGUUUAAAUUUACAAGGAAUAAAUAGCUAGGGUUUGGCCAACUUUCAAGCUCGAUUGUAAGUCCGUUCUAGUCCCGUUUUUAAUGAUUUCUAUAUUUUGAGAUUGUUGUAACUUGAUCUAACUAUUCCAAGGACUAAUUUGAGAGAAAGUUAAAGUCUAAAAUUUUACCCAUGUUGAAUAUGCUUGUAUUUUGAUAUUUGAUGGUAAAAAUUGCAUGUUUGCUGUUAGUUAAACAAUAUUGUAAAGUGAUUUCUGGUAAAAAUGUCAAAUAGGGACUUAUUUGUAAAGUAUUGUAAAAUGUGUGGUAAAGUGUGAAUAAAUGAAAAAUUUAGGAUGUUGUGAGUAUGGUUAAGGUUCGACUAGCCCUAGUUUGUGAAGAAAUUGAAAGAAAUUCAUUUUUACGAGCCUAGAGACUAAGUUGUAAAAAUGUUACACUAUUAGGGGCAAAAAUGUAAUUUUUUCAUAAUUUGAUUUUGGACUAAAUUGAAUAGCUUGAUGAUUAAAUAAGUUAAAUGUGGUAUUAUAGGUCAAGAAAAACGAAGUUCGGGUCUAGUUGGGGGAAAAACAAAGUAAUUGACGAAUAUAUCUUUUUCACUGUUUUUGUAAUCGAGGUAAGUUCGUAUGUUGAAUAAGUAUUAUUAUAAUUGUAUUUUAAAUGCUUUAAUAUUGCAUAAAUUUUAUGAACAGCUCUACGAACAUGUUUGACAAUGAUUUAGAAAACGAGAAAUCCCGAUUGAACCUUAAGAAUAGAUUAGGAUAUAAGUGACAAGUCACUAGGGUACCAUGUUAUGUGAUUCGGGUGCUUGUAACAGCCCAAUUUUGACCCUAAUUGGAACGGUAGUUUUGGCACCACAAAUCUGAGUUAGAAUAAUAUUUAAAUAUUAUUUUCUAUGUUUAAAAUGUGUGAAGUUGCUUUUGUGAAAGUUUCGUUUAAAAAUUUUAGUGUUUGGAGGUCAAUUAAUGAAAAAGGAUUUAAUCGCGUAAAAUAAAAAAUUUAAGGGUUAAUGUAUAAGGGCCAAAUUAUGAUUGUUUUUAUAGUAUGGAGUAUUAAGGUUGCAAUUUGGCCAUAAAUAGGAAUUAGUGGCCGACCAAUAUGCAUGGAUUAAUGACUUGAAUUGUUUAUUAUAUUUUAUGGCAUUAUGGUAUAUUUUAAUACAUGUUAACAUAUUAUAUUUAAUAAAAGAUGAAAGUGUUCAUAUUUCUUAUUAUUUUUGGCUGAAACUAAGAGAAAGAAAAGAAAGUUUCAUCUUUGAUAUUUUCGGUCCUUGCAUGUUCAAUUAGGUAAGUGAUUUGAGUUCGGUUUUUGUUAAUUUUACAUUUUUGAGAUCGUUGCUUUGAAUACUAUAAAGCCCAUGUUUGUUAUGAUAUAUUCAUGAAGUGUCAUUGUUAAUAGUUUGAUGAAAUUUAUGUUUGAUGUGAGAAAAUAAAAUAAAUGUGUUAGAUUAAAAUUUUUGGUAUUUGGAUUUUUGGUAAUAUUGGGCAUUUAGGGUUAAACUGCGAAAAUACUAAAUUGAAGGACUAGAUUGUGAAAUUAGUGAAAUAGGAGGAUUUAUAAAAGCUUAGUGAACAUUCGGCCCUAGCAUUGUAUAUGCAAAUUCUUCAUAUUUUGUGUUUUGAGAAAAUUGAAUUAAAUUGUAAAAGUGCAAAUGUUAAGGGUAAAUUGAUAAAUUGCUCAAUUAUGUGUAUUUGGACCUAAAUGAAUGAAAUUCUAUUUGAAUGAGAUUAAUUUGGAACUUUUUAGAUCAAGAACCAAAAAGAUCAGACGUGGAUCGGGAAAAAUCAAAAAUCGUUGAGUAGUCGAAUUCAACUGUUCAUCGAUAUCCGAGGUAAGUCAUUAAGAAAAUAUUUAUUGUUGGUUUAAAUAAAUAUAAUUUAUAUAUAUGUAGGAGCCGAGUUGAAAUGUAUAAAAUCUUGAUGAUGCCGAAUGCAAAUAGAAAUAAUAAAUAUGAAUUGUAUGCAUUGAGUAAUUAAAUUUAGGAACUGAGUGUGUGAAUAUAAAUAGUUAUGAACAUGAAAAUUUUACUAAGCGUGCGAGUUCGGUUAACGAGCACUAAGUGUGCGAGUUUGAUUAUCGAGCACUAAGUAUGCAAAGGAAAAUAUUAAGCACUAAGUGUGCGAGUUUGAUUAUCGAGCACUAAGUGUGCGAAGGAAAAUAUUAAGAACUAAGUGUGUGAUUUCAUGGCUUUUCUAGUUAAACAAUAGCACUAAGUGUGCGAAUACAUCGGGUGAAUGAAAAUGAUCAGAUGAUCUAAUUAUCAAAUGCAAGAGUAGUAGUGUAAUAUUUAUGUUCGUAAUAAUGCAGGUACGUAAUCAAACCUUUGUGGUUGAUAUUAUUGAACUUGAAAAUUAUGUGGUUGGUAGUAAUAAAUAUAAUAUGUAUGAUAGAUUUGGAAAAAUGAAAGAUGGAUGAAUUGAAAAGGAAAAAAAAUUAAUAAAAUGAUAUGUUAUAUAUAUGUUAUAAUGUUUGAUUAUUUAUUUUAUAUGUGAGUGAACAUUCGGCUAGGUAUUAAAUGGUAAGAUGGGAAGUGAAAAGUAAUUAUUUUUUAAAGAGUUUAUGUAUAUUCAAACAUGUUGGGGAUUAAACUUGAUUGAUUGAUAGAUAUAUGGGUAGUCAAGUUUGGUUGAAUAUGUGAUUAUAGCAGCAGGACUUGGUUACUCAAAUUGAGCUAUUAAUGUCUUUUAAAUUGUUUAAAUUGCUUAUAACUUACUAAGUUAAGAUAACUUACUUUAAGAGUGUGUUUACUUGUCUUAAUUUUAUAAAUUUUGGAGAUUGUUUCGUGCUCGGGAUCGUCAAUGAAGCUCAUCACACUAUCGUCUAUAUUUUGGUACUCUUGAAAGUUUAAGUUUAAACUUAUGGUAUGUAUAAGUUAUUCUAUCUUUUUAAUCCAUUAUGAAUGAAAAGUGUAUUUAAGCCAUGCGAAAAUGGCUUAGUUAUUAUAUGUUAUGCUUGGUUUAAAAUCUUAUUGGUUAGAUGUUUUGAUAUGUUUGGUUUGAUGGUUUAGUUGCGAUUUAAAUCCAUUUGAUAAGUAUAGAUUAUAAUUUGCAUAAUUGAUAUAUAUAUGUUCGGCUAUAGGGUGUUAAUUAACCGAACAUAUAUACUUUUAAAUUUACGCAUAUGUCAUUGUUGAUAAAUGAAUUGAUUGAGUUAUAUCAAGUUAUUAUGAUAUUUGGAUGUAUUAAUAUGCUAUUAUAGGAUGUGAAUUAUUUUUAAAGUAUAAUUGGUGUUUUAAUUAUGCGGUUGGACUCUAAAAAUGAUAGAUGAUAUAGAAAUUGAAUACACUAGUGGUUGGUAUGUGUUCUUAAAAUUGGUUAUAUUAAAAUGGUCAAAUGUGCAUGGCUUUGUAAUUAGCAAAUAGGCAUGUUUGGUCUUUAAAUGAAUUGCCAAGUAUGUUUUUAUUUUAUUUUAUUUUAUUUUUAUAAUAGCCAAUUUUAAUGUUGCACAUGAUUUGAAUAGUAAGCUAUAUGAAAUGUUUUAUUUGGUUAAAUAGUACUUGUAAAUAAUUAUGAAGUCAAAGGUUUAAUCUUUGAUUUGAAUUCAUUUGAACUUGGAAAUUAUAAUUCGUGCAUAUAGUGUGAUUAAUAAUUUAAUAUAUUUAUUUUACGAAUAAGAUCUACGGAAUUAUGUGAUUGUACGAAUACUAUGUUUUUCUUCAGUAAUACCUUGUAACCCCGCCGGCGACGGACGCUAGUUAGGGGUGCUACAGUGCUGGUCUUAUACGUCCUACCAGUGGCUGAGUAUACAGACAUAUGUUGCAGUUACAUGAUAGCUUGUGUGAGCAACACCAUUAGCUACGUCUCGACUAACAGCUUGUAUGAGCAGGCCCGUUCAUAGCUCAAGAGCGAGCUUAUAUAUGCGUAUUGAGAAAGAGGUAGUAAUGGCUAUAUAUGUCCAAGUGGUUUGUAACACCCCUUACCCGAGUCCGAGGCCAGGACUGGGCACGAGGCAUUACCUAACUUAAACACAUGCAUACAAUCAUUUCGGGUUAUAAAAUCUCGAUCAAAUUUAAAACUUUUCAAUCUUAAUCUAGAAAUUCUUAAUAUGGGCCUACGAGGCCCAAAACACACUUUGGAAACGAUUUGGGUUAAAUCCGAACACCUUUGAAAACUUUGAAAAAUGUCACUUGAAACAGGGGCACACGCCCGUGUGAAAGGGUAACACGCCCGUGUAGCCAUUUAGACAUGGCCGUGCUAAGGGCCCGUAUGGUUCACACAGCUUAAGCACAAGGGACACGCCCAUGCCCUAAACCUGUGUGGAGUUUAUUCUAAAUUCGAACCUACAGGGGUUUUCACACGACUGGGCACACGCUCGUGUCUAUAGCCCGUGUCCCUCAAAUGACCAUGACAAGCCCGUGUCGUAGCCCGUGUGCAAAAACCUUGACAUUAUGUUUUUGACGUCAGCAACCAAUUAGGGGCACACGGCCAAGGCACACUCCCGUGGCCAGAGGUCAUGUCCUCUACACAGCUAAGACGCACAGCUGUGUCUUUGCCCGUGUGUUUACUACCAUGAAUAUUGACUUGCAAAUUUGAGGUGUAGGGGACACACGGCCAGACAACACACCUAUGAGGCUGACCGUGUGUUGCACAUGGCCUAGACUGUGUGUCUACCCGUGUGGCCAAAAUAAGGCUAUUUACCCAACCUAUUUGCCACCUUUACUUGCACAAAGCUAUACUAAACCAAGACAAACCAAUUUCAUACACAACUACAACAUGAUAAACAACCCUUAUUACACUAUAACAAUCGUAGCAUGCACUUAUUCAUUCAUGUAAUUUGCCCAUCCAUGAAAUAUCAUCAAUUGCAUAUCAUAGAUAAAUAUUAUCCAUAAAUUAUGGCCUUAUACAAAAUAAAGGGCAACACAUUUGGCCAAUUAACAAAGACACAAAACUCAAAAGUCAUGGUCCUAUACAUGCCAUAUUCAAAAUAAAAGAACUAACUAUACCAAGCUUCAAAUGAUAGUGUGAACGAGGCCUCUGAUGGUAUCCAAUCCACGGGCUAGUUUGGCAGCACUACAAGGAAAUGGAAAUAAAAAGAGGUAAGCAUAAAGCUUAGUAAGUCGCAUGUAAAUAAUGAAUAACUACAAGUUGCCAUAAGGAAUCAUACUUCCAAUAUAACUCAAUUUGCACAUGAAAUUGAGGAUUCAUGAAUAUUAUUUUUUCAUAUUUGUCUCUCACCAAGCAUACAAUGUCUAUUGAAUUCACAUUUCAUACUUCAUGUAAAAUACACAAGUGGUCAUAAGCAUAACUUACUCAUUUUCCUUCCUUACUAAACAUACAACGUAAAUGAAACUCAUAUUUCGUAAUUCUCAUUUAUGUACCUAUACCACUCACUACAUAGUCAUAAGUUCUCUCAUUUUGAUAAAUAUACCAUAAAUCUCCCGUUGAACCAUUUGGAAUACUACAUAAUAUUUAUUAGCCCCAAACAUAGGAUAAGAUGCUGACGCCAUGUCCCAGACAUGGUCUUACACUGGCUAGCACAUCAAAGUCGAUGCCAUGUCCUAGACAGGUCUUACACUGACUUUCAUAUAUUGAGGCCGAUGCUGUGUCCCAAACAGGUCUUACACUGGCUCUUAUCUAUCAGUGUUGAUGCCAUGUCCUAGACAGGUCUUACACUGACACACAAUAAGCUGACGCCAUGUCCCAGACAGGUCUUACACCAGCUUGUAUAUCUCGAGGCCGAUGCAUGUCCCAGACAUGUCUUACACUAGCUCUCGUCUCACUACUGAUGCAUGUCCCAAACAUGUCUUACACUAGCACACAUAUCACCCAAUGUCAUGGCAUGAAUAUCCAAUUCUAUUCCUAAUGUUCAACUGGGAGUCUUUAUUACAUUAAUUUCAAAACAUGCAUACUCACAUUCAAAAUCAAAACAAUUUAUGCAAUAUCAAUUCAAUCACACAUCAUAACAAUAUAAUUGCAUUAUUAACAUAUAACUUGCCUCGGAUUACAAAAUGUAGGCGACUAGUCGAUUUAAUCUACUUGCUUGGCCUUCCCGCCGUCUAGGUUUGGAUUUUUUAUUUCUUGGUAUAAAAUAAUAAAAAUUCACUCAUUUAAUCACUAAAUAAAUUUAGACAAUAAAAAAAUCACUUUUUUGGAAAAUUGACCAUUUUUUCCCUAGACUUUCACAAAAAAUGACCAUUUUACCCCUAAACUUAAAAAUUGAUUUUUAUCAAAUUUCUUCAUGUAUUAAUCCUAGAAAAACCCUUUUUACUCUUAUAGAAACCCAAAAUUUCCAUUAUUUCACAAAAUUACCAUCUAUUUUACAAACUUUACAAAAUGGUCUUAUUAAGGUUUUCAUGAGAAGUCAUUUCACAAAAGUUGUUCAUUUAACAAACAAGGUUCAUUUUCUUCCAUAAAAACCCAUCAAACAUCAUAAAUUCUUUCAUGGAAAAUCCCUAUACUAUCAACCAUUUUGCUAAAUGGUCCCCUCAUUAGUUAGCUCAUGCUACAAAGGUUCCAAAAAUACAAAAAUUAUCAAGAAUGGUUAUGAAAAUCACUUACCUGAGAGAGGAAUAAGUGGCUGAAAGUUUUCAAGCUUCCAAAACCCUUAGAAUAGCUAAAAAUUUUGGUCGUGAAGAAGGUGAAAAGAUGAUAUCCUUCUUUCUUUAUUUUAUUUUCUUUUUAGUCAAAUAAGCCACCAAAUUUCACCUAACCUUGAAAAUUGACUUUCAUUGUCUCCUAUGGCCGGCCAUGCCUCUUUAAGCGGUAUAAUUUCUCUUUAAAGACCUCCAAUUAUGGUUCUCUAGCUAUUUGGUAUUUCUAUCAAGUAAAAUAAAACUUUUACCCUUUAUGCGAUUUAGUCCUUUUUCGCAGUUAAGCUCACAAACGCUAAAAUUAAUUCAAAAAAUUUUCCAUGCACUCAUAUAAUCAUACUAUGAAACCAAAAUAAUAAUAAAAAUAAUUUCUUGGCCUCAUAUUUGUGGUCCCAAAACCACUGUUCCAACUAGGCCCAAAAUUGGGCUAUUACAUUGUUCAACGGGUAUGUCAAAGAUGAGGGUAGGUGUGGAAUUAUUGUAAGUUGGUACAGGUAUGUACGUAACACUUGUGAUGGUUAAAUUCAUGAAAUGGAGAAUUCUUGGUAAGAUGUGAUUUAGUGAAUUAUGGCCAUGACAUUAAUUAUGAUUUACAUCAUCUUAUAUUAUGUUACUUGCACGGGAAUGUAUGGUAAGGUUUGCUUAUUUCUUGCAUAUGAGCUUACUAAGCUAAAUAGCUUCCUUCAUUUUAUUUUUCCAUGUUUUAUAGUGUUACCAAGGUAGCUCGGAUUGGAGAUCGUCGGAGAUUGCAUCACACUAUCAAACUAUCAUUUUGGGUAUAUAUGAUCUUAAACAUUUUGAGUAUAUGGCAUGUAUAAGAACUUGGUCAUUUUGGUAUAUGUGUCAUUAUGAAUUUGGCCAAAUAUGUUGGCUUAUAUUUGUUUAAGGUGAUUUGGUAUUUAACCAUGUAAUUGGCUUAUUUUGGCUAAAAUGGUUGUAAGCCUAUUUAUAGAAGUAUAUGUGCCAAUGCCUUUUGUUUAUAUGUUUUGUAAUGGGUUGCUAUAUGCUUAUUUAUGGCUAAAUGGCUUUGUUUUUAAAUGAUUGAGUUUGGUUCAUUGGUAUGCUAGAAGAUCUAUAUGAUACAAUGCAUGUUAAUGGUAGCCAUAUUGAAGCUUGUAGAAUAUGAGUUUGGUAUGAUUUGGUUUGGUAAAAUAUGAUGUUGUAAGUAGGUUAAAUGUUGAUAAUGAAGUGACAUGAUUUAGCCUUGAUUGUGGAUGUUUUGGUUACCUAAAUAUGCUAUGAUUUAUGCCAUUAAAGUUGUGAAUGGGUGUGUGUACAAAUAAAGGUGACAAAUGGCUUGGUAAAUAGCCUUUAUUUUGUCCACACGGGCGUGUGUCUAGGUAGUGUGAGACACAGGGCUUGUCCCAUGGGCAUGUGUCUUGGCCGUGUGUCCCCUGCACCUAAAUUUUAAGAAAUAGAAUGCUCAGAAUUGAGAACAUGGGUAGAGACACGAGCGUGUGUCACAGCCGUGUGAGGGACACAGCCUCAAGUACGGGCGUGUGUCCUGGACGUGUGAAGUCUACACCUAUUUAUGAAAAUUAAAUUAACCACACGGCCUAGGACACGGGUUUGUGGCUUGGCCGUGUGACUUCAAUUUGUUCAUGCCUUGCAAGUCAGAGAGUUACACGGGUUAGGGACACGAGCGUGUGUGACCACAUGGCCUGCCCACACGGGCGUGUCCCAAACCACACAGGCGUGUGACCCCUAUACAUGGAAAAAAUCUUUUAAGUUUUCUAAAAAUUUCCUAAGUUCUUGGUUUAAUCUUGGACCACUUCCAACAUAUGUUUUGAGCCUCGUAGGCUCGUAUUAGGGACUUUAUGAUUGAUUGCAAAUUAUUUUAAUUUGGUUGAACUUUAUGACUCAGAAUUGUAUGAUUGUUAACGAUGUAAGUCUGGUAAUGCCUUGUAACCUUAUUUCAGCAUUGAAUACAGGUGAGAGGUGUUACAUUUAGUGGUAUCAAAGCUACGGUUUAGUCAAUUCUCGGACUAAUGUAGCGUUUGUGAGAGUCUAACUAUACAUGCCAUGUAUAAUUUGUGAUAGUGUGAUGAAUCCUGAAAAUUUAAAUUGUGUUUUCAUAUAGUAAAUGGAUCCCAAUCGAGAUGUAGUUGAUGAUGUUGAAAGUAAUGUGACGACUCCCACCCAAGGGGCAGCGCCAUCUGAAAGUAGACCAGUAACGGCUAGUCAGGGAGGGGAGGUUAGAGAAGCCUUCUUCCAAGUGAUGAAUGAGUGGUUUGCCAAGUUUGUUCGAACAAAUCUAGCUGCUCAGCAUCCUCCACCCCCAGCUAACCCCCAACCAGUUCUCGUAGCUCCUUAAGGUGUGGAAUUGUUAAGACUGAACAAGCCUCUAGUUGAUAAGAUUCGAAAACAAGGGGUUAAAGAAUUUAAAGAUGAUGUUGACGAUGAUCCCGAACGAGCAGAGUUUUUGCUUGAAAACUCUAUUAGGGUAUUUGAUGAGCUUUCUUGACACAGGAUGAGUGUUUGAAAUGUGGUAAUCACUACUGAGGGACUCAACACAUCAGUGGUGGAAUACUCUAGUAUUAGUGGUACCGAGAGAGAGUUACCUGGGAUUUCUUUCAGGACGAGUUCAAAAAGAAAUAUAUCAUUCAACGGUUUAUUGAUCAGAAAAGCAAGGAGUUCCUAGAGCUGAAAUAGGGUCGUUUGUUUGUGACCGAAUAUGAGCAAGAUUUUGUUAGACUUAGUAAAUACGUUCGGGAAUGUGUUUCAACAGAGGCUAUCAUGUGCAAGAGAUUUGAAGAUGGGUUGAAUGAGGAUAUCAGACUGUUAUUUGGAAUUUUAGAGUUGAAAGAAUUUGUUAUGCUAGUCAACCAAGCUUGCAAAGCCGAAGAGUUGAGCAAAGAAAAGAGAAAAGCUGAGUUUAAGACUAGAGAUUUGAGAAAAAGUCUGCUGAAUAAGUCAUUUCAAUCUUCGUUUGAUUAUUUUAGCUUGGUAUCCCAACAGAGAUUGUGGGAAGCAAUAUUUGGGUUCUAAGGCCCAAACUACGUCAAUAGCGAGCGUUGGUAAUGCUAUAUUUAAUAGACCUGAAUGUCAGUACUAUGGUAGAUGACAUCCUGAUGAUGUAGGAUGAAUGACCAGGCUUGCUUUAAAUGUGGCUCCCAAGAUCACUUUAUUCGAGAUUGCCCUGAAAUGGCUGAGAAAGAGAAGUUUCAGAAUGCAAGACCGAACAACACUGCCACUAGAGGGAGGCCACUGAGAAAUACGGGAAAUAGGACCAGUAGCAAAGGUGUAACGAAAUAUUUAACUGCGUGAUCAGAGGUUAGAGCACCUGCUAGAUCCUACACUAUUCGCGCUAGCAAAGAUGCGUCAUCCCCUAAUAUUAUCACUAGUACAUUUUCUCUCUAUGAUACUAAUGUAGUUGCAUUGAUUGAUCCUGGAUAAAUUUGGUAUCGUGUAAGAAUUUUCCCGUUGAGUCUACUGAGUAUGUAAUUAAAGUGUCGAACCCCUUAGGCAAAUAUGUUUUAGUUGAUAAAGUUUGCAAGAGUUGUCCUUUACUGAUUCAGGGUCACUAUUUUCCAGCUGACUUAAUGCUUUUGCCAUUUGGCGUGUUCGAAGUAAUUCUUGGAAUGGAUGGUUGACUCUACAUGAUGUCGUAGUGAAUUGUAGAUGAAAGAUUAUUGAAUUGAAAUGUCAAGAUAGUGAAAUUCUUUGAAUUGAAUUAGAUGAGUCGGGUGAGUUGCCUAUUGUGAUUUCGUCGAUGCCCACUCAGAGGUAUGUAAGAAAAGGUUGUGAAGCUUAUCUUACGUAUGUACUGAAUAUGAAAAUGUUUGAAUUGAAGAUCAAAUCUGUACCGGUAGUUUGUGAAUAUUCGGAUGUGUUUCCAGAAGAGUUGCUUAGAUUACCAUCGAUCAGAGAGGUUGAGUUUGCUAUUGAUUUUGUACCGGGAAAUUCAUCGAUAUCGAUAGCUCCAUAUAGAAUGGUCCGAUCAAAUUGAAAGAAUUGAAAUCUCAGUUGCAAGAGUUGACAGAUAAGGGUUUUACGAGACUGAGUUUUUUUCCCUGGGGUGCACCAGUUUUAUUCGUCAAGAAGAAGGAUGAAUCCAUGAGACUUUGUAUUGAUUAUCAUCAGCUUAACAAGGUUACAAUAAAGAACAAGUAUCCUUUACCAAGAAUUGAUGAUUUAUUCGAUCAGUUGAAAGGGGCAACAGUGUUCUCGAAGAUAGACUUGAAAUCAGGUUAUUAUCAGUUAAGAGUUAAAGAUUUGGAUGUGCCAAAAACCGCAUUCAGAAUGAGGUAUGAGCAUUAUGAAUUCCUUGUUAUGUCGUUUGGAUUAACAAAUGCUCUGACAGUUUUUAUGGACUUGAUGAAUCGAAUCUUUGGACUGUGUCUUGAUAAGUUUGUGGUUGUAUUUAUUGAUGACAUUCUGAUUUAUUCCCUAGAUGAGUUUGAGCAUGCCGGACAUUUAAGAAUUCUAUUGCAGAUUUUGAAAGAUAAGAAAUUGUUUGCUAAAUUCAGUAAAAGUGAGUUUUGGCUCCGAGAAGUCAAAUUUUUGAGAUACAUUGUUUGAGCGGAAGGCAUAUGGGUUAAUCCGAGUAAGAUUUUAGCAGUUUUUGAUUGGAAACCACUGAGAAAUGUAUCUGAAGUUAGAAGCUUUUUGGGCUUGGCAGGUUAUUAUUGACGUUUUGUUAAGGGAUUUUCGAUGAUUACUACACCUAUGACCAGAUUGUUACAAAAAUAUGUGAAAUUCUUGUGGUCUGAGAAAUGUCAACAGAGUGUCGAGCAGUUAACAGCAUUGUUGACUGAGGCACUGGUGUUAGUGCAACCUAAGUCGGGAAAAGAGGUUUUGAUUUUUAGCGAUGCGUCAUUGAAUGGUUUAGGUUGUGUGUUGAUGCAAGAGGGUAAAGUGAUAGCUUAUACCUCGAGAAAGUUGAAACUGCAUGAAAAUAAUUAUCCGACGCACGACUUGGAAUUAGCCACUAUUGUGUUUGCUUUAAAAAAUUAGAGACACCGUUUAUUCAGUGGGAAGUGUCACAUCUUUACCAAUCACAAGAGUUUAAAGUAUUUAAUGACUCAGAAAGAUUUGAAUUUGCGACAACGGAGAUGGCUCGAACUAUUGAAAGAUUAUGAGUUAGUGAUCAACUAUCACUAGGGGAAAGUGAACGUAGUCGCAGAUGCUUUAAGUAGAAAGUCCUUGUUUGCUUUAAGGGUGAUGAAUACGUGGUUAACCUUAUCUGAUGAUGGAUCAAUUUUGGCCAAGUUGAAAGCUAGACCGGUAUUUCUCUAGCAAAUUUGCAAAGCUCAAAAAAGUGAUAAUGAUUUACAAGCUAAAAGAGUACAAUGCAAAUCGAAUAGUGAUUCAGAAUAUCAAAUUGGAUCUAAUGAUUGUUUGAGGCUCUGAGGUAGGAUUUGUGUACUGAGAGAUACUGAACUGAUUCAGAAAAUUCUUCAUGAGACACAUAAUGGUUGUCUAUCUGUUCAUCCUGGAAGUACAAAGAUGUAUAAUGAUUUGAAGAAAUUGUAUUAGUGGUCAAGCAUGAAAUGAGACAUUUCAGAGUUUGUAACAAGAUGUUUGAUUUGUCAACAUGUAAUAGCCCAAUUUAGACCCUAUUCGAAACAACGAUUUCGAGACCACAAAUUUGAGUAAAAAAAUUCUAAUAUUAUAUUUGGUGGCUACAACAUGUUAAUUUAUAUGUGUGAAAUUUUCAUGAUUUAAUUUUAUCGUUUGAGUGUUCGAUUUGAUUAAAAGGACUUAAUCGCGUAAAAUUUAAAAGUGGCUAGCUAAUUGUGUAAGUGCCGAAUUGUUAUUGUUUUUAUAAUGUAGGGUCCUUAAAAGGAUAUUAGACGACUAAAGGGUAGCAUGGACGGUUUUGGGUUUAUAAUAUAUGGUUUACUUAUUAAAUUAUAAUGGUUAGUUUUGUAAAUUAGUAAUAUUUGUAAAUUAGUAAUAUAAGUUAAUAUGAUAAAAAUAAUUAAAAUAGCCAUGCAUGUUCAUCUUAUUUUGGCUAAAACUCAAAGAAAAUAAAGCUUUUGAAAACUUUAAACAUUCGGCACUUUGGGAGCUUGAUUCAAGGUUAGUUUUUGUUCGGUUUUUGAUAAUUUUACAUUUUGAGAUCGUUGCUUCAAGUACUAGCUAGCCCAUGCUUGAAUUUUUGAAUUUGAUGAUGUAUUCAUGAAUUUCCAUCGUUGAUAGCUUGAUGAUUUUUGUGUUUGAUGAUGAAAAAUAAAUAUAUGUUGUUAGAUUGUCAAGUUUAAUUAAGUGAUUUUUUGAUAAAAAUGUCUAUUUAGGAUUAAAUUGUAAAUUUUGUAAAUUGAGGGGUCAAAAUUGAAAUAAAUGAAACAUAUGGGCUUAUAUGAACUAGGGGUAAAUUCGGCCUAACAUGGGUGUGGUGAAAUUUUGAAUAUUUUGUGUUUUGUGAAAUAGGAACUAAAUUGUAAAAAAUAUGAAAUGUUAGGGGCAAAAGUGUAAUUUUCCCAUUUAUAUGUUUUUGGACUAAAUUGAAUGAAUAUGUUAAUAAACAAGUUAAAUUUUUAUUAAUUUAGAUCAAGAAAAGAGGAAAUCAGAAUUGGACCGGGGGAAAUCUAAAGUUGUCGAAUAGUCAUCCCGGUUCGUUCGUCUUUAUCCGAGGUAAGUUCAUAAGUAAAUAAAUGUCGUUAAAUUCGAUUAUAUAUAUUAUUUGUGCAGAAUUGAGUUAUUACUUGUAUAUAUAUGUUCAAGCUGAAUUUGUAUAAGUAUGGGAGAAGUAUUUACGAGUCUGAAUUGAUCAAGUUAUGACAUGACAUAGGGUUCGGAUAUGUGAUUUUGUGUAAGAUCACGUUUGGGACAUUGGCAUUGAUUUGUGAUUUACGUGUAAGACCCUGUCUGGGAUAGUGGCAUCGAUAUGUGAUUACAUGUAAGACCACGUCUGGAACGUUGGCGUUGUAUGAGCUUUUCAAUUAUCUGAGUAUCCUUAUUAAUUCCGAAUGGUUCAAUGGGCAAUAUUGAAUAUUGAUCGAAUGUAAAAUCGAGCCAAGAGGUCAGGUAUGUGCUAAGUUAAAAAGGUUUGGAAAAAUAAGGUAAGUGUGUACUUAUGAUAUAUAUAUAUGAAAUAUGCAUAUAAAAGUUAGUAUUAUAUAUGUUUAUGACUAGAUGUUUAUUUGUCCAUUAACAUUAGAAAGUUAAUGUUUAUGAGAUAUGCUUGAACUUAAAAGAAUGAUAUGUGUACAUUUGGUUAAUAUUUGUUUGGUUUGGUCUACUUAAAUUAAAUUAAGGAUGUUAUCAUAAAUAAAUUGAAUUAAGGAUGUUUGACGAUGAUUCAGCAAGCGAGAAUCCUGAUUGAACCUUAGGAAUAGAUUAGGAUACAAGUGACAUGUCACUAGGGUACCAUGUUAUGUGAUUCGGGUGUUAGUCCUGUAUGUCAUACUGGUAGCUGAGUAUAUCGGCAUAUGCUGCGGUUACUUGACAGCUUGUGUGAGCAUCACCGUGUAGCUACGUCUUGACUGACAGCUUGUGUGAGCAGACCCGUUCAUGGCUCGAGAGCAAGCUUAUAUAUGCUUAUUGAGAAAGAGGUAGUAAUGGAUAUAUAUGUGGCAUUUCGUGUGUGAGAUUUCCCGGGUAUUCGAUAUUAUUCCAAGUGGUUCAACGGGUAUGUCAAAGAUGAGGGUAGGUGUGAAAUUAUUACAAGAUGGUACAGGUAUGUACGUAACACUUGUGAUGGUUAAAUUCAUGAAAUGGAGAAUUCUUGGUAAGAUGUGAUUUAGUGAAUUAUGGCCAUGAGAUUUAUUAUGAUUUACAUAAUCUUAUAUUAUGUUACUUGCAUCGGAAUGUAUGGUAAGUUUUGUUUAUUUCUUGCAUAUGAGCUUACUAAGCUAUAUAGCUUACUCCAUUUUAUUUUUCCAUGUUUAAUAGUGUUACAAAGCUAGCUCGGAUUCGAGAUCGUCUGAGAUUGCAUCACACUAUCAAAUUGUAAUGCCCCAAAUUGUGGGUGCUCAUAUUUUGCGUAUUGUAUAACUCAAUUGCAUGCUUAUCUCAGUGGUUAAGUGUCCCGGGGAGCGCCUGAGAAGUCUUGGGUUCAAGCCUGAGCAAUUGCAAAAACUUUGUUUUUUUAAGUAUAACCCUUGCCUGUAGUUAGUAGUCUCUUAAAUUGUUGCCGGUGAAAUUUGUCACAAGGAGGUUGCUACUCUAGUGGUAAAUGGCGUGUGGGUGUUCCUUAGGGGUCUGAGGUUCGAGCUUUGGUAGGGUGAAAGGAGCAUUUUAUUUUUGCCGCAAAUGAUAAGGAGGUGUCUUAGGUUGACUGAAAUUAAGGAGUUGGUGGGAGUUUGAAUGGGCAGUUGAGUAGAAUAAGCUGGAGAGAUAUUAGGAGAUAGGGAAGGGAAGGAAAAAGUGGAGUUUGAGGGGAAGUAGGGUUGUGCCGAAAGAGGUUUGUGAGCAUAGGAAUUUUGGCUAAAUUAGUUUUCUCUCAAAAGUUCCGGUUCUGUGCGCUUUUGGGAUUCCUUUGUUUAGUGGCCGAAUGUGUGUUUGUUCCUGAGGGUAUCGUGCGAUUUGCUUACCUGUUUUUGGGUAACUCUGAUUCUUUGCCUUUUGGCCAAACUCACUUCUUCUCCCUCUUUAUCAAUAGUGUCUUUUGGAAUCGAUUUUUUCUUGUGAUUUCCCCCUCUCUUCACCUUAAAUGUGGUAGCCAAAAUAUUUUGUUCCCUUCUAUUCUUCGGUUGCUAGCUCUUGCCUUAAGCCGAUUCUUGUUCUUCUUUUCUCUUCUAAUUGAGUAUUGUUCUCUAGGCCGGAUACCUUGCUUUCUUUCCCCCUCACAAUUUCUUCUUUUUCUUCUUUUUGUAUUUUGUGGCUAAGCCGAAUACUCCUUUUUAGAAGUUCUGGGCCACUGUUUGAUCGGUGUGGGUAAGUAGUAACUCUUCUUCUCUUUCAAUCAUGUUAAUAGUUUUAUCUGACAUCUCCCUGUUUUGCCGUUCCUGAUAAUGGUGCAAUCUUUUCGUUUUGCCUCAAUUAUUCUGUGUACACAGCUUAUGUGUGGAUAGGCCGAUUACUCCUUUCAAUUAUUCUUAGUCUACGUGGUGGUAAGCACUUUAAGUUUUAGAUAUGUUAAUGUUGGGUUUAGAUGUUUAUUAAUCGGUUAACUAUUUUUGUGAAGGUUAAAGCAUUGGAGGGAUUGCGUGGGUUCUGGUUCAAGAGAGGGGUUCUACGAUUGUUCGAUUGGUAAGUAGUGAUGAAUAGGGUUAAGUAUCUCUAAUGCUAUGGUUUGAAUUAACCAUGAAUAUGAUCUAAUGAUGGGGUUGUUGUUAUCAUAGGUGUUUGAUUUCGGAAGCGUUUCAACUACAAAUCCAUAACAGGUGUGUAACCACACUUCGAUAUUCAUAAACCGGAAAUAGUCGGACACUGUGUUUGUUACCGCUAUACAAGCGUGCUCACAUUUGUGUUGAUCUCUAAAUGCUCAAAACAAGGGCGUAUAAUUGUAAGAGGCACCAUGAACGAUUUCAUGGGCUUAGGCCGUCUCGGGUCGCGUUGGGCCUAAAUGGUUCGUGUGGGCCUCAUUGGCUCAUGGGCCUACACGGGUAAAAUUUAUGAAUGUGUGGAGAAUAUUAGGCCAGGCUGUGCUGUUCGCACGACCAAGGCCAGCUUUUUUGGCUUAUUUGGGUUCACACGGACACGUGGGCCACAUGAGCCAAAUUGUGGGCUCUAGGCCCAUUUUCACUGAAUGGCUGUUAAGGUUGCAUGGGUCGUACAAGACUACUGUGAGCCUACUGUUGGGUCGGUAAGUACCUUUAGACCCCGUAUUGAUGAAUUGGCCGUUAUACCCCUGAGAGGUAAAAUAACAGAUAUACCCCUAUGAUGUGUUGACCGUAUUCAAGCAUGACAUUUUGCAUUCACGGAUUAUAUUAUGACAUGACAUGUUGCAUGGGGGUGGGUUUGAUAUAUUUGGAGGAAGUUCACUGAACUGGCAACUCUGCUGCAAUUACUGAAUAGUGCCGCAACCGGUGCUAUAUUUGGAGUGUAGGGAUGGGUGGGUCGAAUUUAUCCCUAUAUGGAGCGUAGGGCUGGACAGAGUGGAGUGUAGAGGAUGGAUAGGUAGGAUCUCUAUUUGCAUCUCUGAUACUAUACUGAAUUGGGCUAAGGCCCACACUGAUACUGUUACUGUAAUGGGCUAAGGCCCACACUGAUAUUGCCACUGAUAUGGGCUUAGGCCUAGACUGUUUUGCAUUGCAUGAUUUACUGUUUGAUACAUAGGGAUUACACACUGAGUUUUUGUAGCUCACCUUUUUGCUUAUCUGCGUAGGUAAUCCUUAGGUGGGUCGGUGCUGCGAGGGACUCAGAGAUGGCCACACUACUAUUUACGUUUUCGUAUUUGACUUUUAAAUAAAAGUAGUUUAUUUGGGUAAUUUUAUGUAAUAAGGCUUCUUUUAGUUUUUAUUUUUAUUUUGGGGAUUUAUUAAUGUUGGUUUGUUUUCGUUAGUGGUAGGGCUCGAGUUUUCAAAAGAUAAAUGUUUUCAAGUACCACGCUACGCAAAUUCUUUUAGAAGCUACUGCAUUGAACACUGUUUUUAAAGUAUAACAACAAUUUAAUAUGACACAUGUUUUGCUAAACCAACCUACGAUUUAACAAUAAACAAGGUCGGAUAACUACUCUUAAAGAUCGGAACAGAGUUUUAAUACAAAACGGACUUUACAAUGCAACUAUGCUUUUCCAAACACACUCCAAUGUGGCAUCGCAGAUUCGACCAUAACUUUUAAGACGGGUUUGGGGUGAUACAUUUAGUGGUAUCAGAGCCAGGUUGCAAAACUCGGCUGUAGAUUUAGAUUUACUUAAAACAUAAAUUUCCAAAAGAACUAUUUCAUAAGGUUGAAAAGUAUUUUUGAAGUGUUAUUUUUGAAUAUAUGGUCUACUGACUCUUUGGUGUCGAUUCAGUAAGUCCUCUAAAAACUACUGUUUGUUUAAGACUGAGACUACUGUAGGCAAUAGACUAUACUAAAAUACUGUGCUUAGGGUAAACUGAAACUGUAGUGAAACUGCGAUCUGUGAAAACAAAUUCUAGACUACUAAUAAUAUUCUUAUCAUAAAACAUCUUGUAAUAAACACUAGAACUGUAAAACUGAUGCAUAAAACUGUUAAUACAGAUUAAGUGUAACUCAAUAAUGAGCACCAGAGGUACUCGUGGAAGGGGUACAAGUUGCCAUGGCGAAGGCCGUGGAGGUACUCGGGCUGGAUCAUCAGCGUCAGGCCAUAUGCCUAACAAUGAAGCUAGAGAGGCACUGGCUUCACCUGUAACUGAAACUGGGUCUCACGAUCGUGCAGCUAGGGACGACGCACUGUCUCAAGCUAUGUUGUGAAUUUUGGAAAGGGUCGCUGGGCCCAAUACUGGUACUGUGGGCCGUGGGUCAGUGACGGAAUGACUAAGGUCUAAUAGGGCUGAGAUUUUUAGGGUUAUCACUGGAGUUGCCCCUAAUGUGGCUGAAUAUUGGAUUGAGGCUACUGAGAGGAUCAUGGACGACCUCGACUGCACCCCUGAGCAAAAACUAAAAGGUGCAGUGUCUUUGCCGCGAGAUUAAGCCUAUCAAUGGUGGCUUACAGUUAAAGAGGGCACUUAGCCUGACCGGUUGACUUGGGGAGUUGCUCAAAACUGCAUUCCAAGAGAAAUAUGUGGGCGCUAGUUAUGUGGACGCCUGGAGGUGAGAGUUUCUAAAUCUGACCCAAGGGGAUAAGUUAGUAGCAGAAUAUGAGUCUUGAGUUUCUGUGACUUAGCUGUUGUGCGCGUGGGAUGGUGGAAACAAAAUAUGAGCGCUGUGUUUGUUUUGAAGACUACCUAAGAGAUGAUCUACGAGUUUUGGUUGCUCCAUAGAAGGAGCGAGAUUUUGCUGUGUUGGUGGAAAAGGAAAAAAUUGCUGAGGAUGUGAAGCGUGCUGAGUGCCAGAAUCAUGAGAUGGAGUAGGGUAGGAGUAAGAGGGUUUGGGAGCCCUCAAGUUCAGCUGGGAGGCCUAAGAAAAUGGCUAAAGUUGAUAGACCAGUCAGACCUGUUAUUGCUUUUAGGCCACAGGCUUGUGCUAUUUGUGGGAAACGCCAUCAGGGCGCGUGCUGGGUGCAGAUGAGGGCAUGUUUAAGGUGUGGGUCUUUGGAGCAUCGCAUCAGAGAUUGUCCAUGUAGGCCCGAUCAGAUGCAAGUUACUGGUAUUGGUAUUGUUCAGCCACCGAGAAGGAUUUAGCAGCCAUUGAGAGGCUGUGGUCAGGCCAGAGGUGGAAAUGGUAUGGGCGACGAUCGUGGGGCUCCAGGCAGAGGUGCUGGUCAUGCUGAGGCGAGGCAGCCGGCACUGGUUUAUGCUGUACUUCACCAGGAGGAAGGAGACGCCCUAAAUGUUAUUACAGGUACGUUCUAUAUUCAUAAUGUACCUUAUACUGCAUUGAUUGAUGUUGGGUCUACGCACUCGUAUGUAGCAUAUACUGUAUUUGAGACUUUGGGUGUGAGGGUUGAAAACACUACGACUGAGGUUACUGUGUUGAGUCCAUUAGGACAGUCAGUGAGAGUGAAUAGAUUGUUUAAGGAUGUACCUUUGGAGGUUCAAGGAAUGAUCUUUUUAGUGGAUUUAAUGGAACUUCCUUUUGAAGAAUUCGACUUGAUAUUGGGCAUGGACUGGCUGGUUAAGCAUCAGGUGAAUUUGGAUUGUUCUGCGAAGCGGGUGGUACCGAAAACUGAAAAGGGUGAUGUGGUAGUUGUGAUUGGGGAGCGACGGGAUUAUCUUUCGAAUGUGAUUUCUGCACUUAGAGCUGAGAUGUUGGUUCGUAAGGGUUGUGAGGCAUAUCUAGCCUACAUCUGUACUUCGAGUCUGAAGUUCUAUCUGUUAAAAAUAUCAGAAUAGUUAAGGAUUUUCGAGACAUCUUUCCCGAUCAGCUACCUGGGUUACCUCUAAACCGUGAAGUUGAUUUUGGGAUUGAGCUCUGGUGUCUAUUGCCCCUUAUAGAAUGGCACCAAAGGAGCUUGAAAAGCUUGAAGCACAGAUUCAAGGGUUACUGGAUUUAGGGUUCAUCUGUCCUAGUGUGUUUCUGUGGGGAGCACCGGUGUUAUUUGUGAAAAAGAAGGAUAGAACCAUGCGUAUGCAUCAACUAUUGGCAACUGAAUAAAUUGACUGUUAAGAAUAAGUACACUUUAUCGAGGAUUGAUGAUCUAUUUGAUCAGUUUCGUAAAGCUUUGGUUUUCUCUAAGUUGGAUCUUCGAACUGGGUACCAUCAACUAAGGGUCAAAGAAACUGAUGUUUACAAGAUAGCGUUUAGGACUCGUUAUGGUUAUUAUGAGUUCCUUGUGAUGCCCUUUGGAUUGAUGAAUGCACCAGUAGUUUUUAUGGAUUUGAUGAAUCAAGUGUUCCAGCCCUAUCUGGAUCGGUUUUUAGUGGUGUUUAUAGAUCACAUUCUGGUGUAUUCGAGGACUAAGGAUGAACGUGAUGCACAUCUUUGAGUUGUUUUGUAGAUUUUGAGGGAGAAACAAUUAUAAGCUAAAUUCAGUAAAUGUGAAUUCUGGCUAUGAGAGGUAACUUUUCUGGGUCAUGUGGUAUAUGUUGAGGGGAUUAGGGUUGAUCCUCGAAAAAUUGAAGCUGUUUUGGAUUGGAAGCAGCCUAAGUCGUUAUCUAAGAUUCAAAGUUUUCUAGGUCUGGCUGGGUAUUAUAGACUGUUUGUUGAGGGAUUUUCGUUGAUUGCUGCACCUCUGACUAUGUUUUUGCGUAAAGGUGUACCAUUUGACCUGACUGAUAAGCAGCAAGAAAGUUUCAAGAGCCUUAAGAAGGUUCUGACUGGGGCCCCUGUCUUGAUUUAGCCAGAAUCUGGGAAAGAGUUUACUGUCUACAGCGAUGCAUCACAUGUUGGUUUGGGUUGUGUGUUGAUGCAAGAAGGUAAGGUGAAGGCUUUGCGUCUCGUCAGCUUAAGACGCAUGAGGCGAACUAUCUGACACAUGACUUGGAACUGGCCGCGGUGGUAUUCGCACUGAAAAUUUAGAGGCAUUAUCUGUACGGUGAGAAGUGUAUUAUUUACACAGAUCAUAAAAGCCUCAAGUAUCUCCUCACUCAGAAAGAGCUAAACUUAGGCAGCUUAGAUGGAUUGAGUUGCUUAAGGAUUAUGACUGUUCGAUUAAAUACCAUCCGGGUAAGUCUAAUGUAGUAGCCGAUGCACUGAGUCGUAGAGAUGUUACUGAUUUGAGGGCUAUGUUUGCUCAUCUCAGCUUAUUUGAUGAUGGUAGUCUACUGGCUGAACUUCAAGUUAAACCGAGGUGGAUUGAACGGAUUAAGGGUAAUUAGUUGGAGGAUGAGUCACUAGGUUUUAAAAUUCGAUAGAUAGAGAAUGGGGAAGCUUCAGAUUUUGGACUGAAUAGCAAAGGGGUGCUGUGUUUUAAUGGGAGAGUUUGUAUACCGAAGGAUAUUGAUUUGAGGCAGUCUAUAUUAGAAGAGGCGCAUACUAGUCCUUAUACUAUGCAUCCUGGUGGAACUAAAAUGUACCGAGACCUUUGGGAGUUAUAUUGGUGCUAGGGUCUUAAACGUGAACUUACUGAUUUUUUGAGUAAAUGUCUGACUUGCCAGCAGGUUAGGCGGAGCAUCAGUUGCCUUCAGGGUUGCUUCAGCCAGUUAAGAUUCCUCGUUGGAAGUGGGAGAGAGUAACUAUGGACUUUGUUAGUAGGUUUGCCCUUAACGCCUACUAAGAAGGAUUCAGUAUGGGUCAUUAUGGAUUGAUUGACUAAAUCUGCCCAUUUCAUACCUGUUCGUACUGAUUACCCGCUGCAGAAACUGGCUAAGCUGUAUGUAUCUGAGAUAGUGCGAUAGCAUGGGCCAUCAGUUUCUAUAGUAUCUGAUAGAGAUCCUCGCUUCACAUCUCGAUUUUGAAAGAAGUUACAUGAAGCGCUGGGUACAAGGUUGGACUUUAGAACUGCGUUUUAUCCUCAGACAGACGGUCAGUUAGAAAGAGUGAUUCAGAUGCAAGAGGACAUGUUAAGGAGUUGUGCGAUUAACUUCCAGGGUAGUUGGGAGGAUUACUUGCAGUUGGCAGAGUUUGCGUACAAUAAUAGCUACCAGUCCAGAAUACAGAUGGCACCUUACGAGGCAUUGUAUGGUCGUAAGUGUCGUACUCCUACAUGUUGGACUGAGUUAGGCGAGCGGUGUGUUCUGGGUCCUGAAUUGAUUUUUGGAUCGACUGAAGGCAGUAUCCGACAGGCAGAAGUCAUAUGCGGAUCUGAAGUGUAAGGAGAUUGAGUAUUCCAUAGGGGACUUAGUGUUUCUUAAGGUCUCGCCAUGGAAGAAGGUAUUGAGAUUUGGUCGGAAGGGCAAGUUAAGACCUAGGUUCAUUGGGCCUUACUGUAUAUUGAAGCGUGUGGGACCAGUUGCCUACCAGCGUGAGUUGCCUUCAGAGUUAGACCAGAUUCAUACUGUGUUUCACGUCUCUAUGCGAUGCGGUAUCGCUCGGAUCCUGUACACAUUGUCUCGAUUGAGAAGGUUGAGGUUAGGCCUGAUCUGACUUUUGAGGAGGAGCUGGUUCAGAUUUUAGACCGUGAUGUGAAGGAUCUGAGAAGGAAGUCUAUUCCACUGGUUAAGGUGCUAUGGUGAAAUCACAGUUCUGAAGAAGCCACGUGGGAACCUGAAGAGGUGAUGCGACAAUAAUACCCUUAUCUGUUUUGAUCAGGUAAAUUUUGAGGCCAAAAUUUCUUUUAGGGGGUAGAGUUAUAACACUGUAAAUUAAGAGUGCUCAUCUUUUGUGUGUUGUAUAACUCAAUUGCAUCCUUGUCUCAAUGGUUAAGUGUCCUGGGGAGCGCUUGAGAAGUCUUCGGUUCAAGCUUGAGCAACUACAAAAAAUUUUGUUUUUUUAUAAGUAUAACCCUUGCCUGUAGUUAGCAGUCUCUUAAAUUGUUACUGGUGAAAUGUGUCAGAAGGAGGUUGCUAGUCUAGUGGUAAAUGGCGUGUGGGUGUUCCUUAGGGGUAUGAUGUUCGAGCAUUGGUAGGGUGGAAAGAGUAUUUUAUUUUUGCCGCAAGUGUUAGGGAGGUAUCCUAGGUUGACCGAAAUUGAGGAGUUGGUGGGAGUUUGAAUGGGCGGUUGAGUAAAAUAAGAUGGAGAGAUUUUAGGAGAGGAAUAAGAGAAGGAAAAAGUGGAGUUUGAGGGGAAGUGGGGUUAUGCUGAAAGAGGUUUGUGAACAUAGGAAUUUUAGCUGAAUUGGUUUUCUCUCAAAAGUUUCAGUUUUGUGUGUUUUCGGGAUUCCUUUGUUUAGUGGCUGAAAGUGUGUUUGUUCCUGAGGGUAUCUUGUGGUUUGCUUACUUGCUUUUGGGUAACUAUGAUUCUUUUCCUUUUGACCGAACUCACUUCUCUUCCUUCUUUAUCAAUGGUGUCUUUUGGAACUGAUUUCUUCUUGUGUUUUUCCCCUCUCUUCACCUUAACUGUGGUAGUUUCUAGCUCUUGCCUUAAGUCGAUUCUUCUUCUUCUUAUUUUCUCUCCCAAUCGGAUAUUGUUCUCUAGGCCGAAUACCUUGCCUUCUUUCCCCCUCACGAUUUCUUCUUCUUCUUCUUUUUGUAUUUUGAGGCUAAGCCGAAUACUCCUUUUUAGCAGCUCUGGGCUACUGCUCGACCGAUGUGAGUAAGUAGUAACUCUUCUUCUCUUUCAGUCACGUUAAUAGUUUUAUCUGAUACUUCCUAUUUUACCGCUCCUGAUAACUGUGCAAUCUUUUCGUUUUGCCUCAGUUAUUCUGUGUACACGGCUUAUGUGUCGAUAGGCUGAUUACUCCUUUCAAUUAUUCUUAGUCUACGUGAUGGUAAGCGCUUUAAGUUUUAGAGAUGUUAAUGUUGGGUUUAGAUGUUUAUGAAUCGGUUAACUAUUUUUGUGAAAGUUAAAGCAUUGGAGGGAUUACGUGGGUUCUGGUUCAAGAGGAGGGUUCUGUGAUUGUUCGAUAGGUAAGUAGAGAUGAAUAGGGUUAAGUAUCUCCAAUGCUAUGGUUUGAAUUAACCAUGAAUAUGAUCUAAUGAUGGGGUUGUUGUUAUCAUAGGUGUUUGAUUUCGGAAGUGUUUCAACUACAAAUCCAUCACAGGUGUGUAACCACACUUCGAUAUUCAUAAACCGGCAAAAGCCGAAAAUUGUGUUUGUUACCGUUAUACGAGCAUGCUCACGUUUGUGUUGAUCUUUAAAUGCUCAAAACGAGGGCAUAUGAUUGUAAGAGGCACCAUGAGUGGUUUCAUGGGCUUAGGCCGUUUCGAGUCACGUUUGGCCGAAAUGGGCCGUGUGGGCCCCACGAGGUCGUGGGCCCACACGGGUAAACAUUAUAAACGUGUGGAGAUUAUUGGGCCAGGCUGUGCAGUUCGUACGGCCAUGGCCAUUUUUAGGCUUAUUUUGGGUCACACAGACGCGUGGGCCGCAUGGGCCAAAUUAUGGGCUCUGGGCCCAUUUUCACUGAAUGACUGUUAAGGUUGAACAGGCUGCACGAGACGAUUUUGGGCCUACUGUUGGGUCGGUAAGUACCUUUAGACCUCGUAUUGAUGAAUUGACCGUUAUACCCCUAAGAGGUAAAAUGACUAAUAUACCCCUAUGAUGUGUUGACUGUAUUCAAGCAUGAUUUUUUGCAUUCACGGAUUACAUUAUGACAUGACAUGUUGCAUGGGGUGGGUUUGAUAUACUUGGAGGAAGUGUACUGUACUGGAAGCUCUGUUGCAAUUACUGAAUAAUGCCGCAACCGGUGCUAUAUUUGGAGUGUAGGGAUGGGUGGGUCGAAUUUAUCCCCACAUGGAGUGUAGGGCUGGACGGAGUGGAGUGUAAAGGAUGGAUGGGUAGGAUCUCUGUUUACAUCUCUGAUACUAUACUAAAUUGGGCUCAGGUCCACACUGAUACUAUUACUGUAAUGGGCUAAGGCCCACACUGAUAUUGCCACUAAUAUGGGCUUAGGCCCAGACUGUUUUGCGCUGCAUUAUUUAAUGUUUGAUACAUAGGGAUUACACACUGAGUUUUCGUAACACACCCUUUUGCUUAUCUGCGCAGGUAAUCCUUAGGCGGGUCGGUGCUGGGAGGGACUCGAAGAUGGCCACACCACUGUUUAUGCUUUCGUAUUUGACUUUUAAGUAAAAGUAGUUUAUUUGGGUAAUUUUAUGUAACUUGGCCGCUUUAAGUUUUUAUUUUUAUUUUGGGGAUUUAUUAAUUUCCGUUAGCAGUAAGGCUCGGAUUUUCAAAAGAUAAAUUUUUUCAACUACCAUGCUACUGCCCAAUUUCUUUUAAAGUUACUACAUUAAACACUUUUUUAAAAGUAUAAUAACAAUUUAAUAUUACACAUGUUUUGCUAAACCAACCUACGAUUUAACAAUAAACAAGGUAGGAUAACUACUUUUAAAGAUCGUAAAAGAGUUUUAAUAUAAAAUAGACUUUACAUUGAAACUACAAUUUUCCAAACACACUCCAAUGUGACAUCGCAAAUUCAGCCAUAACGUCUAGGUCGGGUUUGGGGUGUUACACAAACUUUCGUUUUGGGUAUCGAUGAUCUUAAACAUUUUGAGUAUAUAGCAUAUAUAGGAAAUUGGUCAUUUUUGUAUAUGUGUCAUUAUGAAUUUGGCCAAAUGUGUUGGCUUAUAUUUGUUUAAGGUGAUCUGGUAUUUAGCCAUGUAAUUGGCUUAUUUAGGCUAAAAUGGUUGUAAGCCUAUUUAUUAAGUAUAUAUGGCAAUGCCUUUUGUUUAUGUGUAAUAGGUUGCUAUAUGCUUAUUUAUGGUUAAAUGGCUUUGUUGUUAAAUGAUUGAGUUGGUGCAUUGGUAUGCUAGAAGAUCUAUAUGAUACAAUGCAUGUUAAUGGUAGUUAUAUUGAAGCUUGUAGAAUGUGAGUUUGGUAUGAUUUGAUUUGGUAAAAUAUGAUGUUGUAAGUAUGUUAUGUGUUGAUAAUGAAGUGACAUGAUUUAGCCUUGAUUGUGGAUGUUUUGGUUGCCUAAAUAUUCUAUGAUUUAUGCCAUUAAAGUUUUGGAUGAGUGUGUGUGCAAAUAAGGGUGACAAAUGGAUUGGUAAAUAGCCUUUAUUUUGUCCACAUGGGCGUGUGACUAGGCUGUGUGAGACACACGACUUGUCCCAUGGGCAUGUGUCUUGGUCUUGUGUCCUCUGAACCUAAAUUUUAAGAAAUUAAAUACUCAUAAUUGAGCACAUGGGUAGAGACACGAGCGUUUAUCACAGCCAUGUGAGGGACACAGCCUCAAGUACAGGCGUGUGUCCUGGACGUGUGAAGUCUGCACCUAUUUAUGAAAAUUAAAUUGACCACAUGGCCUAGCACAUGGGUGUGUGGCUGGGCCUUGUGACUUCAAUUUGUUCAUGCCUUGCAAGUCAGAGAGUUACACGGGUGAGGGACACGAGCAUGUGUGACGACACGGGCAUGUCGGAAACCACACAACCGUGUGACCCCUGUACAUGGCAAAAAUCUUCUAAGUUUUGUAAAAAUUUCCUAAGUUCUCAGUUUAAUCCCGGACCACUUCCAAUGCAUGUUUUAAGCCUCGUAGGCUCGUAUUAGGGACUUUAUGACCUAUUGCAAAUGGUUUUAAUUUGGUUGAAAUUUAUGACUCAGAAUUGUAUGAUUUUUUGCAACGUAAGUCUAGCAGUGCCUCGUAACCAUGUUCCAACAUCGAAUACAAGUCAGGGGUGUUACAAAGUUCCAAUUGAUCGAGCUUCAGAUGACCUAGAAAAUAAAGGAAAACAACUACAUAAGCAUUUGCUUAGUAAGUUCGUAAAAAAUAAACUUCAACUUACCGAACAUCAAUUAACAAUGCAUACAACCAUGCUUAUUUCAUCAUUUAACAUUAUAUUUUCCUAUGCACCAAUAUUCACAUGGUUAGUAGAAAUCAUGAAAACAUAAAAUCUAUGCAUCAUCUUAUAUACUAGGAAAUAAAUUCCAUACCUUUCUUGUUCAUCACAUAACAACUUCCCAUUCAUUACAUUCCAUAAAUUCAAACACAUAUUACCUUUUCAAAUGAACAUUAGCAAAAAUAGGUUUUUAUACAUGCCUUUCCUUUAUCCUUUACUUACCUAUUGAAUUGUACAGAAUAACACCAGAUACUUGGGAACACAUAUUCAUAUAACCGUAACCUUUUCAAUAGUGCUCACACGAGCUUUGAAAUGGGCCUACUCACACGAAAUGUGAAAUGGGCCUGCUCACACGAGUUGUGAAAUGGGCCUACUUACACGAGCUGUGGGUCAAAAUGUUAACUAUACAAUGCUUCACACAAGUUGUGGAGAAUCCGCAAAAAAUGCAAUACCUCGGCCAUCGGUAGGACAUUCAGGACCAACACCCCAAACAUACAAUCUCUAAUGACAUCUCAUUUGUAUGACAUCUCAUUUGUAUCCUAAGUAUUCUUUAGGUUCAAACGAGACUUUUAAGCCGUCAAGUACCUAAUUAUCGUAUUAUAAUUGAAAUAAAUAUAUCUAACAUAUCAUUAAUGAAUAAUCAACCAAAACAACACGUAAUAAGCAUAAAGUCCAUACAAACUUACCUUGAUACCACGAUCAUUUUAACACGAAAACUAAUCCAACAUUUUAGCUUUGCCUCAAUUUACGUUUGGUUGUUGCAUAUCUUGAUCUAAAUAAUAAUUUUAUUCAAUUAAGCACAUCAAAUAACCUCAAUUAUUCAUUUCAAUAAAUAACUCAUAUUACCAUAAAAUUACAAAAUUACACCUCCUAUUUUAACUUUUUCACAACUUAGUCGUUAAGCCCAUAACUUGAUAAUUCACUUUUUUUCUAAACUUAGUUCUUAAGCCCAUAACUUGAUAAUUCACCCUUUUUCUACCUAAAAUAUACUAGCUGAUAUUUCCCUAUACUCAUAUCAAUCUACAUUUUUCUUCAUUUUACAAAAUAUACAUGAAAUUUACCAUUUAAACAAUUUAAUCCCUAAACCAUAAAUUCUCUAAAAAUCACUAAAUAAAACAUGUUCAUUUAACAAUCAAAAUUAAUAAUCUAUCAAUUAAAAUCAAAAGACACUCAAAAUCAACCAUGGAAAGCCCCUCAACCAUUAAUAACUUUGCAAAUUAACCCUUGGGAUAAGUAUAUUAUGUUAAAACGAGCUCAAAAACAUAAAAAUCAUUAAAAACGGGGUUCAAAAACUCACCAUGCACACAAGCAAUACUUGGCCAAAUGUUUUUCUCCAAAAAUAUAGAGGAAUUGGUUUUGGCUAGGUUCAUUACAGAAGAUGACACAAUUUUUCCUUUUGUUUUAUUUAGUCUUUUAACUUAAUUAUCCAUUUACCACUUUAACCUUUUAAAAAAACUAAUAAAUUACACCAUGACCAAUCCAACAUCAACCACUAACUUACACCAUGGUAUAAUUACCAACUAAAUUAUUUAAUUUAUACUUCUAAGGCCAUUUACUCCAUUCAAUUAAUAGAAACAAUCUUUUGCAUCUUUUAUGGUUUGGUCGUUUUUACCUAAUUAACCAUUUAAACUUCAAAAUUUCUUAACAAAAAUUUAACGCGACUUUAAGUUAACCCUAUUGAUAUUAAAUAAACAUCAAAAAUACUAACUCACUCAUUGGAAUCGGGUUGUUACACUCUGUGAAGGUAAAUAAGAAUAACAAAUAAUGAAGAUAUAGUAUACUAGCCUGAAGUAAAAGAAGAUUGGCAAGAAACAUAAUCAUUUAACCAAAAAAGAGGUCGAGAGACCCUAGGGGACUUCUUAAGACCCUGUUUUGGUGGAGAGACAAAUGAUAAAGGUAGAACAGAAGUGCUUGCUAAAGAAGGUGAAUCAGAAAUAGAAUGAAAAACAUAUGAUGAAGCAGAUGAAUGUGGGAAAUAAGGAAUAACUAAAAAAUCAAAAUCAAGAACCUGUGGUUGUGAAAGAAAGAAACAUUUAGAGGAAGCCACUAGAAAGUGAAAAAGGAAGAUAGUUUCAUGAAAUUAAACAUCUCUAUUGACAAAAAAAGUUUUGGUUUCUAAACUAAACAAAAGAUAACCUUUUUUAGUAGAAGAAUAACCCAUAAAAAUGGAAGAAAUUACUUUAGGAGAGAAUUUAUCAUGGUAAUUAGGCUGAGUAGUAUAGCAUAAAUAGCUAAAGACCCUUAAAUGAGAAAUAGAAGUUUUUUUGUGGUGAAGAAAUUCAAAGGUAUUUUCUAUUGAAGAGUAGCAGACGGAAGCCUAUUGAUGAGAUAAUAGGCAGUUAGAACACAUUCUCCCUAUAACGUAAUAGGGAAUUUAGAUUGAAAAUGAAUAGCUUUAGCUACUUCUAAAAGGUUUUUGUGUUUUCUCUCAGCAAUGCCAUUUUAUUGAGGAGUAUGAACACAAGAACUCCAAUGAAUAAUUCCUAAGGAAGAAAAAAAAGUGGAACAAUCUGAAUUAAAAAAUUUAGAAUCAUUGUCACUACAGAGGAGUUUGAAAGUGGUAUUAAUUGGUUUUGAAUGAAAGCAAAUAAUUUCUUUAAAGAAAGAAUGGCAUCAAACUUAAGCUUCAACAAGUACACCCAGGACAUUAUAGUGUGAUAAUAAACUAUAGUAAGAAAAAAGUGAUGACCACUAUGUGUAAACACUCUAUAAGGUCCCCAUAAGUCAGUGUGAACAAGUUGGAUAGGAAAAUCAGCUCUGGAAUGAGUAAUAGGAAAAAGGAAUCUAAAUUGUUUUGCUAGAGGACAAACAUAACAACUAUGAAUAGAAUUGGUAUCAAGCUUAUUAUUAUGAAACAAAAGUUUCUUAUGUAGUUUUGAAAGAGAAGUAUGACCUAAAAAAGCAUGCCAAGUAGUAGUAUUAUUAGUAGAAAAAGACAUAAAUUGUGAAACAGUGGUACAUGACAUAUGCGAAACAGGAUUACAUUGUGAAAAUGAAAACAAAAUAGAACUAAAAAAAGAUGAUUCAAAGACAUAUAAACCUCCCUAUUUCCUACCAAUCCCCUUCAUCUUGCCAGUUGGGAGAUCCUGAAAAAGACAGAAAUCAUGAUAGAAAAUGAUAGCAUAAUGCAACUCAUGGGUUAAUUUUGAAACAGAAAUCAAAUUAUGAGUAAAAUUUAACACAUAUAGAACAUUUUAUAAAACUUGAUUAGAAUCAAGAGAAAAAGAGCCAAUAUGUGUUAUUGGAAGAGUUUUACCAUCAGGAAGAUAGACAAGCUAGGAAGUAGAAGCACAAAAAAUAGGGUUAUUCAAGCUUUAAAGAUCAAAUGACAUAUGAUCUACCACACCAGUGUCCAAAAUCCAGGUGAGGGUAUUGAAAUAGGUAAACAUCGAGAAACUAUACCUGCAAGAUUAACAAUAAACUUAGUCAUUUUUCCUUUAUUCAGUAGACCUAAAAUUUGACCAUACUAGUUAAUGGUGAAAACAAGAGUAAGCAUAGGAGAAGUUGACGAUCUUGAAUAAGGAGGGAGCCAUCAGGGGUGUUAGAAUUGACCGUCAUUACUGCGUGAACAUUUUUGCGCUUUGUAUAUUUGAAAUCGGGAAGAAAGCCAAUAAGGCGAUAACAUUGCUCAAUCUUGUGACCUUUAACCUUACAUUAAUCACAUGUCCUAUUGAACCAAACAUGACGAGUAACAAAAGCACCAGAGGAAUUUGAGAACAUACCAGUAGAAUCUGAAAUGGGCAAGACACCAAACAAGCAACUUUAUUGCAAUUCUUCUUGAACAAUUAUAGAAUACACUUGAUUAAUAGAUGGAAGCAAUUCCAUAAGGAGAAUUUGACUGCUAAUUGUAGAAUAGGUCUCAUUGAGUUUCAUCAAGAAUUGAAACAAGCGAUGUUGAAGAAUAUGUGUCAAAUUCUAUUGUGAAUUCGUAUAAUUGUAAGAAGAAAUUGGAACUAAAGUAGCAUACUCGUCCCACAAAAGCUUGAGUUGCUUGAAGUAUGCAGAAACAAAAAAAAAUCUCCCUAAGUAAGCAUGGUGAUAUCACGAUGAAGAAAAAAGAUCUAUGAACCAUCAAUCUUACUAGAACAUUCCUUCAGAUAUUGCCAAACAAGUGUUACACUCAAGGCAAAUACUAAUCCUAUCGAAAGUUUAGUAUUAACAGUGUUGAGAAUCCAUGAAAGAAUGAUCGCGUUACAAUGAUCCCAUUGGGGAUGAAGAGAAACAUUGAAAUAAUCUCUGCCACAAUCGUGAUCGACAAACCUUUGUUUAUUUUUCCCUAACAACUCAAUUUGCAUUGAACGAUUCCAAAGGCUAUAAUUCUUGAAAAUAGUUAACUGAUGAUAAAUAGGAAGACUUCUGGACAUAUCAGAUGGAUGCAAGUAAAGAGGAUGUGUGAAAUCAAUAUCUGUGAAAUCCAUGAUGGGGAUACAACAGAGACACUAUUCAGAAUACAAAAGGAAAAAUGAAACGAAUCAGAUGAAAACCCAAUAGCAAAAUGAAACGACUCAAUGGCAAAGUCCAGUGAAAAAAAACCAAGCCCUGGAGAAUGAGCAACCCACAGUGAGAAAUGGUUUCUAAAUUUGAAGAAAUUAGCAUGGAAAUUAAGAGGAGGAUCGAAACUUGGCUCUGAUAGCAUGUUAAAAUUUAAUACUUGCAAUGUAUAGAUUUCACCAUUUUCUUAUUGAUCAUUGGAUUAAAUUACAAUGUGUCUAUUUAUACUACUUAGCUAGCUACCUAACUAAGUAACUAAUCCGUAACUACUCAACAACUAACUAAACUGAUUUCUACACUAAUGAUAUGUUAUAUGUAAUGUUUCUUUGAGUUGUGGAUUAACAUUUUAUAUUGUUGAAAGGUGUUUUAUUAAUGGUUGAAUGUAUCUAGUGUGCUUUUUAACCUCUUUGAUGAAAUUUCACAUUGGCUAGAAAAAAGUAUAUUAGGAAGCCAACUACUGGCUAAUGAUAUGUCUAUCAUUUUUUUAGGCUGGUGAUCAUAUUUUUUAAACUUAUUUAUUUUAAUAUUUAUUCUUAUAAUUUUUUAGUUGAUUUUUUUGAAGUAAAAUUCAAUUUUUUCAUUUAUUCAAUGUAAAUACAUAAACAAAUAUUGUUAUUUUUUGGGGAUAAACUUGAUUAAGCAGAGAACAAGUAAAAUAAUAAAGAAUUUGAAAAGAUCGAACAUAAAUAUUUUAUGUGGAAAACCCCCUCCGAAGAGGAUAAAAAACCACAAGAAAAAAUAAUUUCACUAUAAUGGCAAAAAUAAAGAGUACAAAAAUGGAGAUAAACUCCACCCUAAAACCUGAAUUAAGAACCCUCAAAAUGUAAACACAAAAUUCUCUGAAAGCUUGUAAAAGCUAAUACCUAAAUUUGUAAUAGGUUAUAUUUCUAGGGUGGAAAAAUAGUCUAUUUAUAGGCUAAAUUUGUAGGUCAAAUAAUAUUAAAAUAACUUAAACACUAAUAAGUGUUUAAGUGAGACACAAAUAUUAAAAUAACUUAUACUAAAAAUAGUUUAAGUGGGAAACUAAAAACAAAAUUUAACUAAGAGAAGAAAAGCCAAAAAAAUACUAGUCAUAAUUCCAUAAAUCUCCACACUGACUCAUAUUUCCACAAUGAUUUAUUUUCCAAAGCCCAAAAUGGGCUUAUCUCGAACUAUGUCAGAUAUUAACUGAGUCAAAGUUGUGCUUAAAACAUAGAAGUCUUAUAGCCUUCGAUUUGUGCACUGCCAAAUAAAAAAUGACCCAGGCUUGAUUUCCACUAACACAACGCCCUAUCUUUUCAAAACUUGCACCCAAAAAUGAACCUGUCUUAGACGAAACGGUCAUACCCCUUUCCCUCUUAUGACCGUGUUGUCUCUGCUUUUUUAUUUCGCAGUUAUCAUGACCUAACUUCUUAAAUAGCAACAUCUCUUACCUUGCUUCCUUGAUGCUACCAAAACCAAGAAUUUCCUAUUUGAGUUUCCAUCUAAAUCAAACUCAUUUUCAAUUUUGUCUUUGCACAAUAAAUGACCCUGCACAUCUUCGAAUGAGAGAUUAUCUCUGUCAUAAAUUAGGGUCUCCUUGAAAUACUUGUAUGAAGAGGGUAAAAAGAACAAUAAUAGCUUAGUUUGAUCUUCAUCAUCAAUUUGAACUUCAACAUUUUUAAAUCAUUCAAAAGAGUAAUAAAUUGACUGAUGUGACCUAUAAGGUGCUUGCUUUUGUCUAUGUAGAACGUGUAUAGACAUUGUUUAAACACCAAUUGGUUAGCUAGAGACUUUAUCGCGUAAAGUGUUUCUAACCUUUUCCAUAAGAUGAAUUUUUUUUUCUCCAUCAAAACCUCCUGCAACACAUUAUUUGUUAGACAUAAUUAAAUCAUGGAUAGAGCUUUUUUAUCUAACCUAUUCCAUUCUAAUUUAUUUAGGUUUGAAGACUUCUUCUCUAUAAGGACCUUUUCAAGAUCACUCUGAAUUAGAAUUGUCGUUAUCUGAACUUGCCAAUGCUUGAAAAUUUUAAUGCCAUCAAACUUAUCAAUAUCAAACCUUGUUGUUGCCAUCUCUAAUAGGGUUGGAUACGAAAAUCAAACUAGCUUUGAUACCAAUUUUUGGGGAUAAACCCGAUUAAACAAUGAACAAAUAAAAUAACAAUUAAAUUGAAAAGAUCAAACACAAAUAUUUUACGUGGAAAAAACCCUCUGAAGAGGAUAAAAAACUAUGGGAAAAGACUUCAAAACCAGAAAUAAGAAUCUUCAAAAGGUAAACACAAAAUUAUUUUAAAGCUUGUAAAAGCUAAUACCUAAAUGUGUAAUUAGUUAUCUUUUUAGGGUGGAAAAAGGGUUUAUUUAUAGGAAAAAUGUGCAAGUCAAAUAAUAUUAAAAUAUCCUACACUAAUCGAAGUUUAUGUGAGAAGCUAAUAUUAAAAUAACCUACACUAAUUAGAGUUUAAGUGGUAAACUAAAAAUAGAGUUUAAGUAGGAGAAGAAAAGACAAAAAAUAUGAGACAUAACUACAUAUUAUUGUUGAUUUUGUUUUUGAGUAGUGCCAAGAACCAAUGCCAACCAGUGCUUGUAACUGCCUACUCAGAAAAUUGCCAUGUUUAAGUUGUCAAGUUCUGGUAACAAAAAUCCUUGAUCUUUAAUUUUGACUGAUACUUUGGACGACAGUCGGCUUAUCUUUUAUAUCCAAACUACACGUAGUAACAUAUCUUGGAGAUUGGUUUGGAUUUGGACAGAAGAAAUAAACUUUCCAAGUUUGGCGGAUUAGAUCAAAUUGGAUAGAACUUGAAAGUAUAUCUUGGAGAUUUAAGACUUUCCUUAAGUUGAUUGAAGAUGUUCUUUAUGGUUAUUAUCUUACUAUAUACAUGGGAAGAUUGAUUGUAAUUGAUGUAGUAUGUGUUGGUAAUACAAAAGAAAAGGGCAAUCCCACAUUGGUUGGCAUAAGCUUCUAACGGGGUUUAUAUAUAGACUUGUCUCUUUCCCUUAUUAAGUAAUUGGAGCUAAAAACCUAACACGUGCACGUCGUCGUUGCCCGACCCGUGUCCACGAAACAUACUGUAAGUGUUCAUUUUUGGGUAAAAAUUCUGUAUUGUUUUUCAAGAAAUAAAUUUAUUUAGAUUCUAAAAAUUUGUUGCAGAAAAAUCUGGAAACAGAAAAUAUUUUUAUUUGUCUGUUACAGAUUUUUAGGAAACUAUUUCUACUAGUUUUACUUUUUUUCCCUUACAUAUUUGACGACUUUGCCCUUCGAAAAACUGUAUAAAUAGGAGGCCAUUCCCUUUAUUUUUGAUAGAACAGAAGAGAAAUAAAAUUUCUCUCAUCCUUCUGUUCUUUAAAUUCUGGUGUUCUAUAAAAUCAAACUAAAGGAAAAUUCUGUUUAGGAGAUUGAGUUUUAAACGGGACUGUCUGUGACCCCUUCAAUCAUUCUUGGGAAUUGAACCUAGUAUGGUUUUGCAGGUUUCUUCCAGUUUAUUUUUCAAUCAGAUUCCCAAUCAACUACUUUUUUUUUUGGUUUCCAUUCCUUUCGAGACGAGCAAUGUGAAUUGUGUUCCACCUUUUUUAUUUGGGUGUAUGAAUACUGAAGUAUUGUGUUAACCUUGGGGGGCAACAUCCACUACAUGAUUACUCCGACCAUAGGAAAUUUGCUUAUAAGGUAGUGGUUCUUCGACAACACAGGAAUUACCAUUUUAUUUACCCUCAGUUUGGUUUCCUGUCAGAGCUAAUGAUUAUGUUUUGCAGUAGUAUAUUUCCAACAAUUUAGAAGCAAAUUAUACUAUUAUUUAAAAAUGAGACUCGUUUUCAUUUCCCACUAUUGGAACCAUUAAAGGCUCUUAUAUGCAUCAAGUUAGAGUACACUUGAGGACUGUUGGAGAAAAUGUAGUGUCUUAUUGAGGCAAUCAAUUUGAGGGCACCUGAGUAGUGUAAGUGUGUGCCUAAGUAGCGUUGGAGUGAUUGCAAGCUCCAUUUGUGUUGGUCAAUGGGCCUUUGCGAUCAAAAUGGGCUUGGAAGGCCUAGUAAGAUUGGGUCGAUUGAGUCUUAGCUCGACUGGCAUGGUCAUUGUUGCCAAUGUAGGAGGAUGUGAGUUCAAGUGCGCUGAUGUGCUUUAUCUUCCUAUUUGAGUUGGUCAAAGGUUUCUUGAGUUUGAGAUGGUCAAAGGGCCCUUGAGUUUGAGUUGGUUUGAGAACCAUGACCAGUUUGUUGGAUGCUUGUAUCUGGGAUAGGGCUUAUGAUGCCCUCAUCCAUGAUAAGCUACUAAUACAUGAGAUUUAUGGAGCUAGUCCAAGCGUAAUCAAAUUUCCAACAAAAGUAGACAAAAUGAUUAUCAAGUCCGAGAUGUUGAACAAGAGAACUAGUGGGGGAUGUCUUUUUCAGGCAACCUAUGAGAUUGUGCAGAGAAAGGAACAAUGUGCUAGGCUUUGCAUAAAUGAGCAUUAAAGUCCAAAAUUGAUAUUGAGAUUGACCUAGUUUAAUGGUGUCACCUAUGUUGUUGUUGGCCAAGAUGGCCAAACCCAUUGGGGUGACCAUAGAUGGGCUGAGAGGAUCUAAGUUGGGGAUGGUAAAUCUAUCUGAAUUUCUCAUGUUGAGAGCUUUUGAUGCCACAAGAGAUGGUUGGCAUAAACCAUGUAUGGAGGGGCACAUCCAACGGGAUGUCGCAAGAGUACGGUUGGUGCCACAUCGAAAGGGAUGCCUUUUGAGUAUCAAAGACAUAGUAAUAUUCAAUCAAUAAAGGAUCAUACCAUUAAGGGUUCCUUAGGGUUGUAACUUGAUGAUUAUGUAUUGUGGCAUUGAGUUCGAGUGUUUAGUGGAGGAAUGAGCACAAACAAGACUACACCAACGAUUAAGAUGAGAACAAGUUUGAGUCUAUGUUUAAUGCACGUUGAAUAGAUCAUAACUUUAGGCCAUGAAGGCCUAAGAUGGUCUUGAGACCAAAAUGGAAACUCGGUGCAUCAUCAUAGUAAGUAAGGGAGUGUCAUAGUCCGCAAUUUAGUUAUCAAGGUUGAGCUUUCCCCAAAUGGUCUUAAGUGAAAUUAAAGUAUAAUAACUUGGAAGUUGGAGUUUGUCAGAUACCCUACAGUACUAAAAGGAUGUUGUGGUGCAAACUGGGUAACUGAUAAAGUUAGCUUUACAAGUCUGUAUGUCUAUAGUUUGGGUGGAACAACUAUUUCAUAAAAGUCUGUUAAAUAGAUGUAUAUUGCUCGCUCCAUGAUGGAAUAUGAGUUUAUUACUCUUGACUGAGCCAGGUAAGAGGUUGAAUGGCUUAGGAAUCUACUUGCAGAGAUUUCUUUAUAGGAGAAUAGAGUACUAUUUUGAAGAACGUGAAGUCUGAAAGGAACCUAGCUGAUCCACUAACAAAAGGGUUAAGUAGGAUAAUGGUUCUUGAUUAAUUGAGGGGGAUGAGUCUUAAGCCCAAGGGUUGAGGAAUUCAUGGUGGAACCCAACUUAGUUUUCUAUGUUCAAUGUGGUCAAACGAAACCAUGGAAAGACUCGUAGUGUACAUUCUACCUAUCCUUUAGGUGAAUGAUGUACAUGUAUAAUGUUGAGUUAUCACUCUUAACAAAUUCAUAUCAUAGGAUUUGGGUGGUCUUAUUGAGACGGACUUGACGAAUUCACCGACAUGUGACAUUGAGUUUAUUACUCUUAAUGAGUUCAUAUCCUAGAGUUUGGGUGGUCAUAGUGAGACGGACUUGAUGAAUUCACCAAAUUUAAAUUUGAGAGUAAGAGCUUAAUAAAUGAUCUUAAUGAUUUCAUAGUCAUGUCUCAAGUGGUCUAUAUUGAGAUAGACUUGAUGAAGUCACCUACAUAAGUGUGAAGAACUAGCCAUAUUCGAUGAAAGACAUUGAACAAUAAUUCUAGAGAACUUACCAAUAUCCCGAGGUGUAUUGGCUAAAAAUUGUUGAUCUAUCAUAGAAUAUUUAUUGGUUCUGAGAUUAGUCGUUUGCAUGAGUUAACCCAUGUCUUAACAAGUUCAAGAUUCAUUUAGAUCUUAAAGAGAAAAAUCACUCAUUUCACUAUGUACUAGUUUAAAUACAUAGUGCUUAAGCAACUAAUUUCACUAUUGCUCUUUUCAUAUUUUUACUUUUUUCUCUUGUUUACAAAAUUUUCCUGAUUUUCUUGCAUUAGUGGGGGAAUGUUGGUAAUGCAAAAGAAAAGGGCAAUCCCACAUUGGUUAGGCAUAAGCUAAAGGUCUAACAUGUGCGGACCACCACCACCUCCUAGUUUGUGUUUACGAAAUGUAUCACACUUGUUUAUUUUUGGGUUAAAAUUUUAUAUUAUUUUUCAGAAAAUAAUUUGUUUUUAGAUUUCAAAAAUUUGUUGCAGAAAAAACUAGCCAACAAAAAAUAUUUUUAUUUGACUGUUGUAAUUUUUAAGAAACUAUUUCUGCCAAUUUUACCUUUUUGACCCUACGUAUUUUACCACUUUUCCCAUUAGGAAACUAUAUAAAUAAAAAGUCAUCCUCCUUAUUUUAGAUAGAACACAACAAGAUAAAAACAGAGAGAAAAAAUUCUCCCAUCUUUCUAUUCUUUAAAUUUUGGUGUUCUACGAAAUUACAAGAGAGGAAAAUUUUUCUAGGAGAUUGUGUUUUAAGUGGACCAUUUGUGUGUAACACCCCUAACCUAUAUCUGUCGCCAGAUAAGGGUUACGGAUCAUUACUGUACUAUCAGAACAUUUAAACUUAAUUUCAUUCAAUAAGAUAAACAUAUCAAAAAUCAAUCAUACAUAUACAUGCCAUCCCUAAAUCAGCCCUCGAGGCUCUAAAGAUGCAUUGGAAACAAAUCAGGACCAAUUUAAAAUCAUUUUGAAAGUCCAGGAAAAAUUCACAAAAUUUUUGAAACAGGGAUCACACGACCAUAUGGCUAGGCCGUAUGCCUCACACGAUUGAGAGACACACCUGUGGCUCAGACCGUGUAACCUUUGAACUAGGGACACACGGUUGCGUCCUAGCUUGUGUCCUCACCAGUGUAACUCUUUGAGUAGGGUCACACGGUCAUGUCAUACGCUUGUGUGUCAGGCCGUGUAACUCUUUGAGUUGCCUCGCAUGCCCUUGUGUCAAGUUGUGUGUUAGGCUGUGUAACUCACUGACUUGUAUACAAAGAAACCCUCGGAUAACACACGGUUGUGUCACCAGGCCAUGUGCUACACACGGCUGAGUUACACGUCCAUAUCUCAGGCAUGUGGACCUAAAAUUCACCUAGAACCAAACCAUCUCAAUGCCAUAUCAUUCUUAACUUCUCAAGCCAUUCAUGCAUACAUUCAAGGAACCUAAACAUUACCUAAACACACAUCAAAACACCAUUUCAAUGUUCUAACACAACUAACCAAUAUGCCAUUCAAAGGCACCUCAAUCAACAACUAAAUAUUACCUAUCUAAACAUGUCAAUUAUGUCAUAAUUCAAUCAUCAAAUUCUAGUUCAACAUAUACCAAAACAUACCAAUAACACAUCAUUUCAAACAUACCAUAGUAGCAUAACCAAGUUGACACAAUUUGACAAAGCAUCAAAAAGUGCCAAACCAAGAUAACAUCCACAACUUAUACAAGCCAAUUUAGCAAAAAAACAUUCAAAAAAAUGACAUUACAUUUCAAUCUAUACAUGCCUUUAUAACCUUGGUCAAAACAUUCAAAAAAUACUGAUAUUUAUGCUAGAUAGUGUGAUAGAUCUCCGAUGAGCUUCCAAACCAAUCGAACUUCUGAUAACCUAUAAAACAUAGGAAAGAAACUAUGUAAGCCAUUAAUGCUUAGUAAGUUUGUAUAUAUCAAAACAUAAAUUACCAUUUCAAUUUGCAUAAUUUAAAGCAUAAGUACAUUAAAUUCCAAACCAUAAGCUUCUUAUAAGCCUAUAAAUUACUAUCGAUACACAAGUUAGCACAUUUGUACAUAACUCAUUUAAAUUAACCAUAUGAUAAGUCAUUUUCAAAUGAAAUACAUUAUUUGAUUCAUGUAUCCUUUCCAUGCACUUAUGCAUAAUUCCAUUUGAAAACUUACCAUUUUAAUCCCUUUCCUUACCCAUUGAACCGAAUAGAAUUUCACCGGAUACUCGAGAAAGCUCACACAAAAUGUGCCUUUACACAACCGUAACAUUUUUCCUUUAUAUCAUUGCUCACACGUGCUAUGAAAUGGCCCUGCUCACACGAGCUGUGGGUCGAAAUAUAAGUUACACGAUGCUGCUCACAUGAGCUGUGGAGUAUCCGUAACAAAUGCAGGACUUCAGCCAUCAGUAGGACAUUCAAGACCAGCACCCGGAACAUGAAAUCCCUAAUGACAUGUCAUUUGUAUCCUAUGAAUUCUUAAGGCUCAACUGGAACUCAAUAACUGUUAUAACAUUGAUUUCUAUAUACAUUGUUCAAUUACAUUAUGAAUAACAUAAUAACAUAAAUUUAAAUAACAUGAAUAUAAUAACUGCUUAUACGAACUUGCCUCGACAACUAGGGGUGAGAAGGUUAAAUCGAACUAAUUCGAAGCUUUUGGUUUGCCUCGAUCUACGUUCGUACGUUGUUUAUCUUGAUCUAAAUGGACAAUUUCAAUCUGUUUAAAACUUAUAGUAUUCAACUUAGUCCACAUUUCAUAUUUAUGCAAAAUUACUAUUUUGCGCCUAACAUUUUAACUUUUCCACAAUUUAGUCUUUAAGCUUAUAAAUUGAAAUAAAAGAAUUUUAAUCCUUCUUAUAAGCUAACCAAAAUCUUUAGGAACUUAAUCCAACCAAAUAAAUCAUCAUUUCAUAAUUUUAACAUGAAUUUUUACUAUUUUUACAAACAAAUACCUAAAUGCAAAUUUCAUUAAAAAUCACUUUACAAAACUCGUUUAUUUCUCAAAAAAGGUUCAUAAUCUAUCAUUUAACUUCAAAAACCAUUCAAGAAAAUUCGUGACAUAACUCUCAACCUUUAAUAGUUUUACAAAUUGAUACUCGGGCUAGCUAGGUUAAGCUAAAAUGAUCCCAAAAGCAUAAAAAUCAUUAAAAACGGGGUUCAAAAUCAUACCAUGCACUAGACUUUAUGCUUGCCGAAUACUUAUCUUCUCCAAUGGCUAUUUUAGGGUUUUUUUUUUAAAAAAAAAGAUGAAGAUGACAACAUUUGGUUCAUCUUUUGUUAUUACUUUUUUCUUUUAAUUACCAAAUUACUAAAUUAACCUUUAAAAACUAUCAUAAUUAUAUUAAAACCUAUCCAUGUCCAUCCACUAUCAAUAUAUAUGGUAUAAUUACCAUUCAAGUCCAUUAAAUUUCAUUUCCAAAGUCAUUUAACCCCUUUACUAAUAGAACUCAACUUUUACACCUUUUACAAUUUAGUCCUUUUUACUUAAUUAAUCAUGCAAACAUCAAAAUUUUUUAAUGAAAUUUUAAUACGACUUUACUAUAAUCCCAUAGACAUUAAAAUAAAAAAAGAAUAAGUUACUCAUCAGAUUUGUGGUUUCAAAAACUUUGUUUCUAUAUCACUAAAAAUAGGCCGUUACACUCUGACCCCUCCAAUCUUUCUUGGGAAUUGAACCUAUUGUGGUUUGAUCAAUUUCUUCUAUUUUAUUUUUUUAUCAACUGCUUUUUUUUUUCAGUUUCCAUUCCUUUUGAGAAGAGCAAUGUCAAUUGUGUUCCACCUUCUUUAUUCAGAUGUACGAAUAUUGAAGUACUGUGUUAAUCUUGGGGGGAACGUCCACUCCAUGAUUACACCAAUUAAGGAGAAUUUUCUUAUAAGGAAGUGGUUCUUCCAUGGCACAUGGAUUGUUAUUUUAUUUACAAUCAAUUUAGUUUCUUGCUAAUUGUAACGAAUUUGUUCUGCAGUAGUAUAUUUCCAAUAGUAUGUUAGCAAGUCUCGAUUCCAUUAUAUUGAGGAGACUUAUAUAGUUGAUGUGCUAAACUGAAAGCACUUUAUUGUUGUUCAAUGAGGAACCUUUUUUGUGAGUGCAUUGAGUGAUAAUCAAGUGUGUGAUUUGGUUAAUUCCUAAAGUUUUUAGGGGAAAAACUUAAAGGAGAGUUUUGUAGAUCUUAGUUACAAAAGCGAGGAGUCUAAUAUGAUGAGUGUUAGAUAUUGUAAUCACUUCUUGUACGAGUUGCUAAGACAGUGGAUUAUCUCUCUGGGCAAGAUUUUCAUAGUUUUGAAUUUCAUAUACAAAUUAUUAUGUAUUUUAGAUUUGGUGUCUACAUUGUAUAAUUUUCGCCCCCUGGCUAGAUAUUAUUCAAAUAUUAAUGUAUGAUGGGUCUUGAAAGACUAAACUUAGAGGCCCAAUAUGGACUUUAAAGCCAAAUUCCAAAAUUAAUUGAUUUGGCUCAUACCCAUACAUAUUAAGUUAGUGAAUUUCUUUUAUUUUGAUUUGUAUGUCUUGCUAAAGAAUUAUCUUCCUCUGGUAAGGUGCCGACAUUGCUGAGAAAAAAAUAAAUGAGUUUGAUGUAGAGGUUGAGAGAGCAGAGUAAAAAAAAAUACAAAUUAUCUUCCUCUUGGCUCAUUACGCAAAAGACCUCUCGGUAAAUAUUUUUGCAUAAAUUAUGUUCUUUAUUUAUUUGACUUAUUUUUUUCUUUUUCCUAAUAUGUUGUUGUUUAAUAUAUUCUUACAGUCUUCAAGUUUUUCGAUUAAAUUACGGUCAACAAAAAGAUCAAAUUCUUUUUUAAUAAAAGGGUGUAAAAAAAAAUGAUCAGUCGGUUUCUCAACCUUCUGCUAUUUGUGGAGAAAAAUCAAAUAUCGAAUCUUCCCAAGCUCUUGAACAAGAUAUCAGGCCUUCUCAAUCCCAACCUCUUGAACCUGAUAUCUAGUCUUCCCAAGCUUCUGAACGAGAUAUUGAGUCUUCCUAAGAUCCUGAACGAGAUAUUGGGUCUUCUCAUGUUCCUGAAUGUCCUUGUAAGAUGUCGAUAGUUGAAACAAAUGAGUUUGAUGCUUCUUUAGAGCAUGAUCCGAGACCUCAAAAAUUUAUUUGGGAUUACCCUAUAAAUCAACAAGAUGAAGUCCAUCGAGCUUAUGUUAAGUUUGGGUCAUAUCAACCGAUUCCUACAAGUGAGGCUCCAACAUCUCCUCGUUAUAUUUGACAAGAAUGGACGCUGAUUUCUCCCAUAUUGGUACAAGUUAUUCCUAGAUUGGCUCGAGUUUUCACCAAAUAAGAUUGCAAUAUAUCCUUCCAUGUUUUUUCUUCAACAAGCCAUGUAACACCCCGUACCCGAGUCCGUCGCCGGAGUCGGACACGAGGGGUUUGCAGACUUAAAUCACUUCUUUGCACAAUCCAUUUUAAAAUUUUCCAGGCAAGUUGGCUAACUGCGUCACUGUCACCUUAAAAAUCAUAUCUUGAGUUUCACAACUCGAAAAUCAGUUUUGUGAUUUUUUCCUGAAACUAGACUCAUAUAUGCAUCUAAAAAUUUUUUUCUAGAAUUUUUGGUCGGGCCAAUUAGUACAGUUUAUUAGUCAAAGUCUCCCCUGUUACAGGGAUCGACUACACUGACCUUUGCGCAUUACGACUUGGAUAUCUCCCUGUACAAGGCUUAAAUACUGAUGCCGUUUGUUUCUAUAGAAACUAGACUCAAAUAGGAAUCUAUACAUAUAUGGAAUGACUUCUAAAUGUCUCUGGUUAAUUUAUAAUGAAUUUCCAAAUUCAGAUCAGGGGAUCCAGGAACCGUUCUGGCCCUGUCUCACGAAAACUUUUGCAUCUCAUAAUAUACUGUUCAUAUGAACGUUUCGUUACUUUCCAAUGAAAAUAGAUUCAUCAAGGUUAAAUUACAUAAUUUAUUCACUAUUUAAUUUCAUUCCUACUAUUUUUAGUGAUUUUUCACAUCCACAUCACUACUGCUGCCAGCAUCUAUUUUUAAGGUAAACUUUACCUAUUUCAUGAUCCUCCAUGGAUCAACUAGAGUUUGUCAUACAUAUUCCAAAAAUGAUCAUGAAUAACCAUUCCCAUGGCUAACCGUUACCAACAUUUCCAUACCUCUCGACGGACAACAUACAAAACGAUUAUAAAGCUAUGAUCAAAGUAUAUUUAAGCCAUUUUCGCAUGGCUAUCCAAAUUUACACAAAACCGAAGGGUACAUGACCAACAACAAAAGGGUAGUCCUAUACAUGCCAUUUCAAAGUUCAACCAAAAGUAUACCAAAAGGAGCUUUGAUAGUGUGGGCGACUUCGACUUCAAAAUCCCGAGUCCGAUAGCUGAAGAACCAAAAUCUAUAAAACAGAGAAUCAAAGAAACGGAGUAAGCAUUAAAUGCUUAGUAAGUUUUGAGCAAAGAAUUUAGACACAACCAAAGUAUAGCAUUCAUGUAGCUAAACGGAUAAUUUCAUAUGCACAAAUUUUCAAUAUCAUACUUACUUCACAUUACCAACCCUUUUAUUCAUACACAAAGAUCAACUUAGCCAAAGGCCGGUAGCUCAUUUAUCAACUGAGCGAAUACUUAUUUGUAAGGGCUCAACUAAUUCAAAGCACAUACGAAACAUACCUCAAUAUUGGGAUGUUACAAGCGUAUUAACUGAAAUUUUUAAAGCAAGAUCAUUCAUUCCCAAAUCAUGUACAUUCAGAAUUUAACCGGAUAUAGCUACUCGUUCAAAUGCCUUCGGGACAUAGCCCGGUUAUAGUAACUCGCACAAAUGCCUUCGGGACUUAACUCGGAUUUAGUAACUCGCACCAAUGCCUUCGGGCUUAGCCCGGAAUUAGUAUCUCGCACAAAUGCCUUCGGAUCUUAGUCCGGAUAUGGUCACUUAGCACAAAGCCUUCGGGACUUAGCCCGAACAUCAUUCGAAUAACCAUGCACAUUUAACAAUAAAUCAUGCCACAUUCGUAUUUCAUUUUCAUUAGCAAAACUCAAACACAAGACACUUAUCACUCUUGCAAUUUCGGCUCAAUAGCCACACACAAAGAGCAUGAUUUUGAUUUUCUUAAAACAUGAUCUAAUCAAAUCAUAAUUUAAGCUCUAUUACUCAAGAACUUACCUCGGAUGUGGUCGAACGUUUUCAGCGGCUAUUCGAUAACUUUUUCCUUUCCCUUAUCCAAUUGUUGUCCUCUAAGCUCUUGAGCUAAUUCAAACAAAUUUAACUUAUUAAAGUCUCAUUAUGCUAGCUUAUGGCCGAAUAUGACAAGGAGUUUGAUUGGUCAUAUGGAACCUUCUAGCUCAACUACACAAUGGUCAUAUGCAUUUUUAAUCACAUCAAGCAAUUUAAUACAAUUCAUUUGAACAUCAAAAGAAAACCUCAAGGUACUUAGCCCAUAUAUACUUUAGGCAUUAGAGUCACAUAUAUAUAUGGAAUCAUGAAUCAAACUCAACAUUUUAGCUAAUAUUCCCCCUUGGCCGAAAUUUCUAAGCCAAGACAAAAGCAUCAAUAUGCUUGCCUCUAACCGAAUACAUGCAACACCAAUCUUCUUCCUAUGGCCGAAUAUGCAUGUCUAUGUUGAGGCCGAUUAUAUACUUAAUACCACACAUAAAUGGCAUACAUUUUACUAACUAAUGCAUUACAUAUUAUAACUCAAUACGCAUCCAUCAUUUAAUCCAUAACCGAAGCACCAUCAUUUGUAAGUAUAUACCUUGAGAUAAUAUAUAGGUCAUACCAAUACAUCAUGUGCAAUCAUAUAUAUAUGUGCAAGAGCCGAAUCACAAAUUUGAUUAUAACCAAAUUUAAACAUAUAUCCAAAACAUAAAUCUUACCUACCAUGCAAUAAGCAUAAAUCACACUUAUGGAUAUACCAUGGCCGAUACUUCCAACAACACCAAAUAAAAAUAUACUUCAUGGAUCUAAGGUAGAACCAAGAAAGAAACUCAUAAUCAUCAAGAUGUAAGCAACUACCAUUUUUCAUAUAGAUUUAGCAUGAAACACAACCAUCACCCUUAUUAAUCUCCAUAGCCGAAAACCUUACUUAUUCCAAAAUCACAAUUUCAACAUGGGUUACCAACAAUAACUUGAUAUCUCACUCAAAAUAAACUAGGAUUUCAAGAACUAGUAUCAACUUCCUUACCUUAAUAUCGACCUAAGAUGACCGAUUGCUUCACUCCUUCCUUCCUCCUCUCAAUCCGGCCAAGAAGAACCAAAGAACACAACUUGUUUCCUUUCUUCCUUAGAACAUUCGGCCAAGAGAAAUGAAAAAAAAGAUGGACACUUUUUUUUUGUUUUCUUUCUUACAUUCACGGCAAUGGGGAGGGGGGAGAAACAAUCACACACCUUCUUUCUUUUUUCCAUUUCUUUAUUACUAACUUUAUUUUAUUGUUUCCUCCCAUGAUGCACCAACACAACAUGUCUAUGACAUGUUUUGCCCAUCACCCUUUGUCCAUCCUAAUGUCAUGGCCGGCCACUACUAGAUGGGGGGAAAAAUUGACAUGCAAGUCCCCCCUUUUUCAACAUGCACUAAUAGGUCCUUAUGUUUUGAUCUAUCACAUUUCAAAAAUGUCACACAUAAGUCCUAUUGACUAAAUUCACAUGCAAUUUACUAAAUCAAAGCUUAAAAUUUUCACACAUUUAUUUUAGACAAUAAAUAUCAUAUUUAAAUAAUUUGGUGACUCAGUUUAGCGGUCCCGAAAUCGCUUUCCUACUAGGGUCGCUUUAGGGCUGUCACAACUCUCCCCCACUUAAGAAAUUUUCGUCCCCGAAAAUCUUACUAGUAAAUAAGUUUGGGUAUCAUUCUUUCAUGGCAUUCUCGGUUUCCCAAGUAGCUUCUUCUACUCUGUGUUUGAGCCAUAACACCUUUACUAACGGAACCCUUUUGUUUCGCAACUCUUUCACUUCACGAGCUAGGAUACGAAUCGGUUCUUCUUCAUAACUCAAGUCAGAUUGAAUUUCAACUUCUGAGGGAUUAAUCACAUGUGACGGAUUGGAUCUAUAACGUCAAAGUAUCGAAACAUGAAAGACGUCGUGAAUCUUUUCAAGUUCAGGGGGCAAAAUCAAUCUAUACGCAACCAGACCAACUCGUUCGGAGAUUUCGUACGACCCAAUGAAUCUCGGGCUCAACUUGCCCUUACGGCCAAAUCUGAGUAUCUUUUUCCAAGGCAAAACUUUAAGAAACACUUUAUCUCCCACCUGAUAUUCAAUGUCUUUUCGUUUCAAAUCCGCAUACGAUUUCUGACGAUCUGUGGCUGCCUUCAGACUUGCACGGAUUACCUUUACUUUCUGUUCAGCAUCUUUAAUCAAAUCAACUCCGAAAAUUUUACUUUCACCGAGCUCGGUCCAAAACAAUGGUGUACGGCAUUUACGACCGUACAAAGCCUCGUAAGGUGCCAUCUUAAUACUUGAUUGAAAACUGUUGUUGUAAGCGAAUUCAAUCAAAGGUAAAUACCGUUCCCAUGAACCGCUGAACUCGAGGAUGCAACAUCUCAACAUAUCCUCAAGUAUCUGAAUUAUCCGCUCGGAUUGACCAUCGGUUUGGGGGUGAAAAGCAGUGCUAAAGUGCAGCUUGGUACCCAAAGCUUCUUGCAAUUUCUUCCAAAAUUGCGAGGUGAAUCUCGGAUCUCUAUCCGACACAACAGAAAUCGGUACCCCGUGUAAUCUCACAAUCUGAGAAACAUACAAUUCAGCUAGUUUAUCCAAUGAAAAAUCCGUACGUACGGGGAUAAAGUGAGCCGACUUAGUCAGUCUAUCCACAACAACCCAAAUCGCAUCUUUCUUACUUGCCGAUACUGGCAACCCAGAUACGAAAUCCAUCGUGACUCGAUCCCAUUUCCAUUCAGGUACCAUGAUUGGCUGGAGUAAACCCGUAGGCACUUGAUGUUCUGCCUUUACUUGCUGACAUAUUAAACACUUCGAAACAAAAUCGGAAAUGUCUCAUUUCAUACCAUGCCACCAAAACUGGCGUCUCAGAUCGUUGUACAUUUUCGUACUCCCCAGGUGAAUUGACAUUCGGCUACAAUGGGCUUCGUUCAGAAUCAUCGAAAUGAGUUCUGAAUUUCUUGGAACACACAACCGACUUCUGAACCUCAAACAAUCGUCAUCAUCAAUUUGAAAUUCAGAUUCCAUAUUCGGAACACAUUCAGCCCGUUUUGCAACCAAUUCAUCGUCGACUUUCUGAGCUUCACGAAUUUGAUGAAUCAAUAAUAGUUUGGCCUUUAAUUCAGCUACUAACACAUUGUCGGGUAGAACAGACAAGUGUACAUUCAUCGCUCGUAAAGCAAAUAGUGAUUUCCAGCUUAAGGCGUCCGCAACCACAUUAGCCUUUCCCGGGUGGUAAUCAAUGACAAGCUCAUAAUCUUUCAACAACUCAAGCCAACGUCUUUGUCGCAAAUUUAAGUCUCUUUGAGUCAUCAAAUAUUUGAGACUUUUGUGAUCCGAAAAUACAUGGCACUUCUCACCAAAUAAGUAAUGUCGCCAUAUUUUCAAGGCGAAUACGAUGGCAGCUAAUUCGAGAUCAUGGGUCGGAUAAUUUUUCUCAUGUGGCUUUAAUUGUCUCGACGCAUAGGCCACAACUCGACCUUCUUGCAUCAACACGCAACCUAACCCAAGUAGGGAGGCGUCACUAUAGAUGACAAACUCUUUGCCUGAUUUGGGCUGCACUAAAAUUGCGGCUUCAGUCAAAUAAGUUUUCAGUUGAUCAAAACUUUUCUGACAUUUUUCUGUCCAUUCGAACUUAAUAUCUUUUUGAAGUAGCUUCGUAAUGGGUGUGGCUAUCAUCGAGAAACCUUUUACAAACCGUCGGUAGUAACUGGCGAGUCCCAAAAAGCUCCAAACCUCAGUAAUAUUUCUCGGAGGCUUCCAGUUAAGUAUGGCUGAAAUUUUGCUUGGGUCAACUCGAAUACCCGAUGCAGAUACCACAUGGCCCAAGAAGCUAACCUCUCUUAACCAGAACUCACACUUACUGAACUUAGCAUAUAACUGCUUAUCCCGUAAAAUUUGCAACACUAAUCUCAGGUGCUCAGCAUGUUCAGUCUCAUCUCUUGAAUAGACCAAGAUGUCAUCAAUAAACACAACUACGAACCGGUCCAAAUACUGUCCGAAGAUCCGAUUCAUCAAAUCCAUAAAUACCGCAGGGGCAUUAGUGAGCCCAAACGGCAUCACUAAGAACCCGUAGUGGCCGUAUCUCGUUCUGAAAGCAGUUUUGGGUAUAUUCGAAUCACGAAUUCGCAACUGAUAAUAACCCGAUCUCAAAUCUAUCUUUGAAAACACUAAAGCUCCCUUUAGUUGAUCAAACAAAUCAUCAAUACGCGGUAACGGAUAUUUAUUCUUUAUCGUCAUUUUAUUCAGCUGACGAUAGUCAAUGCACAACCUCAUGGUUCCGUCCUUCUUUUUCACAAACAAUACUGGUGCACCCAAGGUGAGAAACUUGGUCGAGCGAAACCUCUAUCCGUCAACUCUUGCAACUGAGCCUUCAAUUCUUUUAACUCGGUUGGUGCCAUACAAUACGGAGCUAUCGAAAUUGGCGUAGUUCCAGGUACAAGCUCAAUACCAAACUCUACCUCCCGAACAGGUGGUAAACCCGGUAAUUCUUCAGGAAAAACAUCCGGGUAUUCACAAACCACCGGCACAGAUUCGGGUUUCUUUUCUAAUUCUUUAUCAUCAAGUACAUAUGCAAGGUAUGCUUCGCACCCUUUUCUUACAUAUUUCUGGGCCAACAUUGCUGAUAUUACAGCUGGCAACCCUUUUAAUUCCGUAGACUCAACUCGGAUUAUCUCGUUAUUUGCGCACCUCAAAUCAAUAGUCUUGCUUUUGCAAUUCACAACCGCAUCAUGCGCGGUCAACCAAUCCAAACCAAGAAUAACAUCAAAUUCAUCAAACGGCAAAAGCAUCAAGUCCGCCGGAAAAUAGGAAUCUCGAAUUACUAGGGGGCAUUUCUUACACACUUUGUCGACAAGCACGUAACGACCCAAGGGAUUUGACACCCGAAUUACGAACUCAGUAGACUCAAUAGGUAAAGUCUUACUCGAUGCUAAGGUUUCGCAUAUAUAAGAAUGAGUAGAACCAGGGUCAAUCAAAGCAAUCACAUUAGUAUCGAAGAGAGUAAAAGUACCGAUAAUAACAUCUGGCGAGGAAGCAUCCUCGCGUGCGCGUAUAGCAUAAGCCCUAGCAGGAGCAUGAGCCUCAGAUCUGGUCGCAGCAUCUCUAGAUCCUCUCUGACCACCACUAGCAUUUCCCGUGUUUCUAGAUGGUCUACCUCGAGCAGUGGUAGCACUCAGUUUCCCACUCUGAUUUACAUUCUGUUCAGACAAUCUCGGGCAAUCUUUGAUAAAGUGGUCAACUGACCCGCACUUGUAGCAGGAGCGGUCAUGGAAUCUACAACUUCCAGAAGGCCAUUUGCCACAAUACUGGCACUCCGUUCUAUCUCGACGAUCAUUUCCCACACUGGCGACCGAAGUGACUCGUGCACUCGAAAGGGGUCGAUCGCGAUCUCGUCUAGAAAAGCCCGAAGUGUCUCUAGACCGGCCUAAGCCAUCUCUAACUUCUUCGAUGACUGUGGGAAGGGCUUCCCCGAAGACCUCUUACGAAACUCCCUUGCUCCCGCCUCAGCUUUUCUUUUCUCCAUACUGAGCUCCUCAGCUUUGCAAGCUCGCUCGACAAGUGCCACAAAUUCUCGGAUUUCCAAAAUGCCAACAUACAGCUUUAUAUCAUCAUUCAAUCCAUCCUCGAAACGUUUACACAUUACGGCUUCUGAGGAAAUGCAUUCUCGUGCGUACCGGCUAAGCCUUACAAACUUUCGUUCAUAGUCGAUAACCGACAUGGAACCUUGUUUAAGUUCAAGAAAUUCCUUCUGUUUUUGGUCAAUGAAUCUCUGACUGAUAUACUUCUUUCGAAACUCGGUUUGGAAGAAUUCCCAAGUUACUUGCUCUCUAGGCACAACAGAAGUCAAUGUAUUCCACCAAUAGUAGGCAGAAUCACGUAGCAAGGAGAUAGUACACUUUAGGCACUCAUCGGGUGUGCAAGAUAGCUCGUGAGUACCCGAAUAGUGUUGUCCAACCAAAAUUCAGCUUGCUCGGCAUCAUCGCUGUCCGUAGCUUUAAAUUCAGUAGCCCCAUGUUUUCGGAUUCUAUCAACUGGGGGCUUAUUUGACCUUAUUUGGUCCGUUACCGGAGGUAUUGUAGGUGCGGGGGUGGUAUUUUUCGGGAAUGGAGGUUGUCGAACAGCCGUAUUAGUUCGAAUGUAUUGGUUGAACCAAUCAUUCAUCACGCUAUAGAAAGCUUGUCUAGCCUCAUCAUUCGGAUUACUAGCAUUAGGUUGAGAGUCCGCCGGCGCUGUCCCUUGUGUGGGAGCAGGCGCUACACUCUCAAGAUCAUCAGCUACCGCUCGGUCGGGAUCGGGAUCCAUUACUAUAAAAAAAACACAUUUGCAAAUGUCAGAAAUCACCACACUAUCAAAUAAUCACCUAAAAUGGCAUGUAUAGCUAAACCCAACGCAUUACGGUAGCCCUAGAAUCGACUAAACCGUAGCUCUGAUAUCAAUAAAAUUGUAACACCCCGUACCCGAGUCCGUCGCCGGAGUCGGACACGAGGGGUUUGCAGACUUAAAUCACUUCUUUGCACAAUCCAUUUUAAAAUUUUCCAGACAAGAUGGCUAACUGCGUCACUGUCACCUUAAAAAUCAUAUCUUGAGUUUCACAACUCGAAAAUCAGUUUCGUGAUUUUUCCCUGAAACUAGACUCAUAUAUGCAUCUACAAAUUUUUUUCUAGAAUUUUUGGUCGGGCCAAUUAGUACAGUUUAAUAGUCAAAGUCUCCCCUGUUACAGGGAUCGACUACACUGACCUUUGCGCAUUACGACUUGGAUAUCUCCCUGUACAGGGCUUCAAUACUGAUGCCGUUUGUUUCUAUAGAAACUAGACUCAAAGAGGAAUCUAUAAAUAUAUGGCAUGACUUCUAAAUGUCUCUGGUUAAUUUAUAAUGAAUUUCCAAAGUCAGAUCAGGGGAUCCAGGAACCGUUCUGGCCCUGUCUCACGAAAACUUUAACAUCUCAUAAUAUACUGUUCAUAUGAACGUUUCGUUACUUUCCAAUGAAAAUAAAUUCAUCAAGGUUCGAUUACAUAAUUUAUUCACUAUUUAAUUCCAUUCCUAAUAUUUUUAGUGAUUUUUCACAUCCACAUCACUACUGCUGCCAGCAUCUAUUUUUAAGGUAAACUUUACCUAUUUCAUGAUCCUCCAUGGAUCAACUAGAGUUUGUCAUACAUAUUCCAAAAAUGAUCAUGAAUAACCAUUCCCAUGGCUAACCGUUACCAACAUUUCCAUACCUCUCGACGGACAACAUACAAAACGAUUAGAAAGCUAUGAUCAAAGUAUAUUUAAGCUAUGUUCGCAUGGCUAUCCAAAUUUACACAAAACCGAAGGGUACAUGACCAACAACAAAAGGGUAGUCCUAUACAUGCCAUUUCAAAGUUCAACCAAAAGUAUACCAAAAGGAGCUUUGAUAGUGUGGGCGACUUCGACUUCAAAAUCCCGAGUCUGAUAGUUGAAGAACCAAAAUCUAUAAAACAGAGAAUCAAAGAAACGGAGUAAGCAUUAAAUGCUUAGUAAGUUUUGAGCAAAGAAUUUAGACACAACCAAAGUAUAGCAUUCAUGUAGCUAAACGGAUAAUUUCAUAUGCACAAAUUUUCAAUAUCAUACUUACUUCACAUUACCAACCCUUUUAUUCAUACACAAAGAUCAACUUAGCCAAAGGCCGGUAGCUCAUUUAUCAACUGAGCGAAUACUUAUUUGUAAGGGCUCAACUAAUUCAAAGCACAUACGAAACAUACCUCAAUGUUGGGAUGUUACAAGCGUAUUAACUGAAAUUUUUACAGCAAGAUCAUUCAUUCCCAAAUCACGUACCUUCGGAAUUUAACCGGAUAUAGCUACUCGUUCAAAUGCCUUCGGGACAUAGCCCGGUUAUAGUAACUCGCACAAAUGCCUUCGGGACUUAACUCGGAUUUAGUAACUCGCACCAAUGCCUUCGGGCUUAGCCCGGAAUUAGUAUCUCGCACAAAUGCCUUCGGAUCUUAGUCCAGAUAUGGUCACUUAGCACAAAGCCUUCGGGACUUAGCCCGGACAUCAUUCGAAUAACCAUGCACAUUUAACAAUAAAUCAUGCCACAUUCGUAUUUCAUUUUCAUUAGCAAAACUCAAACACAAGACACUUAUCACUCUUGCAAUUUCGGCUCAAUAGCCACACACAAAGAGCAUGAUUUUUAUUUGCUUAAAACAUGAUCUAAUCAAAUCAUAAUUUAAGCUCUAUUACUCAAGAACUUACCUCGGAUGUGGUCGAACGUUUUCAGCGGCUAUUCGAUGACUUUUUCCUUUCCCUUAUCCAACUGUUGUCCUCUAAGCUCUUGAGCUAAUUCAAAAACAAAUUUAACUUAUUAAAGUCUCAUUAUGCUAGCUUAUGGCCGAAUAUGACAAGGAGUUUGAUUGGUCAUAUGGCCACCUUCUAGCUCAACUACACAAUGGUCAUAUGCAUUUUUAAUCACAUCAAGCAAUUUAAUACAAUUCAUUUGAACAUCAAAAGAAAACCUCAAGGUACUUAGCCCAUAUAUACUUUAGGCAUUAGAGUCACAUAUAUAUAUAUGGAAUCAUGAAUCAAACUCAAUAUUUUAGCUAAUAUUCCCCCUUGGCCGAAAUUUCUAAGCCAAGACAAAAGCAUCAAUAUGCUUGCCUCUAACCGAAUACGUGCAACACCAAUCUUCUUCCUAUGGCCGAAUAUGCAUGUCUAUGUUGAGGCCGAUUAUAUACUUAAUACCACACAUAAAUGGCAUACAUUUUACUAACUAAUGCAUUACAUAUUAUAACUCAAUACGCAUCCAUCAUUUAAUCCAUAACCGAAGCACCAUCAUGUGUAAGUAUAUACCUUGAGAUAAUAUAUAGGUCAUACCAAUACAUCAUGUGCAAUCAUAUAUAUAUAUGUGCAAGAGCCGAAACACAAAUUUGAUUAUAACCAAAUUUAAACAUAUAUCCAAAACAUAAAUCUUACCUACCAUGCAAUAAGCAUAAAUCACACUUAUGGAUAUACCAUGGCCGAUACUUCCAACAACACCAAAUAAAAAUAUACUUCAUGGAUCUAAGGUAGAACCAAGAAAGAAACUCAUAAUCAUCAAGAUGUAAGCAACUACCAUUUUUCAUCUAGAUUUAGCAUGAAACACAACCAUCACCCUUAUUAAUCUCCAUAGCCGAAAACCUUACUUAUUCCAAAAUCACAAUUUCAACAUGGGUUACCAACAAUAACUUGAUAUCUCACUCAAAAUCAACUAGGAUUUCAAGAACUAGUAUCAACUUCCUUACCUUAAUAUCGACCUAAGAUGACCGAUUGCUUCACUCCUUCCUUCCUCCUCUCAAUCCGGCCAAGAAGAACCAAAGAACUCAACUUGUUUCCUUUCUUCCUUAGAACAUUCGGCCAAGAGAAAUGAAAAAAAAGAUGGACACUUUUUUUUGUUUUCUUUCUUACAUUCACGGCAAUGGGGAGGGGGGAGAAACAAUCACACACCUUCUUUCUUUUUUCCAUUUCUUUAUUACUAACUUUAUUUUAUUGUUUCCUCCCAUGAUGCACCAACACAACAUGUCUAUGACAUGUUUUGCCCAUCACCCUUUGUCCAUCCUAAUGUCAUGGCCGACCACUACUAGAUGGGGGGAAAAAUUGACAUGCAAGUCCCCCCUUUUUCAACAUGCACUAAUAGGUCCUUAUGUUUUGAUCUAUCACAUUUCAAAAAUGUCACACAUAAGUCCUAUUGACUAAAUUCACAUGCAAUUUACUAAAUCGAAGCUUAAAAUUUUCACUCAUUUAUUUUAGACAAUAAAUAUCAUAUUCAAAUAAUUUGGUGACUCGGUUUAGCGGUCCCGAAACCGCUUUCCUACUGGGGUCGCUUUAGGGCUGUCACAAGCCAUUUAAGAGUCAUGAAAAUACUUUUACAAGCUAAGGAUUUUGGUCAUUGAAGUGUUGGAUAUGGUGCCCUAAGUGUAGUAUAUUCAUUUGUAAACUUAUAAUUCUUUCAAGCAGAUCAAUUAAUAAAAUAAAUUCAUUGAUUACGUUAAUAUAAUUUGUAUAUGUAACGCCCCAAACUAAGCUGGAACAGACCGACCCAAAUCUGGAACGACAUAUUAGCCACUAAAGUGACUGUCCUUAUUGGUCAUGUAAACACACCAGAAAAUAACAAAUUAUAAAUAGGGGUAAAAUAGUCAUUUUACACAUUAUACGUGCAAAUCGUAAAUUUUUUCCAACAAGUGCCAUUUUAAACCAAUGGUGAAAAUUUUAGCUCAAAAUGACAUUUAAAACUAACUUAAUUUCUAAACGCAGUUUAAGGACUAAAACAUAAAUUUUACAAAAUAUCUUGACAAACCAUUUUAAGAAAUUGAAGUUACCAUAUUGAAAUUGAAUGUAUAAAACCUACUCAUGUAAAUUUUCAAAACAUUUCGUGUUGUUUAAUGCCUCAAAUUUUAUUGUAUAAAAAUCAAGACUUAUUUGCAAUAGUUUCAAAAUAUGCCCAAAACACUUUAAACGUCGUGUCGCGACCACGUGAUUCCCAUGUCGUGACAUCAACCUGAUAUUGUGAUUACCUAUAGGGUUCAUCAUGACAUUGACUCAAAAAUUUGUAGAAAAAUUGCAGCACUGACGUAUGACACUUUAACUCUCCUAAAUGCAUACAAUUUCGCAAUUUCAUGCCAUUUUCCUUAUAGCAUUAACAUGCUUUGGCAUCCAAAUCAAUUAUCUAUGUGUCAUGCUUUUCUAAAGUCUCAAAUAAAAGUACUCAACAUACCAAAUUUGCAUAUAAGGCAAUUGAAAGUGCCAUAAAGGUAUAUACCUUGUCAUUUGGUCAUUUUGCAUCUGUCCACAUGCAUGCUACUCAACAAUUAAAUAAGCAUUCAUCUAGCAUACAUCAUGCAAUCAUUCAAGCAAUAUAAAACAACUCAUGGAAAGUCCAUUUAGAAGUCCAAAACAAAAGUAAAGUCUAACCCUCAAUAUAAAUGUAACAGUCCGGUUUUGACCCUAGUUAGAAUAGUAGUUUUGAGACCACAAAUUCGAGUCCAAAAAAUAUUUUAAUAUUAUUUUUUGUGUCUGUGAUAUGUGAAUUUACAUUUGUGAAAAUUUCUGUGAUUUAAUUUGUCUGUUUCUGUGCUUAAUUAUGAAAAAGGAUUAAAUCGUGUAAAGUGUAAAAGUUGAGUGCUAGAUGCUAAAGCACCUAUUUGGCUUGGAUUUUAAAAUAAAGGUCCUUGCAUGUCAAUUGGACCAUUGUACUAAUGCAUGGACAAAUAUGGACAUGAGUUGGUAGAAAUUAAUGUUUUGUCAUUAAGGGUAAAAUGGUAAAAGGUGAUUAUAAUGUUAUAAUAAUAAAAUGGAAACAUGAAAUUGGCCAUAUUUUCAUGCAUAUAGCCGAAAAUAAAAGAAAAAGAAAAAGAAAAAGGAGAAAGCCAUUUUAGGUUUCGGCACUUUGAUUUCUUAAUUAAGAUCAGGAACAAAGAAAAUCGAACUUAGAUUGGGGGAAGUCCAAAAUAGUUGAAUAGACGACUCAUUUUAUUUGAAAUUCGUUCGAGGUAAGUCAAAUUACAAUUACAAGUUAAUUGAAAUAAAUUCUGCACAUAUAAACUGUAAUCUAUAUUGGAUGGCCUUGAGUGCCUGAUGAAUAUCUUUGGAGAAAAGUAUGAUAAUAUGUUAAUAUCUGAAAAGCUCUAUAUGUUUCUAAGAAAAGUUGACAUCUGUCUGAGACAUCGUGUAAGACCGUGUCUGGGACACAGGCCUCGAUUGAGAUUUAAGUAUAAGAACAUGUCUGGGACAUUGACAUCGUAUUUGAUUUCGUGUAAGACCCUGUCUGGGACAGAGGCAUUGAUAUUAAAUUACAUGUAAAACCACGUCUGGGACGUCGGCAUUGUACUUGUUUAUGAGCAUUUAUAUCAUUUUUGACCCGUCUGAUAUAAGCGUACGAAAUAUGAGUUUGAGUAUAUGAAAUGUAUAACCUAUGCAGGUACGUUUGUAUCGUACUAAAUUUCUGAAUAUGAAAAACUCUUUCUCUAUGAAAUAUGUAUGGAAAUGGAGCAUGACAUAUAUGCAAACAAAGGAGCAUGGCUAAGUUUAUGAAUUAUUCUAUGAAAUGGUUAUGAAUCUAUAUAGGUGAAUUAUAUUUAUAUGCUUUAGUAGUUAGACCAAUUAUAUUUGGCUUAUUAAGCUCUUUGUAGCUUACUCUGUGUGUGUUUACUGUCUAUUUUACAGUUAUCAUAGCUACUGAAGGAUCGGGAUAGUCGAGGAUUAUCACCACACUAUCGAUCUCAUUUUGGUACUUUUGAAAGUGUAAAUAUUUUAAAGUAUGGCAUGUAUAGGCUAGAAGGUCUAUGUAUAUAAGUUUUGAUACAUAUAUAUUAUGCCAUGAGAGUUUGCUAACAAAUGAAAUGUUGUAUAGAGUUUUGGUAUUUGGUUGAUAGUGCCAAAUGGUGUAUGGUUGUAGUGUUUUAUGAGCUAAUAUAUUUUUGUUAUAAUGAAGCAUGUUAUGAGUAUAGAAUUGGUUGAAAAUUUUAGGUACAAAUGUUGUUUAUUAUGGCUUGUAGGGAUGACCUUUAAAAAGGGGUGGAAAAUUAGCUUAAACCAAGCCUGCAUUGUGCCACACAGCCAUAGCACACGAGUGUGUUUGUUGGCCGUGGGCUUAAGUCAGUAGCUAGCUAAGAAUCACACGGCAUAGCACACGGGCGUGUAUGUUGGCUAUGGGAAUAAGUCAGUAUAUAAGUCUAUUUUGGCAUGGCUAGUUUACAUGGGCAUGUCUGAUGCUCGUGUGGGGCCCACGGCCUAGUCACACGGGAGUGUGACCCCUAUAGAAUUGAAAAUUUUUAAAUGUUCUGAACUUUAUGAAUGUGUUCGAUUUAGUCCCGAUUGUCUCUUAAAAGUGCAUUUUAGAUCUUGUAGACCAUCUUAAGAGAUGAUUGCUUAUGAAUUGAUGUUAUAUGAUAGCUGUGAUUUUGAAUUGGUCUGAAAUGUUCAGUCUGUCUGGUAAUGCCUCGUAACCCUAAUCCAAUGUCAGUUUCGGGUUAAGGGUGUUACAUUUUAUUGGUAUCAGAGCUAUAGUUUAGUCAGUUCUAGGACUACCAUAGCUUAUAUGAGUCUAGCUAUACAUACCAUAUAUCUGAAUAUGUGAUAGUGUGAUGACUCCUGACUUUGAAAUGUGCUUUUAUAUAGCAAAUGGAUCUCGAUAGAGCUGUAGCUGAUGAUGUAGAAAGCAAUGCGCCUGCUCCCGCGCAAAGGAUUGUGCAAGGUAAUUCUAGACCGGCUACGAGUAGCCGUGAUGGUGAGGCUAAGCAAGCCUUCUAUCAGAUGAUGAAUGAAUGGUUCACUCAAUACAUUAGAACCAAUCCGACUGUACAACAACCUCCACCCCCGGUUAAUCCUUCUCAAACUUCUGAUAUGCCACGAGUGAAUCUGGUACAAUUGAGUAGACCACCGGUUGAUAAGAUUAGAAAGUAUGGGGCUGAAGAGUUCCAAGCUACAACGAAUAAUGAUGCUGGAAGAGUCGAAAUCUGGUUGGAAAAUACAAUAAGAGUGUUUGAUGAAAUGUCUCUGAGUCCUGAGGAAUGUGUUAAAUGUGUUGUUUCACUUCUGAGAGAUAUGGCGUAUCAUUGGGGGAAAACUUUAAUAUCUGUGGUUCCGAGUGAAUGAGUUAUGUAGGAUUUCUUUCAAUCUGAAUUUUGGAAGAAAUAUAUCAGUCAGAGAUUCAUUGAUCAGAAACGUAAAGAGUUUCUCGAGCUUAAACAGGGUCGUAUGUCUAUUACUGAAUACGAACAUGAAUUUUUGAGAUUGAGCUAGUAUGCUUGUGAAUGUGUAUCGAAUGAAGUAAUAAUGUGCAAAAGGUUUGAAGAUGGACUAAACGAAGAUAUUCGUCUGUUAGUUGGGAUUUUGGAGAUUAAAGAAAUGGUAGUGCUUGUUAAAUGAGCAUGUAAAGCUGAAGAGUUAAGUAAAGAGAAAAGAAAAGAUAAUUAUGAAGCUAGAGAUGCUAGAAAGAGAUCUUCGAGCAGAUCAUUUCAGUCUAUGUCAAAGAAAUUCCGAGAUGAUCAAAGCCGUCCAAAUGCUAAUGUGGGACAUUCAAACCAAGAUCUAGCUAGAUCGCAUUCAAAUUUCAGAGCCCCUGCUACUUCUGUUGCAAGUGUUGGGAAUGUCUAAUUUGAAAGACCUGAAUGUAAACACUGUGGUAAAAGACAUCCGGGAAAUUGUAGAUUCAAUGACCGAGCCUGUUUCUGAUGUGGAUCUCUGGACCAUUUUGUAAAAGAUUGUUCUGAACCUGCUGAGCAAGAGAAUGUAUAGAAUCUGAGACCGAGCAACACUUCAGCUAGAGAUAAACCUUCUAGAAGUGCAAGAAAUACAAGUAGUGGUCAAAGAACUACUGGAGAUACUAUUUUUAGAUCUGAGGCCAGAGCACCUGCCAGAGCCUAUGCUAUCCGAGCUCGUGAGAAAGCCUUGUCUCCAGACGUGAUUACUGGUACUUUUACUCUCUAUGAUACUUUUGUGAUUGGAUUGAUAGAUCCUGGAUCAACACAUUCUUAUAUCUGUAUGAAUUUAGUGCAUAGUAAGACUUUUCCUGUAGAGUCUACUGAAUUCGUAAGUAGAGUAUCGGACCCCUUAGGCAAAAGUGUCUUGGUUGAUAAAGUCUGUAAGAAUUGCCCGUUAAUGAUAUGAGAUAUCUGUUUUCCUGCUGAUCUGAUGCUUUUACCUUUCGAUGAAUUUGACAUAAUUCUGGAAAUAGAUUGGUUAACUUUGCAUGAUACUAUUGUGAAUUGCAAACGAAAAGUCAUUGAUUUAAGGUGUAAGAAAGAUGAGAUAAUCUGAAUUGAGUCUAGUGAUCAGAAUGGACUGCCAGCUGUGAUAUCUUCAAUGAAAAUAUGGAAAUAUGUGAAGAAAGGUUGUGAAGCUUACUUAGCUUAUGUGUUAGAUUCAAAAGUGAAUGAUAAGAAAGUUGAAUCAGUGCCUGUUGUCUGUGAAUUCUCUGAUGUGUUUCCUGAAGAACUACCUGGUUUGCCUCGAUUCGAGAAGUUCAGUUUGGCAUUGAAUUAGUACCUAGUACUACUCCGAUAUCAAUAGCUCCAUAUAGAAUGGCUUCGACUGAAUUAAAGGAAUUGAAAUCUCAGUUGUAAGAAUUGACCGAUCGAGGAUUUGCUAGACCUAGCUUUUCACCAUGGCGUGCUCCUGUUCUGUUUUUGAAAAAGAAAGAUGGCACAAUGAGAAUGUGUAUUGAUUACUGUCAACUUAAUAAAGUGACUGUAAAGAACAAAUACCCUCUGCCUAGAAUUAAUGAUUUAUUCGAUCAGUUGAAAGGUGCUACUAUGUUUUCUAAUAUAGAUCUGAGAUCAGAUUACUAAUAGUUGUGAGUAAAGGACUCUAAAAUUCCGAAAACUACUUUCAGAACGAGGUACGGGCAUUAUGAAUUUUUAGUUAUGCCUUUUGGAUUAACAAAUGCACCUGCUGUAUUUAUGGAUCUAAUGAAUAGAAUUUUCAGACUGUAUCUUGAUCAAUUUGUUGUUGUAUUCAUUGAUGAUAUUUUGAUUUAUUCACAUGAUGAAUCUAAGCAUGCUGAACAUCUAAAAAUAGUGCUAUAGACUCUGCGAGAUAAACAGUUGUAUGCAAAGUUUAGUAAAUAUGAAUUCUGGUUGCGAAAAGUUGGUUUUCUGGGUCAUAUUGUAUCAGCAUCCGGUAUCCGAGUUGAUCCGAGUAAGAUUUUAGCUAUUCUGGAUUGGAAGCCUCCGAGGAAUGUAUCUGAAGUCCGUAAUUUUCUGGGACUUCACGGUUACUACAGACGAUUUGUAAAAGAUUUCUCUAUGAUAGCAACUCCGUUAACAAAAUUGCUUCAGAAAGGUGUAAAAUUUGAAUGGUUUGAGAAAUGUCAGAAAAGUUUUGAUCGGUUAAAAGCUCUGUUAACUGAAGCUCUGAUAUUGGUACAACUUGAGUUAGGUAAAGAAUUUGUUGUUUACAGCGAUGCUUCGUUGAAUGGAUUAGGUUGUGUUUUAAUGCAAGAAGGAAAAGUUGUUGCUUAUGCUUCGAGACAGUUGAAGCCGCAUGAGAAGAACUAUCCGACACACGACCUUGAGUUAGCUGCCAUCGUGUUUGCUUUGAAGAUCUGGCGUCAGUAUCUGUUUGGUGAAAAAUGUCACGUGUUUUUUGAUAAUAAAAGUCUGAAAUAUUUAAUGACGCAAAAAGACUUGAAUUUGUGAUAGAGAAGAUGGUUAGAACUGUUAAAAGAUUACGAACUUGUGAUUGAUUAUCAUCCGGGAAAAGCAAAUGUUGUUGCUGAUGCUUUGAGUCAAAAAUCGUUAUUUGCUUUAAGUGCGAUGAAUGCUCAGUUAGUUCUAUCUGAUGAUGGUUCAGUUUUAGCUGAAUUAAAAUCAAGACCUUUGUUCUUACAAUAGAUCUGUGAGGCUCAGAAGAGGGAUAAUGAAAUUAUAGUUAAACGAACUCAGUGUAAUUUUGAUUCUGACUCUAAAUUUUGAAUAGAUGUUGAUGACUGUCUGAGAUUCAGAAAUAGACUUUGUGUUCCCAGAAAUCCAGAGUUGAUUCAAAUGAUUUUGAGUGAAGCUUACAGUAGUAGAUUUUCUAUACAUCCAGGAAGUACGAAAAUGUAUAAUGAUCUGAAGAAGCAAUAUUGGUGGUCGAGAAUGAAAAGAGAUAUCUCUGAGUUUGUUUCGAGAUGUUUAAUCUAUCAGCAAGUUAAAGUUAAGCAUCAGGUGCCAUCUGGGUUAUUACAACCAAUUAUGAUUCCAGAAUGGAAAUGGGAUCGAGUGACCAUGGAUUUUGUUUCGGGUUUGCCUCUGUCUCUGAAAAAGAAAGACGCAAUUUGGGUUGUAGUUGAUUGUUUGACGAAAUCAGCUCAUUUUAUUCCAUUUCGGUUUGAUUAUUCGCUUGGUAAGCUAGCUGAGUUGUAUAUUUCUGAUAUUGUGAGAUUGCAUGGUGUGCCAUUGUCAAUAGUGUCUGACAGAGACCCGAGAUUUACAUCGAGAUUCUGGAAGAAAUUGCAAGAUGCUCUGGGUACAAAAUUGCAUUUUAGCACCAAUUUUCAUCUGCAAACAGAUGGUCAAUUAGAACAGAUUAUUCAGAUACUCGAGGAUAUGUUGAGAUGUUGCAUUCUCGACUUUGAAGGUACAUGGGAACAGUAUCUAACUCUGAUUGAAUUUGCUUAUAAUAAUAGCUUUCAAUCGAGCAUCAAAAUGGCACCGUAGGAAGCCUUAUACGGUAGAAAGUGUAGAACUCCAUUAUACUGGUCUGAGCUCAGUAAGAAUAAGAUUUACGGUAUUGAUUUGAUAAAAGAAAUAGAACAGAAAGUGAAAGUAAUUCGAGAUAGUUUGAAAACUACCUUUGAUCAUCAGAAAUCUUAUACGGAUUUAAAACGACAAGAUAUUGAAUUUGAGAUUGGUGAUAAAGUGUUUUUGAAAGUAUUUCCGUGGAAGAAACUGUUUCGAUUUGGUAGAAAAGGCAAACUGAGUCUGAGAUUCAUCGGACCAUAUGAAAUCAUUAAGCGAGUUGGGACGGUUGCUUAUAGAUUGAGGCUACCAUCUGAGUUGGAAAAGAUACAUAAUGUAUUUCACAUAUCAAUGGUUCGACGGUACAAAUCUGAUCCAUACUAUGUGAUAUCCCCUUCUGAAAUUGAGAUUCAAUCUGAUAUGACUUAUGAGGAAAAACCAAUCCGUAUUUUAGCUCACGAGAUUAAAGAAUUACGAAAUAAGAAAAUUCCUUUAAUUAAAGUGUUGUGGCAUCGUCACAGUGCUGAAGAGGCUACGUGGGAGCCUAAAGAUUCAAUAAGACAACAAUAUCCAAAUCUGUUUAAUGGUAAGAGUUUUGAGGAUGAAAAUCCAUAAUGGGGGAGAAUUGUAACAGUUCGGUUUUGACCCUAGUCAGAAUAGUGGUUUCGGGACCACAAAUCUGAGUCUGAAAAAUAUUUAUUGUUAUUUUCUAUGUCUGUGAUAUGUGAAUUUACAUCUGUUAAAAUUUAUGUGAUUUAAUUUAUCUGUUUCUGUGCUUAAUUAUGAAAAAGGAUUAAAUCGCGUAAAGUGUAAAAGUUGAGUGCUAGAUGCUAAAGCACCUAUUUGGCCUGGCUUUUAAAAUAAAGGUCCUUACAUGUCAAUUGGACCAUUUUACUAAUGCAUGGACAAAUAUGGACAUGAGUUGGUAGAAAUUAAUGUUAUGUCAUUAAGGGUAAAAUGGUAAAAGGUGAUUAUAAUGUUAUAAUAAUAAAAUGAAAACAUGAAAUUGGCUAUAUUAUCAUGCAUGUAGCCGAAAAUCAAAGAAAAAGAAAAAGGAGAAAGCCAUUUUAGGUUUCGGCACUUUGAUUGCUUGAUUAAGAUCAAGAACAAAGAAAAUCAGACUUAGAUUCGGGGAAGUCCAAAAUAGUUGAAUAGAUGACUCGUUUUAUCUGAAAUCCGCUCGAGGUAAGUCAAAUUACAAUUACGUGUUAAUUGAAAUAAAUUCUGCACAUAUAAACUGUAAUCUAUAUUGGAUGGCCUUGAGUGCUUGAUGAAUAUCUUUGGAGAAAAGUAUGAUAAUAUGUUAAUAUCUGAAAAGCUCUGUAUGUUUCUAAGAAAAGUUGACAUCUAUCUGAGACAUAGUGUAAGACCGUGCUUGGGACACAGGCCUCGAUUGAGAUUUAUGUAUAAGACCAUGUAUGGGACAUCAGCAUCGUAUAUGAUUUCGUGUAAGACCCUAUCUGAGAUAGAGGCAUCGAUAUUGAAUUACAUGUAAGACCACGUCCGAGAUGUCAGCAUUGUACUUGUUUAUAAGCAUCUAUAUUGUUUCUGAUUCAUCUGGCGAUAGCGUAUGAAAUCUGAGUUUGAGUAUAUGAAAUGUAUAACCUAUGCAGGUACGUUUGUAUCAUACUAAAUUUUUGAAUAUGAAAAACUCUGUCUCUGUGAAAUAUGUAUGGAAAUGGAGCAUGACAUAUAUGCAAACAAAGGAGCAUGGUUAAGUUUAUGAAUUAUUCUAUGAAAUGGUUAUGAAUCUAUAUGGGUGAAUUGUAUUUAUAUAUUUUAGUAGUUAGACCAAUUGUAUUUGCCUUACUAAGCUCUUUGUAGCUUACUCUAUGUGUGUUUAUUGUCUAUUUUACAGUUAUCGUAGCUACUGAAGGCUCGGGGAUAGUCAAGGAUUGUCACCACACUAUCGAUCUCAUUUUGGUACUUUUGAAAGUGUAAAUAUUUUAAAGUAUGGCAUGUAUAGGCUAGAAGGUCUAUGUAUAUAAGUUUUGAUGCAUAUAUAUUAUGCCAUCAGAGUUGGCUAACAAAUGAAAUGUUGUAUAUAGUUUUGGUAAUUGGUUGAUGGUGCCAAAUGGUGUAUGGUUGUAGUGUUUUAUGAGCUAAUAUGUUUUUGUUAUAAAGAAGCAUGUUAUGAGUAUUAAAUUGGUUGAAAAUUUUAGGUACAACUGUUGUUUAUUAUGGCUUGUAAGGAUGACCUUUAAAAAGGGGUGGCAAAUUGGCUUAAACCAAGCCUGCAUUAUGCCACACGGCCAUAGCACACGAGCGUGUCUGUUGGCCGUGGGAAUAAGUUAGUAUAUAAGCUCGUUUUGGCACGGCUGGUUCAUAUGGACGUGUCUAAUGCUCGUAUGGGGCACACGGCCUUGUCACACAGGCGUGUGACCUCUAUAGAAUUGAAAAUUUUUAAAAAUUCUGAACUUUAUGAAUGUGUUCGGUUUAGUCUCGACUGUCUCUUAAAAGUACAUUUUAGAUCUCGUAGACCAUCUUAAGAGAUGAUUGCUUAUGAAAUGAUGUUAUAUGAUAUCUAUGAUUCUAAAUUGGUCUGAAAUGUUCUGUCUGUCUGGUAAUUCCUCGUAACCCUAAUCUGAUGUCGGUUACGGGUUAGGGGUGUUACAAUAAACCCACAUUGCCAUCUCUUAUUAACCAAAAGACAUCUCACAUGCACAAUUAAGUAGCCUUUGACCUUGGAUCCCCAAAUUUCUUACUUCACCACUCCACACAAGCUAUGUCUCUGCAAAAAUAGUCACAAAAUAGUGUAAGCUUAACCAACCUCGGUGAGUAUUCAUGAUGCUGCAAUAAACCACAAACACAACAAUUAAAAAAAACAUGCUAAAUACACUUAUCACAUUGGCAACUUGUGUGGAUGAAAAUGUGUAUCAAAGGAUCUCAUUGGAUGCACGAAUCUCCAUCACACCAUGACUUAAAAGAGUCUACAUAUCCCUAAUAAGUGUAACAUGAAGCUAACACUAUCUAACACACCAACAUGUCCCAUGAAUAGAGAAAUGCUGUAUAUUCUCUUAUCCCUCCACAUGUCCCAUUAACAAAAAAUAUAAAUGAGUACUCAAAUCCUAUGACAAGCCAACUAUAUCCAAUAUUUUCGAAGGUUCACAAGGCAAAUAUAUCCAUUUCACAGAUUAAUUUUCUGGUUUAUGUACACUCACACUUAUCAUCUUCAUAUCACUUAUCACUUUCAUAUAAUUCACUACGAGUGCUAACAUAUUGGUCAUUACACCAAGCUCAAUUUCAUAUCAGAGGUGUGUGCAUAAAUCCAGCUAUCCACACAGCAUAUUUAGCCACAUAUUCAACAUAUAUAAUCACAUCACAUACUUAGCCUUUCAUGAAACAUAUAAUCUACUUAUUAGAUAAGUAAAAACACUUAAUUCUAAGACUUAGAUUAGAUGAUGUCAUCACCGAAGCCCCCUUUAAUUCAUUGUUUUGUGCAUUAAUUAUAGCACACAAGAUCACUCACCUUAGUAACUAGCUUCCAGCACAAAGCUCAAGUAAGUUUUUUGUUUGCCUUUGCCCUUGCUUUUAAAGGCUUCCAAAUGAGUUGGUACUUUACAUACACAUCAUAUACAAUAAAAAGGCAUUACAAAUAGUAGCAAAUAAGAUUACUUCAUUCUAAAAUCAUAGAUCAAAACCUCUAGAUCUCUAAAUAAAAAACUUAGCUAAUUUUGCCAAAAAUACGAUUUCACCACUCAAAUCUUAUUUCUAAACCUUAAUUUCGAUCAUAGUCUUCUUAAAUAUCAUGUAAUUACAUAUUUAAACCUUCAAUGUUGUCCAAUUACAUAGAUGCCAUUUUUCCAGAAAAAUCAGGCUAAAUUAACUUUAAAGAGAGGAAAACAUUCAAAUUCUUUAAAAUUACUUAAAAACUUGUUAAAUUAAGUUUAAAUACCUUUUAAUAAAAUAAAAAUAAGUUGAAAUGUGCUUUGAAACAGUACUUUAACUUAAUAAUAUGAGAUCCAUUAUUUUCAAGGUUCAACUUAAAAUCUAAUGAUAUACUGAAAUCUUAAUUAAUUAAUUAAAACUCAAUUUGAAAUAAUAGCACACUCCAUUUUAUCAAGAAAAGUUAGAAUGUUACCUUAAUUUUGCAAAAUCGACGAGCUACAAAGCUAAUUUUAGUUUGAACAAGUGAAGAACUUUAGAGAAGUUGAGGAUAAAAUCAUUAGUAUUCUUUCAAAUUGAAAGCAGAUUUUAUAUUUGGAGAGCUUUAAAAAAAAGGAUGAACUAAUUUUGGGAGAAAAACAUAAAUUUGGUGUUUGACAAAUUUUUGAAGAGGAUGAUGAAUGGGAGAGAAGGAGGCGAUGGUGUUUAAAUAACCACCAAAUUUUUAAAAACUGGGAAAUUGCCCUUUAACCACCUCUAAUGUAACAACCCAUUUUCAGUGAAAUUGGAACAGUGGUUUCGGGACCACAAAUCUGAUCUAAAAAUAAAGUUUAUUUUUAUUUUAUAAUAUGGUCCGUAUUAUGAUAGACUUGUCGUGUGAAAAUUUUGAUACAAAAAAUUUAUCAAUUAAGUGCUUAAUUACGAGAAGGACUAAAUAGUAUAAAAUGAAAAAGUUGAAUUCUACUAGCUAUAAGUUUUAAAUAGCUAUGGAAUUCAAAUCUAGAGGUCCCUAUAUAGCAAUUAGACCAUUAAAGAAAAGUAUGUAGAUUUUUGGUGACUCAUCCAUGGAAAAACUAGAAAAGAGUAGGGAUUAAAUUGGAAAUUGAAAUAAUUAAUUAAAUAAAAAGAUGAUAAAAGAUAUCAUCUUAUUUUUUUUUUCAUCUUCAACCCCAAAAUUAUAUGGAAACCUAGGAGAGAGAGCACAAACUUUCAAAGCUUAAUUGGGUAAGUUUCCUUGUCCCGUUUUUAGUAAUUUUGAUAUUUUUAAAACUGGGAUAGCUUAAACUAUCUAUUUGGGGGAUUAAUUUAAAAAGUUAUCAAAGUAUGAAAAAUGCGUCAUGGAUUUAUAUGCUAAAAAUUAGAAAUUUAAGGUAGAAAAUGAAAGGUUGUUGAUAGAUCAACAAGUUUUUCAAAGUGAUUUUUAAUGAAAACAUGAUUUAGGGACUAAAAUGUAAACUUAUGAAAUUGAAGAAAAAUGUUGAAUUUUUAUGAAUACAUGUGCCAUAAAAUUUGUAAUUCAGUUAGGCUUGGAAUAGGGAGUAAAUUGCACAAGUUUCAUUUUUCGAGCUUAGGCACAAUUAGAAUUUAUGGAAAAGUUAGGAGCAAAAUGGUAAUUUUGCCUAGGGCGUAAAUUAAGUUCAAAGAAAUAUGAAAUAUGAGAAAUUGAUGAUUAAAGUUAUUUAUAUAGAUUCAGACAACACAAAUUUGAGGUUAGACCGAGGAAAAGAAAAGGUUUUGGAUUAGUAGACUUUAUACGCGAACAAGUGUCGAGGUAAGUUCGUGUAACUUAAUCGAGUAUGUAAUUAUGUUAAUUGAAUGUUAUGCUUGAAUGUGUGACUUAUAUUGAAGUGCAUUACUUGAAUACUAUAAUGGACAAUUUAAUACAUGCUUGAAAUGGUAAUAAAGGGUUAAGUCCCGAUUGAAUAUUAAAUUCCGAUGAAUAUAUGUACUUUCUCGAAAUGGAUGAGGUCCUGCAUUUGUUGCGGACGGGAUUUAGCUCAGACGAGUAAUCCUAUUGACCUUAAUGUAGAAAGGAUUUAGCUCGGACGGGUAAUCUUGAUAUAAUACCUUUCGAGUAUACGUUAUGAUUAGGGUUUAGCCUAGACUAGUAAUCCUAAUUAAGCUAUUCUAAGCAUACGUUAUAUAAAGAAUAUAGCCUGGACUAGUAAUCCUGUUAUACGAUAUGUGGCUCGAGAGUGUGUUCCUUGAUUAAGUUCCCUAAUGGGUACUCUUGAAUAAGAAUUGACGGAUUAUUAAAUCGUACACCUCGAAAACAUCUAUCGAAAUUUCAAUGAUUCAAUGGACACAACUCUUGACAUGGUAUGAGAAUUUUGAGAUGAAAUGAUAAUGACUUGAAAGAAUAUUGCAUGAUGAGCUCACCUACGUUUACUUGAUUGAUAUGAAGAUUUUGGUAACUAACAUGUUUGAUUGAAUGCAUGUGUUUAGGCAAUUUUGCUAAUGGAUGGAAAAACAUGAUAUUGUAUGCUUAGAUUUAAUAAACGGGAUUGGUAAGUUUAGUUUCUGUUAUGCGAACUUACUAAGCAUGUAAUGCUUACUCCAUUUUAUUUUCCCUAUUUUAUAAUACUCUGAAGCUCGUGAAGGUUGGAGAUCAUUGAAGCAUCGUCACACUAUCAACUAGAUAUUUUGGGGUAUACAUAUAGUAGAAUCAUUUUGCUAUAAUGGCAUGUAUAGGACAACUUGACCAUUAAUGGCUUGAAGAUGAUGUUUAUAAUCUAGUCAUUGGAAUCCCUAGUAAUGGUUGUUUUGAUAUACUUGUAAUGUCAUGUUAUGGUAGCUAAAUAUAUGUUAAGUGGUUGUUCAAAUUAUGCCUAACAUAUGGAAUAUACCAAGGUAAGAUUAUAAACAUAUAUGAACGUAAUGAUAUGCCUUGUUGAAUGAUGGAAUUUGCUUAAUUUGAAUGCUUGAAUUGGUUGGUAUUUUGAUGUGUACUUUAGUGCAGGAAAAUGGUAAAUUUGGGUGACAAAUGAGGCUAGGAAAUGGCUUUCUUUUGUCCACACGGGCAGACACACGAGCGUGUAGUUAGGCUGUGUGUCCCCUGCACCUUAAUUUUAAGAAAAAGAAUGCUCGGAAUUGAGCACACGGGCAAAGACACGAGCGUGUGUCUCAGCCAUGUGUACUACACUGGCGUUUCUUUUGGCCAUGUGAAACCUAAACCUAAUUUUGAAUUAAAUUAAUUAACCACACGGCCUAGCACACGGGCAUGUAGCAUAGCCAUGUGCACAAGUCAGAGAGUUACACAGGGUCAAACAAGGCCUAUAGCACGGGCGUGUCCCCUGGACCACACGGGCGUGUGAGCCCUGCACCUUGAAAUUUUUUUGAAAUGUAGCGAAAAAGUCUUAGAGCUCCCGAUUAAGUCCCGACUCGAUUCUAAUGCUCGUAUUGGGCCCUGAGGGUCCAAUUAAGGGACGUUUUGAAUGAUCUCGGUUAAUGAAUAGUGAUUUACAUAAAUUAUUUGUAAAAUGUUCUGAAAGUUAUGGUAAUGCUUUGAAACCCUAUUUCAACGACGGAUAUGGGUUAGGAGUGUUACAUCUAGUUUUCUCACUUUUCUGAUUUGGUCCUUGUUUUUCAAUUAAACCCAAUUUCAAAAAUAUUUUCAAAUCCGAUCUCAUUUUUAAAAUUUGUUUUAACCAAAUUAAUUUUCGAUCACUUAAUUUUAAUUUAUUAACCUAAAAUUUUUAAAUCUAAUUAUUUUAAUAUUUUAUUUAAUUAUUCCUAUUUAAUUUAAUUAUCUAACCUACAAUUUUCGAUUCACUAACCCCCGAUUUACUAACCCGAUUCUACUAACUUGAUUUUUGGGAUGUGACAGUAUAAUUGUCCUCACAAGGUUUUUGCAUGCAAAGAAAAAUGGAAGCAAAUGUUGUUCAUUAGUUGUCUAAAUGUUUAACUAAUACUAAGCGUAUUAUGUGGUCAGAUCGUAGGACGAAAGGACAACUUGUAUUAGUAGACGAACCUAAACAUCUCCUUAGAUAACUAGAAAUAAGCAAACAGAUUAAAAGAGUAAUAUGUCAUCUAUCAAGUCCAAUUGGGGAGAUGCCUUGUCUUGGGCAUCAAAACGGAUAACUCCUAGAAGAUAGAGACAUAGAUGUGACUAACUAGACUCAUAGUAAUCGAACAGGACCCAAGCAGAAUAGAUCCUAAAUCCAUUUAUGGAUUUAUUCACUUGUCGAAACACCCUUAACCCGUAUCCAUCACCAGAAUAGGGUUUUAAAGUAUUACCAAAAAAACAUAACUUUAAAACAUACAUUUCAAUCCUCAAUAUAAACAUAUCAAUCAUCAUUCAUAUACAUGCAUAACGUCCCUUAAUCGAGCCCUCGAGGCCUUAGAAACACUUUAGAAACAAUUCAAGACCAAAUCGGAAAGAUUUGUCACAUUGAAGAAAAAGUUAGAAAAAUUGAACUAUAAGGGUCACACGGCCGUGUGGCUCAAAUGGCUGAGACACACACUCGUGUCUUAGGCCAUGUAACAAUCAAAAUUAGGACACACGACCGUGUUCCAACUCGUGUCUGUGCCCGUGUAACAUUCGAAAUUGUGUCACACGACCAAAUUACACGCUCGUGUACCGGGCCGUAUAACACUCGAAAUGGCCUCACACGCCCGUGUGCCAGGCCGUGUUCUAUGCCAUUUAACUGCUUGACUUGAAUGCCUUUAAAACUUACAAUGGACAAACGGUUGUAUGUCGCAUGGCCGCGUGUCACACACGGCUGUGACACAUGCUUGUGUCUUAAACAUGUACCUACAAGCAUUUUGUACCCAAAUUCAAGGCAUCAAAUACACACCAAUUCAUGCAUGAAAUAACCAAAUCAAUAGACCACAAAUCCAUCCAACCAAUAUACCAACAAGGCACCUCAAAUGCAUUCAACCAUAUCUUAUCUAAACAUGUCAAAAACCUAUCACAAAUCAAGCAUCAUAUCUCAUUACUUACUAAGCUACUACACACAACACAAUUGAAGCAUUCAUACUCCAACAUUUUGCACCAAAAAUCUUUAUACAUCUACUACAUAUAAGUGUUUAAAAAGGCUUACCUAGUUAUGGAACACAAGUUCAAAUACCAUUUAAUAUCAACAGGUAUAAACAUAUCAACUUUUAAUAUUUAAAUAUUCACCAAAAUAUUGUGUUACUAAGGACCAUUCCUAAUACAUGCCACUUUAACAAACAACAUCAAGAACCAAAAUCACUACCGAGAUGGUUAUGGUAAUGUGUGAGCUUUCGAGUCAAUCCAAUCAAAUCAACGAUUCCAAGAGUCCUACAAAAUCAAAUCUAGCUAAUGAGCAUAAGAGAGCUUAGUUAGUUCGAUAAUAGACUCAUUUUCUAUCAACAACUACUUUCCAAAUGGAAAUUAACUUUUAAUACACCGGCACAUAGUCUGCUAGGCAGAAAGCCUGAAUAACACUGGCAAAAAGCCUACUAAGCACAAAGCCUGAAUAACAAUAUACUUCUAUAUUUAAACAUAGUUCUUAAUAAAAUUCAAAGAUUAAUCACUAAUAAGGUAUUCAAUUAAAUUAAGAAUAAGCAUAUACCAAACUUACAGGACUAGAUUGUAGUAAUUGCGAAACACAAGAACUACGAAAUCUUCCCUUUUCUGUGAUUGUCAACCCAUUCGUGAUCUAAAACAAUAAUUUCAUUCAAUUGAGUACUUCUAAAUAUCAAUUUAAUCCAUGAUUCAUUUUAUGUAAAAUUACUAUUUGUCCCCUAGUAUUUUAACUUUUCACAAGUUAGUCCUUAAGCUCAUAAAUUGAAAUCUAAACAUUCUAAUCCCCCAUUCGAAGUAACCAAGUUUAUCAAGGAAUUAGCAACCCAAAUAAACCCUUAUUUCCUAAAUUUAACAUAUACUUUACCAUUCUUAAAAAUCAAUCCUAAAUACAAAUUUCAUCAAAAUUCACUUUACAAAACCUGUUUAUUCCUCAACUAACUACAAAAAUGGUCUAAUUACCAUCUAAGUUUUUUCACUUUAAAGUUCUUGUAACAUUAUUUAAUAUUUUUUAAUAUUAAAUAUUAUUUAAUAUUAUUUAACAUUAUUUUAUAGUGGUUUUAAAACCACAAAUUCGAGGUCAAGAAAUUAUAUUUAAUAUUAUUUUAUGUGUUAUAGCAUGAUUAUAUAAGUGCAUGAAAAUUUUGGUGAAUUAAUUUUGGCGUUUGAGUGCUUAAUCGCGAAAAAGGACUAAAUUGCAUAAAGGGCAAAAGUUUUGUUUUAAUAGUCAAAGGUGUCAAAUUACUAGAGAACCAUAAUUGGGGGUGUUCAAAGUGUAAAUAUACCCUUUUCACAAGCUUUGAUAGAGACAAAUAGGAGUUGAAAAGUCAAAGUUAGGUGACUUUUUUUGGUAAUAAAUAAAACAAAAAGAAAAAGUUGUCAUCCUUUCAUCUUUUUUUCUUCUUCCACCAAAAAUGGAAGUAAGGAGGGGGUUUGGAAAGAUCAAAAUAUCAGCCACUUAUAUUCUUUGCAAGUGAUUUAGAUGCUUAUUUUUGAUAAUUUUUGUACUUUUAGAACCCUCGUAGCUUAAUCUAGCUAAUGAGGGGACUAUUUUGCAAAAUGGUUAAAAGUCUAGGGUUUUACCAUAAGAAUAUUCAUGUUUUUUGCUGCAUUUUUAUGGAAGAAAAUGAAUCUUAGUUGUGUAAUAAACAACUUUUGUGAAAGGUGUUAGCAUGAAAACACCUAAAAGUAUCAUUUUAUAAAGUUUGUAAAAUAGAGAGUAAAUGUGUGUAAUAAUUGAAAUCUUGAGUUGCUAUAGUUAUGAAAAUGGUUAUUCUAGGCUUAAAGAGUAAGAAAAUUGAAUAAAAUCAUUUUAUGAGCCUAGGGGCAAAAGCGUAAUUUUGGCAAAAUUUAGGGGAAAAAUUGUAAAUUUGCAAAAAUAUGAUUUUUGGGUUAAUUUGAAUAAAUCUGAGUCCUAAAUUGGCUAUAUUUGAAAUGGUAGAUCAAGGAAAUUGAGAUUCGGGCUUAAAUCGAGAAAAUACAAGGUUAUGGACUAAUGGUAAAAUUGUUGUUUUUGCAUUCGAGGUAAGUCAGUGUGAUUUAAUAAGCAUGUUAUUAAUGUUAUUAUUGUUAUACUUCAAAAUCUCCUUGUUAUUAUUGUAUUGAAUUAUGUGUUAGUGCUAGGGGGUAUGAGAAAAUAUUAUACCCUAUGAAAUAAUCGAAACCUUAAUAUGUCGAUUUCACUUUGUGUAUUUAUGAAAUAUUGUAAAAUUUGUGAAAUAUGAUAUCUUGCUGAGAUGAGAAAAUUAUAGAAUGAUGAAAUGAACUGAAAGUUCUAAUGGUGACAAACUUUGUAAAUUGUAUGAUCAAUUUUUCGAACGAGCUUGGCUACGAUGUGACCCUUGAGAAAUCCUGGCUAGACCUUUGGAAAGACCUAGGAUACGGGAAUCGAGACACUGCUGUUAUGUGAGCCAGUGUAAGGCAUGUUUGGGACAUGCAUCGGCCAUAUUAUGAAAGCCAGUGUAAGACCAUGUCUGGGACAUGGCAUCGACAUUGAGAUGAGUGCCAGUGUAAGACAUGUCUGGGACAUGCAUCGGCCUCGAGAUGUAAGCCAGUGUAAGACAUGUCUGGGACAUGCAUCGGCACGGAUGUGUGAGAGCCAGUGUAAGACCAUAUCUGGGAUAUGGCAUCGGCAUCGAUAUGUGUAAGAUUUCUCGAUUAUCCUCUGGUAUUCCAAGUGGUUCAACGGAUAGUUCAAAGCUAGCGAUAAAAGCGAGAAAGUAAAUAUUUGAGCAUGCUGAAAAGGUACAAGCAUGUAUUCGAAGCUUAAAUGCUAUUGUGAACAUGAAGCAAUGCACCUUUGGUAAGGAUACAAAUAAGUAAGUUAUGCCUAUGAAAAUGAAAUUGUGGUGACCUUGUGAUUAUGGUUUUAUGUUUAUGAUGUACAUAUAUGUAUUCUUACCAUGAUGGUUGAAAUGUGAGUGAUGAUUAUGUGUGAGACUUUGAGGCCACAUUAAAUUGAGACAUGAAAUGUAUAUUCCUUUACUUGGUGGCCUAAUGAAUAUGAAAGGAGAAAUGGAUUAACAUAAAUGCCCAUGUCAAAAUAAUCAUGAAAGAGUGAAAUAUAGUAAUAAAAUAGUUUCAGACAAUGGCAGUAGUCCAAAUUUGAAAAUACACCAAAAAUAGUAGGAAGUGAAUUAGAGACUGAAUGAAAUAUUAAAUUGAAUCUUAUUGAGUUUAGUUACACAUAGAAGAAACGAUGUGAGCAAAAGAAUUUCAUAUUAUGAGAUAUUUGAAAUUGUGUGAAACAUAGUCAGAACAAUUUCGAAAUCCCCUAUUCUGAUUUGAGAAAAUCAUUGAAAAUUUUUAAAAAAUAGUUAUGAGUUAUAAUUUAUAUUCAUAGAAUUCUUAAUGAGUCUAUUCUCAAUAGAAAUAUAUUGGCACAUCAUCCGAGUCCUGUAUUAUGAGAUAAUUAAUUUUUAGUGAAGAGGGGCCAGAACUAUCAGACAGUAAAAAAGGGUAAAUUUAAGGAAUAAACUGUACUAAUUUGCUGGACCAAAAAUUCUGAAAAUUUUAUGGUAAGAAUAUAUAUGAGUCUAGUUUCAGGGAAAAUUAACAUAACUUAAUUUGAAGUUUCGUAGCUCUAGAUAUAAAUAAUUUAGUGACUCUAACUAGAGAAAACAGCUUGACUGGAACAUGAGUAAAAAUACAAAUAUGGUUGUAUUACCAUGAGAAGCAAGUUGAUAAAUUGCUUUUUAUUUUCAUACAGUCUUCCUAAGCUAUAAAGCUUACUCCCUUCCUUUCCUUUCCUUUAGUGUUUUCAGGUUAGCUCGGGGUUGGAGAUCGUCGGAGGCAACAUCACACUAUCAAGUCGCUACACUUUGGAAUAAUGAAGCAUAUAUUAGAAAUUUCAAGUGAGUGCAUGUAUAAGGAUCUAGUUGAUUGACAUGUAUUAUAUUGCUUUGGCCAAAUGUGUUAGUUUAUAUUAAGUUAUAUGUAUAUGGCCAUGAGAUGUGGCUCAUAUUGAUGUUUGGCUUGUAAGCCUAGCUAUUCAUGUCAUGUCCGAUGCUUAUAAUGUGAUUAUGUUUGUUUGCCAUGCAUGGUUAGUAAUAUGACAUGUGUGUUGAAUGUAUGCUCUAUGACCAACUGAGGUGGUCAUAGACAUAUAGUAAUUGCACGUUAUAAACACAACGUGAUAAUGAUUAAACAUGAGUGCUUGAUGAAUAAGUUGGUAACCAUAGUAUAAUAAUAAAAGCGGUCAUCAAAAUGACAAGUCUUAUGAAUGUGAAAUAAGGAGUCUAGACUUAGAAUUGCAUGAGUAGAUGCAUUAUAUUUAAGAGGGCAUGUUAAUGUUAAGGAUAUGUCUUAAUAAAGAGUGUUUAGUCACUAAAAUGAUGCCAUGACUUGCGAUUUUGAUGUGCAGGUCGUAAGAGAUUAUGGGUAACAUGAAGGCUUGGAAAAUAGCCUAAAUGUUGGCCACAUGGGAUGAGACACGGCUGUGUGUCUCAACCGUGUGAGGGACACGAUCUGGAGACACGGGCGUGUGGCCUAGUCGUGUGAUUCGAUGUGCAUGCUGAUGUCAUAAAUAGAGAGUUACACGGCCUGACAACACGGGCGUGCCAAAGGCACACGAGCGUGUCCCUAUGUCCACACGGGCAUAUGACCCUGUUUAAUGGGAAAAUUUUCUAAAUUUUCCUGAAACUUCUUAAAGUUCUCAAUUUAGUCCCGAAUCGAUUCCAAUGAAUGUUUUGGAAUGCUUGAAUAUGGCUAAUCUAGCUCUUUUCACAAGUUCAUUUUUCUCUUCUUUGAGCUAUCAAAAUUACCCCAAGUUUUUCCUUUGCCAGGAACCUUACCAUCAAGUGAGUCGCUUACUACAAUAGAACCCCUUUUGUAAGCAUAAAUAACGGUUUAAAUGUUAUAGUGCAACAAAAAAAAUCAAACAUAAAUACCUCUAGUCAUUGCCUAAACCAAAUGCCAAAAUUCAAAUAUUGUGAUACCAUUGUUGAGCACGUUAAAUUACCGACAAGGUUGUUGAAUUUAGCCAUACGAAAAAUUGAAAACAGCCAAAGUCUUCUAAGCAUUCGAAAACCUCACUAAAGGAAAUAUUUUUUGUUUUCAAUUUUCCGGUGCAGAGGGACCUUAAGCUUAACUAGUAUUUAUAAUGGUGGUUCCCAACCAAAAACCACAAACUACAUGUCUCAUUAUCACACAAACAAAUGUGUAAAAGUAGUAGGCAACAAAAUGUGGGGUCAUUCUCAUGUACCAAAAGCAGUUCCAACAUUCUUCCACUUGGUUCGUAUUGUCUAUGGAUACUUAAGGUCGAAACAUAAUGCAUGAAUCAUGGUGAUAUUUUUCUUAGAAUUUGAGUAGUAUCUUUCAUGUAUCACAAUAUAUUACUUCUCAACGCUUUAGCCCAACUUUCUUAAUGAAAAAAACUCAAUGUUUAUUCUAGGUCCACAAUUUAGUGACAUUUCUCAAAAUAGUCAAAUUAAUAUGUGCAAAGAAUAUGAGAAACAUCAAGCUUAACAAAGUUUCUUUAUAAUAUUUCUUAUAACGAAAUUUAAAAUAUGGGAACAAGUCCCAUAGUGACUACAUAAUCUUUAAAUUUGUGUGGUGGCAUGCCUUUAAUCAAAUGAUCAGCUAACAUCUGCUUCAUGCUAAUGUGCUCAAUGACCACUUUCUUCUCUUUAGCACGUUCCCUUAUGGCUAGGUACUUAAUGUCGAUAUGUUUACUUCGACUUUCACUUUUGUUGUUCUUAGCCAUAAAGAAAACAAUUGAAUUGUCACAAUAUAUCAUCAAUGGCCUAGAAAUCGAGUCCACAAGUCUAAGCCUAGAAAUGAAACUCUUCAACAAUACUACAUGUAACACCCUAUACCUGACUCGAUCGUCGAAUCUGAGAACCAAAUGUUACAAUUAAACCAUAUUACCUAACAACAUUUCUAACUUGACUUAUUCACAAUUCUUAGACCACACCAGAUUUAAAAUCAUGUUGACCAUAUGACUUUAUUCUAAUUUCUUAGCUAUCAAACAUUUUUUAAGAAUAAACAUCCAAUAAAACUUCUUAUUAUACUAGUAAUAAAAAUAGUUGAUUACAGUUCUUACAAUUGUUUCAUUUACUGAAUAUAUAAAUAUAUUAUAUGCAUCCCAAUCUUGAAUUCUACUAACUGAGCUUAAUCUAACCCUGAGGCAUAGCCUCUAAGGGUACCCCUUUAUGUGCAUGAUACUGCUAAAACGCCAUCCCUAUGGACUUGACGAUGUCUCGCUUGAUCCCUCUACAUAGAUCUCGAGACAUUCCUUGAUCCUGCAAUCAGGGUAACACACUCAUAAGUUCGAAUGAACUUAGUGAGAAUCUAUACAAAAAUAUUCAUAAAUGAUUGUUGAAGUUUGGUGUAUUAAAGAAUUAAUGCACAUAAUAAAACUCCCUGAGCAACAUAGGAGAUUUCGUGGUUUGACUAGCACAGACGACGCCUAUACAUUCUUCUUGAACAAUUCAUUGAUGAACAAAUCAGGGGUAGAUUUGGAUGUAAUCGUACUCUUUCUAACAAACCCUUUCUGAAACUGGCUUUUCCAAGCUUCAUUUUAGGCUUUUAUUAUAUCAUACAAGCAGAUACAAAUUAUCGACUAACUUUGUCAAACUUGUAGACAUUUCGCCAAAAGACGGAUUCUUACCCUAAUUCUUUCAUUCCACAUUCAACUUCGUAUCGUCUUACUGUAUUAUCCCAACAUUUACUUACACCCUCGUAUGUGACCUUCAAGUAUAGGUUUCAGUGAAUAGUUUAAGAACUACUCCUUUCUUAUGGAAUUGUACUUGUAAGAUAGUCUCAUUGGUUUUCCUAUUCAAAAUAGUCUUCCUCUUUAUUUGAUAAUCAUUGAUGGACUUUCCAGAACCAAUAGUCCUUAGCGAACUUUCCCCAUGAGAUAGUCCUUGAUGGACUUCCCUGAAUAUAUAGUCCUUACAAAUAUUCUCUUCAUUUGGUAGUUUCGGCAGACUUUAUAGAACAGUUAGUCCUUGGUGGACUUACCUUUCUUUGGCGAUCAUUUUUCCAAUAAACACUUAGAAAUGUAGUCUAGAGAACCUUCUCGCUUUCUCAGAACCAAUGUUGGCUUGUUUGUUACCUCUGGUGGACUCUUAUUGGCUGAUAAACAGUAAUUUACACAUAUUUCUAUCCCAUGCUUAGCACACUUUAUGGAUGAUUUUUCCUUAGAUUUGGUGAAUUCGAUGCUCUUAAUGCCUUAAUUUUAUGUAUAUACUUAGGGGAGCAUAGGAGAGUGAAAGGAAUGAGAAACGGGCCAAAAAUGGAGAAAAUGGGCCAACGCACGAAAUCAACACGACCUAGACCUUCUCACACGGGUAGACCAAUACAGAUUCAUCAUCAAGACUGAAGAUCUCCCCUCAAUUUCCCUUCAGGAGUUUUGGGUUUUUCUUUAUGUUUUGUAUUCGUUAUUCUUCUGAGAUGUUUACCUUUUUAGUUAUGAACUAAAACCCCUAAAUACCUAAGGGGAAUGAAACCUAAGACAGAUCUUGUUGUUAUUAUCUGAAUUGUAUGAUAAACAUUUGACUUGUUCUUAAUUAUGUGUUCUUAAUUCUUGUUUUGAUAUUCCAGGUUAUUGAUUCAAGUUAAGCUCUUAUUCAGAGGAGGAAUAGACCCUAUCUAAGAGUACAUUUUUCAUAAUUAAGCGGAGUUUAUUGCACACCUAGAGAUAGGGUGACAAGAUUUUACCGGAUUAGGGUGAAACCUAAAAAGGGGAUCCAUAGAUCGAGUUAAUGCAACCCUAGGGAGUUAAUUAGAAAGAGAUUUCAAUUAUUCAACCUAGGGUUAGACAUUGUUAGUCUCGAGAGGGAUAAUAAUAUAACUUAGGGAUUUCUACGGAUUAAGUCAAAUGAAUAAAUCGUCCGAUUCAGAGUCAAAUAACAAGUGAAGUCUAGGUGGAUUUUUCCUUAGGUAUUGUCUUAAUUCAAUCGUUUUUCCAAAAGUAAUUCCCCAAUUCUAUUUUCUGUGAUUUCUUAGUUUAGUUAAUUAGUUAGAUAAACAAACCCCAUUAUUCUUAGGCUAGAUAAUAAAAAGAAAGUUAAUACUAGUACUUUUGGUUCCUUUGGGUUCGAUAAUCCGGUCUUGCUAAAGCUAUACUACUAUUCGAUACGUACACUUUCCUUCAUCGUGAUAAUAGUUAGUUUCAAGAACGAUUCAUUAUAAAUAUUUAAAACCUGUCACGAAUAUCACGUAUAAAGUUUUUGGCAUCGUUGCCGGGGAACUAAGGUAUUAGGAACACUCGAUUUUUAUUACUUUAGCCAUUUACUUUUUCUGCAAUUUAUAUUUUAUUCUAAGUUUUAUUACUAAUUCUACUUUUUCCUUUUUUCUGAUAGGUUCUUAUAAUUUAUGACUAGAAGAAACCCGUCAAGACCAUUACUUUUUGAUAGUGAGAUCGAUUGCACAGUUCGUAAAAACCAAAGAGAAAUAAGGUAAAGCUUAAGAUACACAAAGAACGAGCAAGAGGACAAUAUUCAAACCAUAACCGAGGAGAUGGCUGAAAACCAAGAAAAUCCGCUACCUCCUGCAAUUGCUGUUAAUCAAAAUCCUACUCCACGCACUAUGUAUGACUAUGCUAAAACUAAUUUAACAGGAACUGAGUCAAGUAUAGUUAGACCUGCUAUUGCUGCAAAUAAUUUUGAACUGAAACCUAACACAAUUCAAAUGAUACAACAGUUUGUUCAGUUUGAUGGUUUGCAGGACGAUAUCCCAACACUCACUUGGAAAAUUUCCUAGAAUUUUACGAUACCUUUAAAAUUAAUGGCGUUUCUGAUGACGCCUUUCACCUUCGGUUGUUUCCCUUUUCGUUAAGGAAUAAGGCUAAACAAUGGUUGAACUCGUUACCACGAGGGUCAAUCACUACUUGGGAACAAAUGACAGAAAAUUUUUUAUUAAAAUACUUUCCACCGGCUAAAACAGCCAAAUUACGUAAUGAUAUCUUUUCUUUUGUGCAGAUGGAUUUAGAAACACUCUACGAUGCAUGGGAGCGAUACAAGGACCUUUUAAGAAGGUGCUCUCACCAUGGGCUACCGCUUUGGCUACAAGUUCAAACGUUCCAUAAUGGCCUGAAUCCUUUGACUCGGCAGAUGAUUAAUGCAGCCGCUGGAGGAACUAUCAAUAAAAAGACACCUGAGGCAGCUUACGAAUUUAUUGAGGAGAUGUCACUGAAUAACUAUCAGUGGCAAGUUAUGAGAACAAAGCCGACGAAAGCAACCGGUGUUUUCAACCUCGACACGGUUACUAUGCUAUCUAACCAAGUAGAACUCUUAAAUAAAAAGAUUGACGGUUUGUGUGGUUCUACUCAGGUACAUCCAGUGAUGAGGUACGAUUCGAAUGGAGGAGGAGCAUGCACAGAAUAUCAACCCUUCAACCCUAGCAUCGAGGAGGAACAAGUCCAAUAAAUGGGUAACAAUAACUCUAGAUCCCAAAAUAACCCAUAUAGUAACACUUAUAAUGCAGGUUAGAGGAACCAUCCCAAUUUCUCAUGGGGCGGUCAAGGAAAUCAAAGGCCAUAUCAUAUUACGGGUUUUCAACAACCACCUUACCAA